rnacentral:lncRNA from 1 species
CAUUAAAGAAUAUGGGGUCCAUGUGAUCGCAGGGAAGUCAGAUUCAUUUGAAGAGUCGGCAGUGGGAAGAGAUGCAGUGAUGCCUUCACCACCGCUGUAUCAUCUGCUUCCUCAUCCCCAUUGUGGUUCGAUUACAGCGUCUACACCUAAGCAAUGGAGUGACUAUUUAUCUGCGAAGCUAGAAGGACAUAGCCUCGAUUUAAGACUUGAUGGUGAGAACAAAUAUUUCAUUUAGUUAUUUUUAUUCUAUUAUAUUUAAUUUAUGAGAUUAAAUAUUAUCUUUAAUGAUUUUAUUAUUAUUAUUUAAUCUAAAAAAUUAAAUAUCAUCUUUAAUAAAAAAAUAUUAAAUAUUUAAGGCUUUUUGGUAAGAAUACAUAUUUCCUUUAGUUAUUUCUAUUUUAUUCUAUUUAAUUUAAGAGAUUAAAUAUCAUCUUUAAUUCUUACAUUUUUCUUAUUUAAUCUAAAAAAUUAAAUAUUAUCUUUAACAAUAUUUUUUAUUAAAUAUUUAGAGUUUGCUUGGUUUUAUUUCUUUUCUUGAUUUUAUAAUAAUAUUUUUCUUAUUUAAUAUAAAAAAUAAAUAUUAUCUUUAACAAUUAGAUCUAUCGAAUAUCACUUAAAAAUAAAUUAUAACUUUAAUAAUUAUUUUUUGAAAAACAAAAGGCCAACAAUCACUAACAUAUUUUAUUAAAAUCACUUUAGUUUAUAUAGAAAAUAUUGAAAACUGAUUUUUGUUUUUUUACAUUAAAAUAAAAAAUUGAAUAAUGUUUUUAUAUUUUAUUUCAAACUCGAUAUUUUAAAACAAAAAUGAAAAAGAUGUGAUAUUAACAUUUUUUAUUAUAAAGUAAGUUUUUUAAUUAAAAGUGAUGGGAAUUUGUUUUUAUUGCAUGUACAAUCAUGCACAUUUAACUUUCUUUUUAAAUUUGAUGGUUUUUUAGGACGGAAAUGGCUUGAAGGUGGUGAAGGCUUUGAUUGACAUGAGAGUACAAGAUUAGUUUACAUAGAGAUGCUUGAAGUUGCUCCAAAUCAGUACGAUACUUUCAUCUGACAUGUUGAUAUGUAUUUGUUGGCUUGAAGAUUAUUUUCCAAGCUUGGAAGUUUUAUUGAAUUCUCUUUGAAAUCUUUUCCAUCCGCUGGACAACUUAUAUUAUUAUGCAUGAUGUAAUUUAUAUUUUCAAGUUACAAAUUUUGAUGAAUAUUGUUUCAUUUUUUUCCUCAUUUCAAAAGAUGAAAAUCCUUGAUCUUAGUUAGAAAUAAAUUGGUUUUCUAGGAAGAGAUUAUUGAUUGGAAUAUAGUAUUUGAAUUGGUUCUUCAUCAUUUACUGUUAUAUAUAAUUUAAAAUAAUUGAUGAAAAUACAUAGAAAAGUUUUGAGAGCAUCCUUAAUUAGUCUAGUAAGUAAAGUGUUGUUAGUUUUGACUAUAAGAUCUUGCUAUGUAUUAUUGCAUGGUUUUUACUAUUUUUUUGCAUUUCUUCUUUUUGUAUAUACAACUUUUGUUUUUCUUGCCGCUUGUCAUUAGCUUUAUGGCACCAACACCAAUUAAUAAUAAAUCUUGAACUAUUAUUAAAUAAAGAAAAAAUAUAAAUAUCGUUAAAAUACCAAACUUGAAUUGCUCAAUCCUAAAGAAACCCUAUGACAAUAAUCUAAUUUAGAAAAUAAUUAAUUUAUCCUUGUAGUCUAAGAAAAUAGUAUUUAAUUCUUAUGUUUUCAUAUACAUCUAUGAUUUAAUAUGUUGAUUGAAAUUGGCAAGUGAGUUUACUCACGUAUUGUUAUAUUGGUUUUGAGUUCAAAUAAAUGUUUAAAAAGGGAGUUUUUUCAUGAAUGUAACCCUUCAAUAUAUGAAUGUUUAAAAUUGUAUUCAAUAUGAAUGAUGGAUGAUUUUGCUAAGAAUUGGUUGGUAAAAAACUUAAUUUCGAUAUAUAAAAACUUAAGAGACAACAAUAAAUAGAGAGACUAGUAAAGAUUUUAUGUGCUUUCUUGUUUUUUUUUUUUAAUUGGAUUACCUUUGUCUUUUGUUUCAAGUAAAAUUCUAGUAUAUAUCACUAAAUUAAGAAUUAAAGGUCUAAUUAUAUGAAACACAAUUUUAAAGACUACAUCAACUACAUUUCAUAUGCUCAACUCUAAGCAAAUUGAAAUUUCAAGGCCAUUUGUAUCUUGAAAACACAAUCUCAAUAAUCUUAAUAUUGAAUUAUUAUUUGUUGAGUUGGAAAAUAGCACUAAGGAACACAAAAGCCGUACUGUUUAUCUUCUUGGCAUUGUUCAAAGGAACGCAAAAAGAUACUCCAAUUGUGAAAGAUUAUUAUUGUCAUAAAGUAAAACUUUCAAUAUAGAGAGUGAAAUAAAGAGCAAGAGCAAAAAAAUAAUUCGUGUGUGUAUUAGCUAAAUGAAAUGAAGAUUAGAGUAAAAAGGAUAAAAAAAAAAAAAAAAAAUAGAGAGAGAGACUCGUUAAGAUUUUAUGUUGGUGCUCAACAUGUUCUUUCUUAUUUUUUUUUUUUUUUUAAUUUUAUCUUAACGAGUGAAAUAAAGAAACACUCCCCCCAUCUUUCUUGUUCCCUUUCCCUUCUUUACAUGGCUUACUCAGUGAAAAAGCAAUUAAACACCCCAUUUGAUUUUCAAUCAGUAUGAGAGUGAGAGAGAGAGAGGCCAAGGUGGUCCUUGAAUAUUUUCUUCUUUUUUGUCUCGCUCACUGGGGCAAACCAUUUUUUCCAAAAUUUUGAAUAGCAUGCGAUCAAAAAGAAUUUUGAAUAGCAUGCCAUCAAAAGGAAUUUUGUUCAAUCCCAAUCCCACAUUGUCUGUAGAAGUAUUUACUUUUGACUGUACACUUUGUUAUUUUCCAAUCCCUCCCCAGUUCUGCAACCAUUUCUCUACUUUCUAUGCUCUUGGCUUGCUAAAAACUAAAGAAAACACAUUGCUCUACUUGCCUGCCUUCACUCUUCAGAUUGCUCAACAAAUCCCUUGAGACCUUCUCCAUAGUUAACACAUCACAUAAUGGCUACUCUAAAAAAUUUAGCCAUAAACAUUGAACACCUUGAGCAAUCAACGUGCCUUCCUUCACAAUAUCCAUCACCCAUAAAUCUUUCUUUUGGGAUGUCGCCGGGAGUUUAAUUUCCGUGUAAAAAUUAUGUAUAAAUUUCCAUUCUUUCCUUCCAUCCAUUACUUGUCCUCUAUGAAGAUUCUAUGUAUGAAAUCUCGGAAUCUUUUCGAGUAUAACUUGGGAUCAACAGCUGAGAUAGACGUGGGAUCCACUUCUAAGGACUUGUAUGCAUGCUCUAGCUUUUUGCUGAUAUCAUAAUCCUAGAGAUACCAAAGUGAAGAACUACAUCUCACAAUCACCAAAAUUCAAAGUAAAGUAACGGAGAAGAAAAUCUGAUAACAAUGAAUGAUCACUCAUUAACCACAGCGAAUCUUACGCUUUGAAAACACUUUUCACCAUCAAUUUUCCUUUUCUCAUUGAUUUUAAAUCUUCCAGGCAGAUAAAAUAGCAUUGGUUUUAUUCAUCAGCUUAGGCAUCAACAACAUGUUGCAUCCACAAUCUUACUACUACAUUAUAAUUAUAAACAAAGCUAAAAAAAUAUAUAUAUGAGGACAGAGUUAACAGACAUGCACUAAGAGUUAACAGACAUGCACUAACACACACUGUGCAAAUCAGUGUACAGCUGUUAUAACAAACAAGUGUACAAUCUGUUUUCUCCAACCUUCCAGCAUUAUUCUCCCGAGCAUAUUCUGUCAGCUCAAGAUUAGGCAAUUCUGUUAACCAUUCUGUUAGCUCUGUUCUCUUUUGUUGUAUAUAUACUUGAUUGAUUGAUUGAUUCAAUAACAUUAUCUUUCUCUCUUCUCACCUGCCCCCUUUUUCUUCUCCUUUUACCUCUAGCUUCCAAUGCCUAUCAACACCACCAUCCUUAACACAAAUGAAUCUCACAGCAUGUUGAUUACCAUCAAUGUAGCAGCCCAAACUCCAUUAAAACUUAUCUCCACCAGGCACCAACUAUCUAGCCUGGAAACUUUGUUGGGGAUUCCGGCUCCCCCAUGCGCGGACCGGGGGUGUACUGAUAGUUGCUCAACGGAGGGUAAAGCACACUGAUACAAUAUUUUACGUGGUUCGGCAAAACCGCCUACAUCCACGGGAGAGUCCAUAUUAUUAGAGAUAUAUAGAGAAAGGAUUACAACAUACAUGGAGGAGGAGGAUCACUUCACUCAAACUCAAUUCCCAGCUCUUUUGCUACACUUACAGCUGCUGCAAUGGCAGCAGCCAUUGCAGCUCUCUCUUUCUCUCCACUCUCUUGCACACACUCACGUUCUCUCUCUCUCAUUUUUCUCUCAAAUAUAAGCCUCCUUUAUAGGCAUUUCAUGGUCAACAUGGAGGGGCCAAUAGCCUUAAAGCAUGGCAUGAAUUGUGGCACAAUUCAUGCUUCCACUUGCUUAGUGGUGGGGUAUUGCCACAAAUGGCAAUAUCCUAACAAUCACCCCCUUUGCCAUUUGUGUGGGCAAUUGUCCUCUUGCUUCUUCAGCACAGGCUUGCAUCUUGCAGCUCUUCCAAGCUUACCAUUCUGAGAGCGUCUUCAACACAACAUUCCCUUUCGAGUGUAUCAAUCAUGCUCGGUCCGGAAUGAUUUUUCAAGCCUUACACCAAGGCUUACAACACCCCCUCAAAUAGAUAUUUCUAAGUGCGACAGUCAUUUAGUAUUUCAAUGUGAUCACAAGCUCACCACUCUUCCAAGAGUCUACUCAUCCAAGAGUUGUGCCUGCCCUCUGUUCCACCCUAGGAACCACGUCUUACUUCUCCGUGAGUCUCUCGCUCUUAGUCGUAAGAGUCCAGGUAGCUCUCCACCUUUAACCAUAGGGGCAGCCCAUUAAAGGUUGAUUCAUAUCUGUCUUCAUACUCUGAGUAUUACAAUGCCAUUACCGAGCUCACCACCUUAACAAGAGUCAACUCGUUCUCGGAACCUGCGCAUGCCCUUCUGCUUCUUCAUAGCAGCCGCGUCUUAAUGCUCCACAAGUCACACACUUAUUGUCCAAGGCAAAUGUCUUCUAGCUCAUUGAUCUUUAGCAUGGGGGCAAUAUCCAUGAAAGUCAAUCCUGCAUUUGUCUCCAUACUCAUCAUAGCCACUUCAUUGGCUAUCUAUACACUUGUCCACUUGUAUCUAGCCAUCACAUCGGCUUUGGAGCGUUCUGAACUGGGCUCAUAUCAUGGCCCUCACACCUUCUCCUCAGGUGUCUCCGCUCGUCAUCAUGCGACGGUCUGAACUGGGGCUCCUCUCAUAGCCCUCACACCUUCUCUACGGUGUCUUCGCCCGUUGUCAUGGGGCGGUCGCAUCCUUCUUCAGCUGGGAUGCUUCAAAGUGGCUCCAAAAUUCUCUACCACCAUGUGCACUAUGGGAGAGAUUAUAACCACUGAUUACAUAGAAAGAGAAACUUGCGGUAUACUCCUCGCAAUCCUCCACCUCGAUUUCUAUGUUUGGAGCUUUUGUGUCUUUCUACUUGAUAGCUCCACCUACACCAACUCUCUUUGGUGUCUUCGCCUUUCAUCAUAGGCGGUCGCCUUUUAUCACAGGCGUUUGCACCCCCUCAAUUAGGUGCUUCUACAACAGCUCUCUUUCCAUCCUUGCAUGCAUUGGAAAGGUCUUCGCCUGUUGUCUUCAUCAAGAGCAUAAGAGACUUCCUGUUGUACAAACUUUAACAGUCUCUGCUCUGAGCUUCAUCUGGGAACACUUCUUCUCCUUGCACCUAUUGUCUCAUUACAGUACCUCGUUGGAUCCUACGGGUACUCCUGCACAAUCUCCGUGUGCCCUCGUGCAAUUUCUGUUCUCCAGAUUUCUCCCUAUUUCUUGCUUAUGUUUGACAGCAGCUCAUCCUGUCACAACACCUGUCCAAGUCAAAAAUAUGGUGCCAAUCUUUAUCCCCUUGCUGUAUUCCUCUUCCAUUAUCAGGGUCUUCAUCAGUUCUCCCCUCGAGAAAUCACAGUCACCGAAUCUAACUUCUUUGGAGAAAUCACCACUCCAUCAGAUCCUUGAACCUUUGGAACCCAACUAUUCCCUUGUGCCGUCAUCCUGCUAGCCUUCAACUGUUUCAUUACAAACUGCUAUAUAUACAAAAAUAGUACCGUAUGGAUAAUCCUUCCACUAAGCAAGUUCCCAGGAAAGAUUGGAGGGGUCACACUGGUCCCGCUUAAAACCCAAUCUCCUAGACAGAACUUCUUAGGACAUAUCUAUCCAUCGUACUGUCUUUUUGUAUAUACAACCAUUUGCUAGCUUUGUUGCGGCUUUCCUUUACAAGUGAUCUGGGGUAUCCCGAUUUUAUACCUGAUUUCUCAACAUCUGGCGAGACUACCAGUUCUUAGAUUCGUCAAGAUUGGUCUUUAUCAAUUUUCACUCUACACCUCUAAUUGUCCACUUGAUCGGGUGUCUAGAGUGUCCCAAUUUUGCCUUCCCUCAAGGCAGUUAAAUUUCUCCCAACUUAGCAGCUCAGCACAUGUAAUUGGGUAAACAUGUGCACCUUCUUCUUCUUCUCUUCAACGACCACCAUGAUAACCUUCAGAUGCCUCCUGAUCGGGCAAUCUCUUUUGUUAAUUCAUCACUACCACUUUCGGUCUCAAAUCUCAACGAUCGGACCAUACCAUUGCAUCCGAAACGAUCAAAUUAGCUGGAAACAAGUCUGAAAUCGUCCAAAUCGCACUUCAGACGGCUAAGAUUUGAUCAAAACAAUUCUGGCCUGAUCAAUGGCUCAGAUUCAAUCUCAGAUCCGGUUGCACGUAGGAUCAGCUACACUGGAUCCUGUCCCUCGGCUCGCGGCUCGGCUCCAAUUAGGCUCGGCUCGGCUUGGCUCGGCUCGUGGCUAAUGACGUGGUUGGUGGGUCCCACUUUGCUGACGUGUCAGUGACUGUACGCUGACAUGGCAUGCCAACUGUGCAUGCUGACAUCACACUUACAUCAGGCUGAUGUCAUCCCUGGCAUGCCUACUAUGCAUGUUGACAUCACAAUUAUGUCAUACUGACGUCAUUCAUAUCCGGGUCAGCCAUGUGGGUCGGGUCAACUGGUAUUUGGGUCGGGUCAGCCCAUCCGGGCGAAGAAGACGCGUGGGGUGCGUCUGCGCGCGUGGGCAGACGCCUUGCCGGAGAGUGAUGGAGAGUACGGCCAUGUCCGACGUCCGAUUUUGACGCCGUUUUCACCAGUGGCUUCGUCUCGGCCUCCUCUACACGGUGGUAUAGUCAAAACACCAUUUUGAGAACUUUCAUUUUUGAGCAAAAAUCAAACACCCCUUUAAACCAUGUGCUCUGAUACCAGUUGUUGGGGAUUCCGGCUCCCCCAUGCGCGGACCGGGGGUGUACUGAUAGUUGCUCAACGGAGGGUAAAGCACACUGAUACAAUAUUUUACGUGGUUCGGCAAAACCGCCUACAUCCACGGGAGAGUCCAUAUUAUUAGAGAUAUAUAGAGAAAGGAUUACAACAUACAUGGAGGAGGAGGAUCACUUCACUCAAACUCAAUUCCCAGCUCUUUUGCUACACUUACAGCUGCUGCAAUGGCAGCAGCCAUUGCAGCUCUCUCUUUCUCUCCACUCUCUUGCACACACUCACGUUCUCUCUCUCUCAUUUUUCUCUCAAAUAUAAGCCUCCUUUAUAGGCAUUUCAUGGUCAACAUGGAGGGGCCAAUAGCCUUAAAGCAUGGCAUGAAUUGUGGCACAAUUCAUGCUUCCACUUGCUUAGUGGUGGGGUAUUGCCACAAAUGACAAUAUCCUAACAAACUUCAAUUCCAGACUCUAUUCAUAGGACAUUUGAUUGAGGUCUCCACAAACAUUGAAACACCGCAAUUUUUCAUGAUAAAAUCCAAAGGAUUGGUACUUUGGUGUUUGAGGGGCUGGUAAAUGAAAGAACAGAUCAAGAGAUGACAUCCCUCUAUACCGCUGUUAUUCCUUUCAAGGUGCGUAUCAGGUGUUUGAAAAACUUCCUCAACUUAAAAAUAAAAAGGUCCUGUUUACAAUGUUUUUUAGUCCUUUACAAAUCUUCCAAUGUGUUGCGUUUACUGAAUAUGAUAGUGGGAACUUAUUUAUCAAGAAUUAACUACUCAGAAGAAAAUGUAAAGACGCAAUAAUGAUUUUUUUAUUUUAGAUUCCAUAGUCUACAAACUUGGAAGCAUACGGACCAGUCAGAAGACAACAUGUUUAUUGUAUAUGAUAAACAAUAAUAAACAUCUCAUUCUUAAAAUGAUGGUAAAUCAGAAACAACCAUCCAAUACUUGAAGAUCUGUUGAAGAUAUUUGGCCUUUGGAAAUUUUGAAGAGAACUGGAGCAGUUGCAUAUGGAUUAGCUCUUCCAUCCAAUCUUUUCAUCUAACCAUCCAGUUUUCUAUGUAUCCAUGCUUUAAAAGUAUCUUCGUGCUCCAUCACAUGUAUUGGAGCCAUAAACAGUAGCAUUUCAAGGAGAUAUGUCAUGUGAAAUCCGUUCUAAUGAGAUUGCUUCAGUGAAAGUAAUGUGAGAAGGUCAUCCAAGUGAUGAAGCAACACGAGAACCUGAGAAGAUGAUACGUAAUAAAUAUCGUUAUUUCUUCAUUCAAUCAAGCUAACAAGUUUUCUACUUAAAUUCGAGGAUGAAUUUAUUUUAACAGGGGAGGUGGAAAUGUAAACCCACCCCAUAAUAUAUAACUCAUUAUUGUUUUAUAUGUUGGCCCGUUAAUUCAAGUCAUUUUCUUCUAUCUCUCUUAUAGGAAUGUUCCUCCUUCUCCCUUUUACUGCAAAUAUUCCCCCACGAUCCCAAACCAUCAAUUGACCCUAUAACUCUCUUGUUUUGAGUAGGUUUACUUCAACUUUAUCAAGUGUUUAUAAUAUUGUUUUAUGUUUAUUUAUUUAUAUAAAAUUGUUGAAUUCUAGGCGUUAUAUGAUAUUAGUUGAUGUUAUAUGGAAUUAUUUAAAUUAAUUUGUGUGUGGGUAGUAAUAAGUGUAUAUGAAUAUGAAUUGGAGUAAGGUCAUAGAUGGGUUGGUGUGAAGCUUUGAUUAAUUGAUAUAUUUUGAUGUAAUGAGUAAAUACCUUAAGAAAUUUGAAUAUUUGAAAGAUAAUAGGUAAAUAUUGAAGAAUUGUAUAGAAAGAAUCAUAUUGAAAUUAUGAAAAAUAUGUUUUGGGGUUGAUGAUGGAAGAAUUACAGUUUGGUCCUUGCUUUUGAGAAAUUAAGAUUUUGUCCCUAAAUUCUAAAACAAUUAUAGUUUAGUCACUGGUUGUAAAUAACAAUUUUUAAGAUAUUUUCCUGAUAAAUAUCUGAGAAAUAAUGAUCAUCUAUUAUCAAUUUUUAUUGUUAUCAUUUAAAUUUAAAAUUAAUUGUAUUAUCUACGAGCACAAGUGGUACAGUUAUCAAUCGAAUUUUAGCAAAAUCAAGGAUCCAAGAAUUGGCCUCUGUAACAUAUUAGGAAACUGGCAUGCAAACCCGACAAGAUAAAAGGCAAGGGACAAGAUAAAAUGAGAAAUAAGACACAAGAAUUUACGUGGUUCACCCAAUUUGGCUACGUCCACGGGCAAGUAUAGAAGGAUUUUACUAAGUAAUGUGGGAAUUACAACCUCUCUCUACUAAUAGGAGAACAACUGAAAUCUCUCUAUUAAUAGGAGAAAACACCUCACUUACUCUCUCACAAAUACCUCACAAUUUUGUGGGAUUACUUUCCCUCUCUCACUCUUCUCUUCCUCUCUUAUGAUGUGCAAAAUAAGCUUGGAUGCACUGCCUAUUUAUAGGCAAGCAUCCAAGCAAAGGACAAAAAGGCACCAAUUGGUGCUGCAAGUGGCACCGAAUUGGUGCCCAACAUUGUUGAAUUUGCAGCACAAAUUUGGUGCCUAACAUUGUUGACUUUGCCAACAAUGCAGCUGGCUUCACAUUCUCCCACUUGAAGACUUUGAUGAGUGAAUCAAGUCUUCACACUUAAUCAUCUGUGAUUCUUCUAUCCUUUCUAUACUUGUCAUCUUCAUGCUGCUUACAUUUCUGUUAGGCCAUAAGAGGAUCUGCACCAUAUGUACUUGUCAGUGUUGACUGGUUUGGUUAAAGCAUCUGCUGGGUUUUCCUUCGUGUGAACCUUUUGAAAAUCUACACUUCCAUCUUCCACUACUUCGCGAACAAAGUGAUACUAAACAUCUAUGUGUUUUGUUCUUGAAUGAAACGCGGGAUUCCUUGCAAUAUGCAAAGCACUCUGACUAUCACAAUACAAAAGAAUGUUCUCUUGUUUGUGCCCGAGCUCCUCCAUAAGUUUCUUCAUCCAUAUUGCUUCUUUACAAGCUUGUGUAGCUGCCAUGUACUCAGCUUCUGUUGUGGAUAAAGCUACAACAGUCUGAAGUUUAGAGACCCAGCUCACAGCUCCUCCUGCAAUUAUGAACACAUAGCCUGUAGUGGAUUUUCUUUUCUCAAGGUCGCCAGCAAAAUCUGAAUCAACAUAACCUCUGACGGUAAAUUCUGAUCCUCCAUAUCAUAAUGCAACAUCUGAGGUGCCCUUGAUGUAUCUCAAGAUCCUCUUAAUAGUAUUCCAAUGCUCUCUACCAGGAUUUGCCAUGUAUCGACUAGCUACUCCCACUGCUUGUGCAAUGUCUGGUCUUGUACAUAUCAUGGCAAACAUUAAGCUUCCCACUGCUGAUGCAUACGGUACUCGAGACAUCUCCAUCCUCUCUGCUUCAUUGCUAGGAGACAUACUUGAGGAUAAUUUGAAGUUAAUAGGAAGUGGGGUGGAAAUUGGCUUACAAUCUUGCAUGUUGAAGUGUCGUAAGAUCUUAUUCAAAUAAUUCUUCUGAGAAAGCCAAAUCUUCCUCUUACUUCUGUCUCGGUGAAUUUGCAUCCCUAGAAUCUUGUUUGCUGGUCCCAAGUCCUUCAUAUCAAACUCCCUAGCCAACUGUGCCUUCAAUUCUUGGACUCGAUCUUUGUUGGAGCCUAUUACCAACAUGUCAUCCACGUACAACAACAAAAUGAUGAAAACAUCAUUUUCUUCAAACCUCUUGUAAUACGUACAAUGGUCUGAACUGAGUCUGUUGUACCCAAGGCUAAUUAUGAAGGAAUCAAAUCUCUUGUACCAACAUCUCGGCGCCUGUUUGAGACCAUAUAGAGAUUUGUUCAACCUGCAAACCAAGUUCUCCUUGCCUACUUCAGCAAAACCCUCUGGUUGGAGCAUAUAAAUUUCUUCUUCAAGUUCUCCAUGAAGAAAUGCAGUUUUCACAUCUAACUGCUCUAAGUGAAGAUCAAAUAUAGCACACAUCGCCAAGACUACUCUGAUUGUAGUAAGUCAUACCACUGGAGAAAAUAUCUCAUUAAAAUCUAUUCCUUCUUUCUGAGCAUAUCCUUUCACCACCAAUCUUGCACGAUACCGCUCCACUUGAUUAUUGCCAUCAUGCUUUAUCUUGUAAACCCAUUUGUUGCCAAUGGCCUUCCUUCCUUGUGGUAGCGGAACAAGAUCCCAAGUGUUGUUCUUGUGUAGAGCUUCAAUCUCCUCUUGCAUCGCUGUCAUCCACAUAGAUACAUCUGUGCUUUUGAUAGCCUCAUGGAAAGUUGAUGGCUCUCCAUCCUCUGUUAGAAGACAGUAUGCAAUGUUGCUCUCAGUAACAUAUUCUGAGUGCCAAGCCGAUGGUCUUCUUUCACGAGUUGACCGUCGAACUUCAGGAGUUUCAGAUUCUAUUUGUUCUUGUUCUUCAUGCUCUGGUACAGCUUCAGAAGAAGUAUGAUUCUGAGUAUUUUCCAUCUGGACUGCUGUAGUCUCCUUUGGAAUGCUAUUAUGUUCUUCCAUUUGUAUUUUACCUUCUGCAAAUAUAACAUCUCUGCUGAUGACUAGCUUGUGGGAUUGGGCAGUGGGAUCCCACAAGCGAUACCCCUUCACUCCAUCAGCAUAUCCCAAGAAUACACAUUUUCUGGAUUUUGAAUCCAGCUUGUUGACUUCUUGAGUAUUGUACAUCACGUACACAGGACUUCCAAAUAUAUGUAAUUGAGAAUAAUCAGCUGACUUUCCAGUCCACAUCUCCAUCGGUGUCUUCAGCUCAAUUGCAGUUGAUGGAGAUCGAUUUAUCACAUAACAGGCGGUAUUGACUGCUUCUGCCUAGAAUGACUUUCCUAGACCUGCAGCCUUCAACAUUGCUCUCGUUCUUUCUAAUAGAGUUCUGUUCAUCCGCUCUGCCACUCCAUUUUGCUGUGGAGUGUAUGCCGUUGUGAACUGCCUUUUGAUACCUUCAUGUUGACAGAAGUUAUCAAAUUCAUCACUGGUAUAUUCUCCUCCAUUGUCAGUCCUCAAACACUUGAUCUUCUUUUCAGAUUCAAGUUCCACCCGCGCUUUGAAAGUUUUAAAGAUUGCGAACACAUCUGCCUUCCUUCUAAUUGGAUGCACCCAACAUCUCCUGGAGAAGUCAUCUAUGAAUGAUACAAAGUAUCUUGCUCCUCCCAAGGAUACAACCGGUGCUUGCCAAACAUCAGAGUGAAUCAAGUCUAAGAUGCAUUUGCUCUUAGUUGUUGAUGUGCCAAACUUCAACCUGUGUUGUUUACUUGUAACACAGUGCUCCCAAAAAGGUAAAGUAACCUUUGUAAGCCCAGGGAGUAACUUCUGAUCAAAGAGAACUUUCAAACCUUUCUCUGACAUGUGGCCUAGUUUUUGAUGCCACAUCAUCGUCUUCUUUUCUGCAGGACUGGCUGAUGCGAUUGACGCUUCUGCCCUAUGAUGUGUUUCUCCCAUUAAUACAAACAUGUUUGCAACUAUUUUUCUCGCCUUUAAAACUACCAACGCUCCUUUGACAAUUUUCAUUAUUCCAUUGUCUGUUCGGAUCUUAUAGCCAAGACUAUCAAAUUGUCCCACAGACAAAAGAUUUUUCUUUAAGUCUUUCACAUGACGCACUCCUGUAAUAGUACGAAUUAAGCCAUCAUACAUCUUCAAUUUGAUGGUGCCAAUGCCAGCAAUCUCUAAAGCAUGAUUAUCACCCAUGAACACUUUGCCUCCAGAGAUGGGUUCAUAUGUAUGGAACCAAUCUCGAUUAGGAGUCAUAUGCCAUGUUGCUCCUGAAUCCAUUAGCCAGACCUCAGUAAGCUCUUCUCUAUCUGUAGAGAUUGUCGCUGCUUCACUAUAUAAAACCUCCCCAUCUUCUGAGGUGCUCGCAACACAUCCUUGAGGUUUUGAUGACUCUGCAGUAUUCUCUAUACCCCUUUUAAACCAACAAUCCUUUUUGAAGUGCCCUUUUCUGCCACAGUUGUAGCAUUUCACAAUCUUCUUACUUCUUGAUUUGGACCUCCCUUGCCUUUGACUCCCACUGGAGCCACGCUCCGUUGAUCUCCCUCUUGACAUCAACAAUGCCUCUGCUUGGUUUGAACUAUUUCUGUCUCCUUUAUUUUUGCGCCUAUUUUCUUCUUCCAAGAUAGCGGCUGCAACAUCAUCAAAGACUAAAUAGUCUGUGAGGAUAUUAUUGGUCAAGUUGAUAAUGAGCUGAUCAUACGAAUCUGGGAGACUUCGAAGUAGAAGUUCUGCACGUUCACUUUCCUCUAUUUGUUGACCCAACGUAGUGAGUUGUGAAAAUAGAGUUCUUAUUGUGUUGAUGUGGUCAGUCACUGCCGUGGUUUCUGCCAUUCGAAGGGUAUAAAGUCUCCGCUUUAAGAAAAUCUUAUUGUGCAAAGACUUGGACUCAUAUAGCUUUGUUAGAGUCUCUCAUAUCUCCUUAGCUGUUUUCUUCUCCGCUACACUUGAUAAUACUUCAUCGGCUAAUGCUAAAUGUAUGUUAGCAAUAGCAUUGCCAUCCAUCUCAUUCCAUUUUGCAUUAUCAGUGAUCUCCGCGGGCCGAUCCCCAAUUGCUGCCAAGCAAUUGUCUUUCCUUAAGAUUGCUUUGAUUCUCAUUUUCCAGAGUGAGAAAUUGCUCCCAUUGAACCUCUCAAUCUCAUACUUUGCUGCCAUUUUAUUCACCGUGAUCUAUUCAGCUAUCACUGUUUCACAGAUCUGUAACGUAUAUAGAAAUAGUAUCGUGUGAAUAAUACUUCACUAAGUAAGUUCCCAGGAAAGAUUGGAGGGGUCACAAAUGGUCCCGCUUAAAACCCAAUCUCCUUAGACAGAACUUCCUAGACUGUAUUUAAUCACCGCACUGACUUUCUAUAUACGCCAACAGUAACGUAUGUGAAUAGUGCCGUAGACGUGAAUAGUAACCGUAUACACGAAUAACUUUUGUGUAUUAACAACACCAACCAAAAGGCUCUGAUACCACUAUUAGGAAACUGGCAUGCAAACCCGACAAGAUAAAAGGCAAGGGACAAGAUAAAAUGAGAAAUGAGACACACAAGAAUUUACGUGGUUCAACCAAUUUGGCUACGUCCACGGGCAAGUAUAGAAGGAUUUUACUAAGUAAUGUGGGAAUUACAACCUCUCUCUACUAAUAGGAGAAAACACCUCACUUACUCUCUCACAAAUACCUCACAAUUUUGUGGGAUUACUUUCCCUCUCUCACUCUUCUCUUCCUCUCUUAUGAUGUGCAAAAUAAGCUUGGAUGCACUGCCUAUUUAUAGGCAAGCAUCCAAGCAAAGGACAAAGGGGCACCAAUUGGUGCUGCAAGUGGCACCGAAUUGGUGCCCAACAUUGUUGAAUUUGCAGCACCAAUUUGGUGCCUAACAUUGUUGACUUUGCCAACAAUGCAGCUGGCUUCACAUAACAUAGUUUGUAUUCUGAGCCAAUCUGGGGUGGGACUUGAAACAAAUGUUGUAUAUUGUUUGCACUGUCACUUUGCUUACCCUCUUAGGUUUUUAUUGAGAUUAGGGAUUCUAUUGUAGCUCUUUUUUCUCCUUUUAUUAUAAUAAAAUAAUAUCUAUGGAUUAAUUUUGGUAUAAUUUAAGAAAGUAAGUCCUUUAAUCAAAUUUUAGAUUGACCAUCCUCUAUGUGUUAAAAGUAAAUGUUAAUUUAUAAAAUAAUAACUAUGUUUAAGUCUUGAUUAACUCAGAAGAUGUCUUCUAAGACGCAUCUCUGUCUUCUCUUCUCUUCUCUUCUUCUCUAUAAAAUUCCUUUUUAGCUCUCUGAUGUACUUAAUGUCCCGGAGGUGUGGCUUCUUCAUAUGAAGAAAAUGUUAAGAUUCAAUUAUGAUUUUAGAUUUUAGAUUCCAUUGUCUACAAAUUUGAACCAUGAUGAUGAAGCAUACGGACCAGUCAGUAGACAACAUGUUUAUUAUAUAUGAUAGAGGUCCUCAAUGUAUUUCACGUUUCUAUGAGAAAUUUCACGAGACUAUGAGUACUCGAAUUGAUCUUAGUACAACAUUUCAUUCUCAAAAUAAUGGUUAAUAAAAAAGAACCAUUCAAAUACUUGAAGAUAUGUUGAUAGCAUGCAUACUUAAGUGGAGUUUGCUGGAACAAAUAUGUACCAUUGGUGGAGUUCGUUAAGAGGGGGGAACUAAUUCCUCGAUAUAUUAGGCCUUUGGAAAUUUUGAAGAGAAUUGGUGCACUUGCUUAUGGAUUAGCUCUUCCACCCAGCUUUUUCAUCUAAACAUCCAGUAUUCCAUGUAUCCAUGCUUUAGAAGUAUAUUUGUGCUCCAUCACAUGUAUUGGAGCCAUAAACCGUAGCAUUUGAAGAAGAUAUGUCAUGUAAAAUUCGACUGGAGAGAAUUGAAGAUAGACAAAUUAGAAAACUUCGUUCUAAAGAUUGCUUUAGUGAAAGUAAUGUGAGAAGGUCAUACCUGAGAAGAUGAUACGUAAUAAAUAUCGUGAUUUCUUCAUUCAAUCAAGCUAGCAAGUUUUCUAAUUAAAUUUCGAGGGUGAAUUUAUUUUAACAGGGGAGGAAAUGUCAACCCCACCCAUAAUAUAUAACCCAUUAUUGUUUUAUUGGUCCAUUUAGGUAGCCCAUUUGUUAUAUACAGAAGGAGAGAGGUAAGGACAUUGUUAGUCAUUUUCUUCUUUCUCUCUUACGGGGAAUGUUCUUCCUUCUCCCUUUUACUGCAAAUAUUCCCCCACAAUCCUAAACCACCAAUUGACCAUAUAACUCCCUUGUUUUGAGUAGGUUUACUUCAACUUUAUCUAAGUGUUUAUAAUAUUGUUUUAGGUUUAUUUCUUUAUAUAAGCUUGUUGAAUUCUAGGCCUUAUAUGAUAUUAGUUGAUGUGAUUUGGAUUUAUUCUUAAGUUAAUUUGUGUGUGGGUAGUAACAAGUGUAUAUGAAUAUGAAUUGAAGUAAGUACCUUAACAAAUGUGAUGGGUUGGUGUGAAGCUUUGAUUAAUUGCUAUAUUUUGAUGUAAUGAGCAAAUACCUUAAGAAAUUUGAAUAUUUGAAAGAUAAUAGGUAAAUAUUGAAGAAUUGUAUAGAAAGAAUCGUAUUGAAAUUAUGGAAAAUAUGAUUUUGUCCCUAAAUUCUAAAAAACAAUUAUAGUUUGGUCACUGGUUGUAAAAACAAUUAUAUUUUCAAACUUUCAAUAUAGAGAGAGAAAUAAAAAUAAAAAGGAAAAGGAAAAGGAAACAACCCCCAGCUUUCUUGUGCCCUUUCCCUUCUUUACAUGGCUUCCUCGAUCGAUGUAAAAAAGCAAACGCCCCAUUUGAUUUUCAAGCAGUAUGAGUGAGAAAGAUAGAGAGGACAAGAGAGGACAAGGGGGUCCUCUCUCUCUUUCCUUGCUUUUUUUAACGCGUGGACCCAGCAGUUGUUGCCACCAAAUUCCUUCCUCAAUAUUUACCAGUGCUACACGCUUGAGAAAUUUCCUUGUUAUUUUUUUUAUUAAUGAAAUAUUACUUUUACCGUAUAGCCAUUGAAUUCUAGAUCAAUUUAUCGGGUAUUGGGCCGGUUUGGAUUUAAUAAUUAUGAUUCACAGACAUACAACUAGUACUUGCAACUAUUAAUAUUUAUUAUUUUCAUUAAGUUUUUCAAACUUUCAAUAUAGAGAGAAAAAUAAAAAUAAAAAGGAAAAGGAAACAACCCCCAUCUUUCUUGUGCCUCUUCCUUUUUUUUUAAGUUUAAUGUUGGUGUUUGGGUCAACUUGCACGCAUCUCGACUAAUUUCAUGGGCUCUGAAGUUAACAACUAUGUAAGUCUCCAAUGACCAUCAUAUAAACAACCACGGGGCUCGAAUUUAAAACUAUAAAAAAAACAAAUCUCUUAAUCACAUGAUCUUAUUAAUGUACCACCAUUUAGGUAGUUGCCCUUUCCCUUCUUUACAUGGCUUACCCGAUGAAAAAAGCAAACACCCCAUUUUGAUUUUCAUUCCGUACGAGUGAGAAAGAAAGACAGGACAAGGUUUGUUGAGGCUUUUUUUUUGGAACCUCGCUCUGGGAUUAAUUAGCGAGAAUAAGAAAAUUCUAUGCAAAUUAUACAAAAUUUAUUAUUAAUCAUCAAUAUUUAUUCUUAUCAUCAAUAUUGAAUAAUGGUUUAUUUUCUAGUAUAAACUAUGAUGGGUUCGUUUAUAAAAAUAAAUAAAUUGAGGUUUUUCAAUUUCCUUUAAACAUAUCAUAGUUUUAAUACCAUUUAUUUUUACAUUUUAAAAAUAAUUUUUAAAAAAAUUAAAAAUAAAUUUUAUUUUUUAUUUCAAAAUAAUAUUUUUUUAAAUAUUUUUAAAUUAUCUUGAUAUAUUGAUAUUAAAAUUAAUUUUUAAAAGAUAAAUUUUUUCAAACAUAAAGUUUAGCCUGCAGAUCUUCCGCUGAUCCCAUCUCAUUGUUGUAUGCAUCCAAGCUAAGCCAAUUCAAGAAAGAAGAUUUGAAGAAUACCACCAGCAGCAGGAGUAAUACAUUAACAUAACAGCAUUAUGGCAGAAGGAGGGACGACCUCACUGCAAGGGCGAAGGCAUGUUAAAGACUUGGGCGUGCUAUAAUUUAGAUUAAAACUUUAUUAAUAUUUUUUGAUUAGUUUUAUUUAAAAAAAUUGUAAUUCUUGAUUGAAUUAUUAAAAAAAUUUAAAAUUUAUGUGGAGCUUUCUAGAAUAACGUUUUAACUUGGAUUAAAAUUUCAGAAUAUUUUGAGAAAUUCAAAAAUUUGAUGAAAAAUCAUAAUUUAACUAAUUUUAUGUUAAUUGAUGUAAUUUUCAAUCCAACUAUCAAAUUGAGCUGAAAUUUUACGAGAAAUCUUAAAAUAUAUUAAAUAAAAUAUAAUUAAAAUUUUAUGAUGAGUGGAGCUUGAUAAUACUAACAAAAAAAAUCAUCAAAUAAAAACAAAUCAAGAAUAAAAUGAUUAUUUCCAUUAAAAAGUAAAAUAAAUCAACUAUUUAUAUAAUAGCUAAAUCUAUUAAGAUAAAUCGAAAAUAACUAGUAAAAUCAAUGACUUGUAUUGACGAGUGUGUCUAUAUAUACAUAUAGGAACUGCUGAUUCGAUUUGAAUAUGUUAUUUGAUUAGUCUAAUUCAUGAUUUGCAUUGACUCAAAAUUACCACUAGAAAUUCCUAGUUUCGUGGUGCUUUCUCAGCCUGCAAAUGAAUAUAAAGCAUAUCCUUUUAUCCUAUAUAAAGAAUACAAUUAACCUUUUUAUCUUUUAUAAUUAUAAUUAUUGCAUUGCUAAUAAUUUGCACGAAAGAAUAUUGUUUCUCUGAAAAGGGCUUGAGAAAACCCUAAGCAUAGUAUAUAAUCUCUUAUAGGAAUCUCUUUAUUAAAUUAUCAAAAUAUCAAAGUCUGUUUCCAAAGACUAUGACUACAGUUUAUAUAUAGAAACAACCAAAUAUAAAAAUUAUUAAUUUUUAAAUAGAAAAACCAGAGAGCUUGAUAAUAUUUAAUAAAAAAAAUAAAAUAGAAAAAUUAUUCCUUUUUAAGUAGAAAAAAAUUAUAAAGAUUUAAUAAUACUAAAUAAGAAAAAUUAAAAUUUCUACACUAAAUUAAAAAAACAAAAAAAAAACUGAGAAAAUAUUUAUUAUCCCAAUAGUUCUUAUAUUAAAAUCUCAUUUAUCAUAUGUUAUAUCUAUCAAAAUAAUAAUAAUAAUAACUUGUGACUUGAACUAAAGCUACAUGCGAAAACUAGAAAAACCCGGUAGAGACCCGUUCUGUUUUUUCAAAUAUGUUUUUUCUUCUAGCUAGAGACCUUUUUUUUUAAUAUAUUUUUCUAUUGGUUACUAAACCAUUUCAAAGUUCACUAUAUAAAUACUAGAAGAAUAUUUUAUUUUUUCAAUAUGGAAUAAAAAAAAUCAUUUUUGUUUACAUACCUCAAUUUAAAAGAAUUAGAUAAUAUUUUUUUAAUAUGAGAUAAAAAAACCUUUUGAAAUAAUCUUUUAAACUUUAUUAUAUGCAACAUGUAUAAUCUAUAUUCAUAUAAAUUAUUUCUUUAAUUUUUUUCAUUCUCAUAUUCAAACUUCCAAUAUUGAGAGAGAAAUUAAAAGGAGCAAAAGGAAACAACCAGUGAGGACAAUAUCCUCCAGCUCAUCAUCAGAUCCCACGAAAGGAACGCAGAAAGACAUUCCCUUUCUUGUCAUCAAGUUUUGAAUCAAAAAGUACUUUCGUGCAUUAUUGUCAUAAAGUUUUUCAAACUUCCAAUAUAGAGAGAGAAAUUAAAAGUAAAAAUAAAAAGAGCAAAAGGAAACAACCCCCACCCCAUCUUUCUUGUUCCCUUUUCCUUCAAUGAAAAAGCAAGCACUAAUGCACCUUCUCCACAAACUACCCCCCAAUUUCGCCACUAUAUAAAUAUAUUAUGGAAAACAAGAUAAAAAGAAAUCUUUCGGUACAUCUAUAUAUAUAUAUAUAUAUAUAUAUUAUGGCUAUGAAAAUAGGUUUGUGGAAAUUUACAUGGUUUGAUUUUGACAGUGUCAGAUUAGACAAUUGCAUGGAAAUGGUCUUCUUAGUUUGCCGUGUGGAAAAUCAUGUCAUUUACGGGACUGCUGGAGAGAGUUUCUAUUGAUAAUUUCACUCGAAAAGUUUUAGUAAUUUACAAAGGAAAUUUCUCCUUUAUAUGAAUUGAAAAACUAUUAUUGACUGACUUCUUGCAAAGUAUUUGCAAGAAAGCUAAAGAAUUAAAGUUUUUCAAUUUUGAAAAUUAUAAUUUAAAAUUUUUAGAAAAAAAUCAAUUAUUUUUAAAAUUGUUUUCAAAAAUACACUACCAGAAAUUCAUCUAAUACCAACGGACUUACCGACAGAAUUAUUCUGUCGGUAAAUUGCGGUGAUAAUUACUGACGGAUACUAAUCCGUCUGUAAUUCAGUUGGUAUAUACCGACGGAAUUAUUCCGUCGGUAUAUACCGACUGAAUUACAGAAGAAAGAUAUAGAAUUAAAAAAAAGCGGGGAUGUUGACGUGACAGUUUUUGCGGGCGAUUUUACCGACGGAAUCAACGAGGGAUUCAAACCCUGAUUUUGUUUAUGAGCAAUUUUGACUAUCUUAGAGGUAGAACUAGGUUCUCUUUAAUCAUAGAACUUGUAGCCUCAUGUCUUAGCUUUCUAACAAGACUAAUCUUGCUUAAAUCGGAGUUUUAUAACUCCAGAUAUAGUUAAAAAUAUGAGGAGAGGUCAGACAGUAACAGUUCAAUGUUUAGACAGUAACAGUUCAAAAAUGAGACAGUAAUAGUUGGACAGUAACAGUUCAAGAACGAGACAGUAACAGUUAAAAAAUGAGACAGUAACAGUUCAAAAAUGAGACAAUAAUAGUUGGACAGUAACAGUUCAAAAAAGGAGACAGUAACAGUUAAAAAACGAGACAGUAACAGUUCAAUGUCUAGACAGUGACAGUUCGGGAUUUAAACAGAAACGGUUCAAAUAUAUAUAUAUAUAUAUAUAUAUGUGUGUGUGUGUGUGUGUGUGUGUGUGUGUGUGUGUGUGUGUGUGAAAUGAGAAAAAUGUAAAAUAUUAAGAAAUGACUGAAAGAAAGACUUAUUGGUUGUUGAUAUGGUUAUAAUAAAACAUAUCCUUGAGUGAGGAAGUAGAGCUUCUAUUGCAGGUAGGUAAUCCGUACCUAUACUUUCUAGUUUAAUUCUAUGAUUUAAUAAGUUAUUGAUGUGAGAUGUGAAUUACCGAAUAUGGGAUAUUAGGAUAAAGGAGGAAAGUUUGCGUAAUGAUGCCGAUAUUUGGAAAGUAUUCUUAAUGUAUGUGUAUUCAAGGUGAACGGUUGUUCUGUGAAUUGCCAAGUGAUGAAAUUAUAAUUGAUAAAGAAAAUAUGAGAAGUGUGAUUUGGGGCGUGAACUAGCAUACAUUUAGUGUAUGUUAGGAUCCCGGGUAAGGGGAUCAAGAUGUAUUGGCUAGCAUACAUUUAGUGUAUGUUAGGAUCCCGGGUAAGGGGAUCACCAUGUAUUGGCUAGCAUACAUUUAGUGUAUGUUAGGAUCCCGGGUAAGGGGAUCACCUUGCAUCGACUCCUACAUGAUGAUGAUGAUGAUAACAGUGAAAUUGGUAUCGGUAAUGUGUUAAGCGGAAAUAAUCAUGGGUGGUUUUAUGAGAUCUUGAAUGGAGGUUGAUAAUAGAAGAGGAAAUGGUUUUUAGUAGUUGAAGGAGAAAAAGUCUCCAAUAAGAACCAAAAGGGAGAAGUGAAUAAAAUAUGAAUGUAUGUUGCCUUUUUAAAUUGCUGGAUAUUUGUAUUGCUAUAUUAUUGUGAUAUUCAUAUUUCAAUAAUAUGUAUUUUAUUUUCAGGACCAUCGCAUGCAUGACAGGAGUAGAUUUUGGCUUAGGUUCUUUUUUUGUAAUUUAGGUUCUAAGGAGUAUACCCUUGUAUUUGGUAAUAUUACAACUUUUAUUUAACUUAAUUUGUAUAAUUGAUGUUUAAACUUGAAUAGAUGAACUUAAUUCGGUAGUUUGUAUAACUAUGUUCCAUUAAGCAUGUUUAUAUCUUUAACCAUCCAUAAUGAUAAUUGUUGUACAAUGUAUAUCAUCAACAUUGUGGUUGAUAUGAAUGGUGAUGUUUGUGGGAUUGAGACCUAAGAUGAUUAGGCUGAAUUGAGUUGGAGAUGCGGUAUAUUAGAAGUGUAAACAGGACGUAUGUCGAUAACUUGGGACCUCCCGGUAUAGGGGAUACUCUGUUAAAAUUUCACUAGACUUUAAUGCAAAUACCAUGAAUAGAUAUAUAUAUAUAAAAUUUAGUCACUCUGUUUAUCAGCUAACAUGAGAUCGUUGCUUUAUCCCUGAUAUGGGAAUGUUACAGGUUCGAUAGAAGUCAUGGAUGAUUGUUCAUGGAUGUAUCGAGAUCCAUGUGUUAAUUUUGACAACAUGUAUUAAUUAAGAUGACAACAUGUAUUAAUUAACUAACAUAGUUAACUAAUACAUGUUUUCAUCAUAAUUUUAUAGAGGUUCGAUAAAAGUCAUGGAUGAUUGUUCAUGGAUGUAUCGAGAUGCACCCCAUGGAUUGCAGAGGAUUCUUUGAAGAAAAUUCAAAUUUUCAUGUUUUCGAUAAUAGUCUUGUUGAUGUUGACGCAGAGGAGUUGAAUGUUGUUUUGAGCUCUAACGGACAAGCAAAUAUCGAUGAAGAUGAUGAUUAUGAUGACAUCCAUAUUGAAGAUUGCGAUGGAGCUGAUGACUAUUCAAUUGAUGACGAAGAAGAAGAAAAUUCUGACUAACUAGCAGAAUCAAGGAAAGUGCAAAGCAUUUUUCUAAAAUGUAAUAUGUAUUAUCGAUGAUAUUUUGUAACAUGAAAUAUUUAUUUGAUAAGUGUUUAAGUGUUUUUGUGUGAUGGGCAGUUUGUAAUUUAAGUGUUUGUAGGAAGGUAAAUAGGCAAUACAAACAAAAGUUUUCAUGCACAGUGCACGAUCACCAACGUCCAUACCGAUGGAUUACAUUUCGUCGGUAUUGCACAGAGAGCUGUAAAAUAUUUAUUGGAAAUGCCACAAUCACCGACGACUUUGCAGAUGGAUUACCGUCCGUCGGCAUUCAACAGAGAGGUUCACUGGAAAUGCCACAAUCACUCACCGACGACUUUGUAGACAGAUUAAAGUCUGUCAGCAUUCCACAGAGAGGUUCACUGGAAAUGCCACAAUCACCGACGACUUUGCUGAUGGAGUAGAGUCUGUCGGCAUUCCACAGAGAGUGGUGGAAAUGCCACAAUCACCGAUGACUUUGCAAACGGAUUACAGUCCGUCGGCAUUGUGUCGGCAGCUCACAAUUAUCGAUAAAUUCACCAACGAACGGUGUGAAUUCCAAAGGACGGGUAAUAAAUGCAUAUCUGAUAGCGUGCAGCUGCCGACGGAAUUACCAACGAACUGCGAAAAAUAUGGAGGGUAAUUAAAAAAUUCUGGAGCAAAAUUCAAAAUUUACCGACGGAGUUAAAUGUUCGUCAGUGAAUCCGUCGGUAAAAUUACGAUAUAAAUGCCAGCGACCGCCCUUUGAGUUCAUUUUUUCAUCUCCUUUGUUUUUAGAGCUUAACUUUUUGUUUUUUUUCCCUCUCAUUUCCUUCAAAUCUCUUGUUUUUUCUUGUAAUCUCUAGUUAUAUCUUCAGCAAAUUAAAAGGUAUGUAUUUCCUCUACUUAAUUUGCUUUAAGAUUUUACUUUUUUAUUUGUUCUUUGUUUAGCAAUUGUUAUUUUUGUUAUGUUUUUUGUUUUGGUGUAUUUUCAUAAUGUAGAUAAAGUCUUACAAUAAACACAUUAUUAAGGUAAGCAUUUUUCAUUCUUAAAGUCUAUAGUUUUUUUUUUAACUUGUUCAAUAUAUUUUGUUGUUUGUUUUGCCAUAAUAAUUAGGGGUGAGCAAAUUCGGUUCGGUUCGGUUUUUAUCUAAAAAACUAACCAAAAUCAAAUUUUGAAAAACUUAAAAAUUCAAACCGGACCCAAACCGGAACCGGUUCAAACCGACCGGUUUCGGUUCGGUUCGGUUCGGUUUUUUUAUCAGGAAAACCGGAAAACCUGUAUUAUUGUUUUUUUGGGCUUUUUCGGGCUUUUUAAUGGGCUUUCUGAUGGGUUUUCUGAUGGGCUUGUAAUUAAUGUAAAUAUCAUCUAAUUUUGUUACAAAAUUCUAUAAUAUAUUUAAUAUUUUUUAUCACUAAAUAUUCAUUUAUAUUAAAUUAUUAGUGCUAAUAUUAUGUUUAAUAUGUUGCACAUCUUUCUAAUAUUUAUAUUUAGGAGUUUGGACUCCUCAUGCAUCAAAAUUUAAAUAACACACACACCAAAUUAAAAUUAAAAUUACAAAGCAUUGCCUUCAAAAUGGGCUUAAAAAAACAACAAAUAACAUUGCCAUAAAAAAUAAAAUACUUCAUGCAAAAAAUAUAAAUCUUCAUUGUGCACAUCAUCUCAAUCAAAAAGCACAACAAGAUGACAAGAACAUUGCACUUUGAUUCCGUAAUACCAUUGACAUCAAAACCUGAAAAUCAAGAUCUAAAAUUAUAACAUGAUAAAAUAAAUUAGAAUAUGUAAAAAUAAAUAGUAGUAUUUUACCAUCAAAGUAACUUUUGAACUAAUUAUCAUUUGUUACUAAAUGUAACUUUCCACCAAAUUCUACAAAAUAAAAAAUUAGACAUGUUAGAUGAUUGCAAACAAUUUAAUUAAUAAAUAACAAAAUAAAAGGUGCAAAUUUCUAAAAACAAUUACCUGACUCAAGGUUUUCGUAGGUUUCAAGAUCAUUUAUCAAGCUUCUAAUAUCAGUUGGAAUUGAUCCAUGAUGAAACCAAUUUUGACAACAAAUGAGUGCUUGAACAGUUGCUGGAGAUAGAGAACUUCGAAAUUGAUCAAGUACACGACCACCUGUGCUAAAUGCUGAUUCAGAAGCCACUGUAGAUAUAGGAAUAGCCAGAACAUGUUGUGCAACCUUUGAAAGUGUCUUAUAUUUCAAAGCAUUACUUUUUCACCAACCCAAAAUAUCUAACUUAUCAUCAUUACGAUCCUCACAACCUUCAAUCAAAUACCUCUCAACCUCAUUUUUAUUUUCCACACUAUCCACCUUCAGCAAAUGUCUUUUGAAUCGAGCCAAAGUGUUAACAUCUACCUCCACAUCAUCAAUAGCAUUAACAUCCUGUUUAUGCCUAUUAUUAUCCACCACUUCAUCAAUUUUCAAAUAAAACUCAUACAAGCUCACCAAAGUAUCUUUCACCUUAUUUGUUAGCAAUUGUGCUUUGUCAUAAUCAUACAAAUCACCAAAACAAAAUUCCACAUAUUUCAACUUCAAACAUGGAUCUAAGACAUUAGCCACAUAUAACAAAAAAUUCUGAUUUACUUCACAACCCCAAUACUUCUCAAACUUUAACAUCAUCUUCAUCGCCAUUCCACUUUAACAAGUUUGUAUGCAUGUAAAUCAAUUCAUUGAAGAAAGAAUUUGAUGUGACAUGCAAUGAGCCAGAAAAUAUCAAUGUAACCAUAUAAAAGAUCUUUAAGAACUUAACCAAAGUUCUUGCAUUUUCCCAAUCCUCCAAACUAGGUGGCCCUAUGUUUUUUUUAUUCCCCUUUGAAUCAACCUCCAAAAAGUAACUCAUAUACCUAAGUUCUCUUUCACCUAACCUCACAAAUACCUUUUCAAACUUUUCAGCAGCUUCUAGCAUAAGAUAAGUUGAAUUCCAUCGAGUUGCAACAUCUAAACACAAUGAUUUCUUACACUCUAUAUGCAACUUUUCAGCACACUUCUUAAAUGCAAGAUGCCUCAACGGUGAAGAUCUCACAAACCUAAUGGCAUUUCGAAUCUUAACAACUGAAUCAUUAAUCUCUUUCAAGCCAUCACACACAAUGAGGUUUACAAUGUGUGCACAACAUCUAACAUGCAGGUGCUCAUUUGACAAUAUAUUAGUUGGCCAAUCUUUCAUCACAUUCUUUAAAUAUGAAAUGGUCACAUUAUUAGAGCUUGCAUUGUCUAAUGUAAUAGUCAACAGUUUAUCAAUCCCCCACUCCAACAAACAAUUCUCAAUAACUUGGCCAAUUGUCUCACCCAUAUGAUUGGAAACUUGACAAAAAUUAAGAAUUCUUUUAUGCAAAUUCCAGUCAUUAUCAAUCCAAUGAGCUGUUAAACAAAUAUAGUUAAUAUUUUGGAUUGAUGUCCAUGUAUCUGUUGUCAAGCACAAUCGUUGACCCCUAAGAGCUGUCCUCAAUCUAUCCUUCUCUUCAACAUAAAGUUUCAAACAAUCUCUCAUAAUUGUAAAACGAGAAGGAAUGUCAAAUCUAGGUUGUAUAGUCCUAGCAAACAAUUUAAAUCCCCGACCCUCCACAAAAUUAAAAAGCAACUCAUCAAUUAUAACCAUCUUUGCUAGUGCUUGUCUACAUUCAUCAUAAUUAUAACCUAUUGCCUUAAGACUUCCCACAUUUUGUUCUCCCAAUUCACCCUUCUCUAUCUUAGGUUCUAAUACCAAAACCUUUUGUUUCUUAUCAAUCACAAAAGGGAACUUCUUGUACACUUUUAAAUGACUCCACAUAUUACUUGUGCCAUUAACAAUAGUAUGACAUGCAUAAUGUUUUCCACAAUAAUUACAUUCAGCUCUAGGGGUUUUAGGAUCAACAUCAAGUUUUGUAAAGUGAUCCCAAGUUUGUGACUUCUUUUUAUCAUCAGCAUUUCUUUUCCUAGAUGAAAGGACUUGAGGUUGUUUACCUUGUGUAUCUGUGGUGGAUCCUGCAUUGGUUGAUUCUACAUUAGGUUUUGAAGUUGGAGAAGUAGUUGAUGUUGGUGUAGUGCCUGUGGAUGAAGCAUUUUGAAUUUGAGUAGUUUCCAUCUGUUAUUAUAUAUGAAAACAUGUUAAAAACCAAUAAUUUAUAAUAGAUUAACAACAGUAUGACAUGCAUAAGUUCAACUGUAAUUUUAAAGAUUAUUUUCACAAGUUAAGUUCUUUUAUUUUGGUUGAUAUGUUGUAAAAACAAUUAUGUUGCUGAGUGCUGAGAUUGUAUUUUGUAAUUUCAAUAGACAAUAAUACAAUACAAUAUAUAUAUAUAUAAACAUUAUUCUCUUUUCAAUAAAUAAAAAAAAUUCAGUUUUCAGAAUUGAUAAAUUACAAUCCACCGAAUCCCCCCUCUUUUUUUUAACACAGAUAAUAAACAUUAUUCUCUGUUUUUUUAGCACACAGCAUUGACAGCACACCAUAAUAAUGGAUUAGCAAUAAUAUUUAAAACAAAUGCCUCUCGGGGAAACUGUAUUUUCCCAUUUUUCUCCCUAAUGUAAUAUCAGGCUCAUAAUACCAAUUCACCGCAUUGGUAUUGCAAGUUUUUAUCAUUUGUUUAGUAUCAUUUUCUUCUUCAGUCAUUUGGCUAUUGACAUAAUGAGAUAAUUUUUCUAAUCUUUUACCAGUACUCCACCUUAGAGUAUGAGUGGAAUUCAAUCUCUAAUGUCUAGCUAAAAGCCUAAAACGGCACAAAGAGGUUUCUUUAGUAAUGAUCAAGUUUUACCACUACCAGUGCCAAUUAUUCCCAUUUCUUUCAGUGAUGUGCUGUUAGCUUUAGCAUUUGGAACAAUCAUAACAUAUUGUCUUUCUCAUGACCAGUGCCAUUUCUACCAGUGCCAAUUAUCUGUGUUUUGUAUAUUAAAUUAACAUGCAAGAGUUUGUAUAUUAAAUUAACCCUCAUUCCGAUAUUAAUCUAGAUUCCAUUAUUUUUUCAUUGCUACUCAUGACCUUAAUAAAACACGAAUUCAUUAACAUAUUGUCUUUCUCAGCAAAGAAAAAACGCAUUGUCUCUGUCAUAAAUCUCUUCUUAAGAAGUUUAUUAAAAAAUAAACAGAAUCACAGAGCAAUAGAGCAUAUGUUCAAAAAAAAAACAGAGACAAAAAAAAAAUCAUACCUGGUGUGACACGAUUCAAGGUCGGGUGUGAGAGAGGGAGGUGACUGCCUCACUGGUUCGCUAAAUCUGGAGUUGGACUCUGGAGGUUCGGUGAGCCGGUGUGGUGUGUGUCCUACGAUUCAAGAUCAGGUGUGACCGUGUGAGAGAGGGACGUGGCUGACUGGGGUUUGAAGAUGAAGAUGGUGGCCGGUGGGAGAGGGAUGUGGCUGACUGGCGUUUGAAGAUGAAGAUGGUGGGAGAGGGAUGUGGCUGACCGGCGUUUGAAGAUGAAGAUGAAGAUGGUGGGAGAGGGAUGUGGCUGGUUGUGGUCCAGUAGAUGAAGAUGGAUUGAUUUCUUACAUAUGUGAAAUUGUGAGUUGUGAGUUGAGGGAGCGGCUUAGGAGAAAGGAGAAGGACGGCUGGAGCAGGAGUAUGGAUGCUAGGGUUAAGAAAAACAACGCGAUUUUUUUUGUAGCUAUUUAUAGUACCCCUUAAACCGAACCGGUUCGGUUCGAUUGGGGUUUUUCCGGUUUCAGGUUUCUAAAACCGAAACCGAACCGAACCAAACCAAAAAUUUUUACAAAAAAUUUAAUCGGUUUUUUUGGUUAUUUUUUUUUCGGUUUUCUCGGUUUAUUCGGUGUCUCGGUUUUUUUUCUCACCCCUAAUAAUAAUUGAACACUUUGUUGAAUUUUAAUUGUUAUUGUUGAAUUUACCUUGCAAUUAGUAAUUGAAUACACUGGAAUGAAUUUAAUUAUUUUAUCUCAAUUUUACUGUAUUUUUGCAUGAUAUGUGUUUAAUUAUUUUGUUGAAUUUUAAUUGUUAUUGUUGAAUUUACCUUGUAAUUAGUAAUUAAAUAUAUUGGAAUAAAUUUAAUUAUUUUAUUUCAAUUUUACUGUAUUUUUGCAUGAUAUGUGUUUAAUUAUUUUGUUGAAUUUUAAUUCUUAUUGUUGAAUUUACCUUGUAAUUAGUAAUUGAAUAUAUUGGAAUGAAUUUAAUUAUUUUAUCUCAAUUUUACUGUAUUUUUGCAUGAUAUGUGUUUAAUUAUUUAGUUGAAUUUUAAUUGUUAUUGUUGAAUUUACCAUGUAAUUACUAAUUGAAUAUAUAAGAAUAAAUUUAAUUAUUUUAUCUCAAUUUUACUCUAUUAUUACAUGAUAUGUGUUUAAUUAUUUCCAUUAAUUUUAAUUGUUAUUUGUAUAGAUGUUAGGUUAUAUGUAAGAUUUUUGAAUGGGGGUCAAUUGGUUGUGGCUAUUGUUAAUAUUUGAAGGUUUGAAAACUUUGGGUAGUCUCCAGUAUAGAAGAGACGCUGCUGAAUUUUUUUUAACAAUCGAAUUUAAUUAUAUAAUUAUUCUUAUAAAAUUGCGUAGAUGUGUAUAAUGAAAUCAACUGUUCGUCGCUCACAUAUGGUCGCAGCUAGUUCUUCUAGCAGCAAGAAUGACAUUUCCUUAGGUGUCAAUCAAGAAGAGGUACCUGCACCACCUACCGAUGCUGCCUCUUGCAGCACGGUUUCACAGCGCAGAGACGGCGUGCCUUCACAGUGGAAUCAAUUUACUUACAAGUACGAGGCACAAUGGAAGAACGAUGUUUCAAUGUAAGUUUGUUUUGAUUUUAGUUUUUUUUUUAAUUAUAACAUAAUUUAUGAACAACUAAUCAAUAUUUCAUUAAUUUAAUUUAUUUUCAGGUUCACAAACAUUGAGACCGUCCGAGUAAUAUCAUCGGCGUUUAAAUCGUCGAUGGAGAUUCCAUUAUUUCAAUGGAGUUAGGUAUCCAGACAUCCUGAAUGGAUACCUAAUAUCGAUGCAUGGUUUGAUAAAUUUGAGGUUGGUGUUAAUUUCUAAUUUCCAGCUUAUUUUUAAUAAAUUAUUAAUAUAAUUAUAAAUAAAUUAUUAUUUUUAUUUUAAAUAAAUUAUGUAUACGUGGCACAAAUUCGAGUAGGACAGCACACAUGAUAAUAUUGUGAGGAGGGUGUGGGAAAAUCAUGCGGCAACUAAGUAACAUCGAAAACAAUAUGAUAUUUUUUAAAAAAAAAAUAUGUUUUAAAAUCUAAUUUGUUACUAUGGAAGUAGGUUGUGUGAUUUUUGGUAUGAAGCACAAAAAAAGGUAAAAAAAAAAAAAACACGAGAGAUAGAGGUCUCCAAGGCUAGAACGACGUGGCGGUUUGGGGGGAUUUCAAACCGCUACACAUCCCGGAAAAUAUUUGGCCGGAAUAUAUUGAGCACGUGACGUCUGAGCGGUUCACACGACGCUCAAAGUCUGGUGCUGACAACCGGAACAGGCAAAUUCAUGGUUCACUGACAACGCACAUCGACGGCUCCGUAUCGUUUGCUACACAUGCAAAACGGAUAUAAGAUUAAUUUAAAUGAAAUAUAUCGUUAAAUAAUUUGUUGUUACUUAAUUAAUUUUUUUUCUUACAGGCUACGUCUCUUGGACGUGAGCCGAGCCCAAUGGAGCUGUUUGUAGAGACGCACAUGCGGAGUCAAGACCGCCAAAAGGGGGUGCAACAGUUCGUUGACAACCGCGCUCAACACUUUGUGGUAUGUUCGUUCAACCAUUUUAUUUCGUAAGUUAUUAUUUUUAUUGAAUUGAAUAUGAUGAUUUUUUUUUAUUUUCAGGAUACCUAUAAUAGUCGUUGAGGGAGAGAUAUAGGGACGAUCCUUCAAUCCAUCCGGAUUUCAAUCCGGAUUUGUGGAUGGCGGUAGGAUCGUCCGGUGGACUCGAUAAAAAUCAGGUGUAUGGGCUCUCCAACACCACGGCCGAGAACUUGCGAGCGGCCAGUAGUGCCUCAACCGUUGGGAGCUCCCAAUCUAAGGAGUCCGUGGCCUUGCAGCAACACACGAGUCAUCUCACCGAGAAAUACGAGCAACUCUCGACGAAUUAUGAACUUCGCCAAAUUAUCAUGAACAUGACAUCACAGAGUGACUUUAUGGUCUCGGGAAAAACCAGCCUCCUCCUCCUCCUCCUCCUCCAGCCCCGCCAUUCUGCUAAUUUAAUAUUUUUUUGGAAACACAUUCAAUUUGUAAUGAAUAUUAUUUAACUUUAUUUUUUUAUUUUUGAUGUUUAAUAAAAUUUUAUUUGCAUAAUAGUUUUUUUUACUAUUAAUUUACAUAUUUUUAUAUUAUUUAUUCUAAAUAAUUUUUUAAAAAACAAAUUUAAAAAACCCCACCAACAGAAUUCAUCCGUCGGCAUUUUACAGAAAGUUGAAAGAUAUUUACUAAAAAAGGCCACAAUCACUGAUGUCUUCACAGACGGAUAGUGUCCGUUGGCAUUUUACUUAGAAUCAAAAAAUAUUUACUGGAAAUACUAUAUUCACUGAUAUUUUCACAGACAGAUUUAUUUCGUUGGUAAAUACCGAGAGUUCAAACAAUGACUUGCAUUGACGAGUGUAAUAAUCUGGAACCACUCGCAAUAAAUAAAGCCACAAAAGGCAGACGAGAGUGUCUAUAUAUAUACAUAUAGGAACUGCUGAUUCGUGGUGCUUUCUCCUGCAAAUGAAUAGAAGACGAGUGUGUCUAUAUAUAUACAAAUAGGAACUGCUGAUUCGUGGUGCUUUCUCCUGCAAAUGAAUAGAAAGCAUAUCCUUUUAUCCUAUAUAAAGAAUACAAUUAACCUCAUUUCAAUAUCCUUGCUUUACUCUUCAGCUAACUUCUCUCUCCCAUUGCUGAAAUUUCAUAGCUAACUCUUUGUUAUAUAGAGGUAUAUAUGGCUAACUCUUCUUUGCUUCUUUCGUGUUUUAAUUUCAUGUCUUUACCAUUAACAAUAAUGUGAAAGCUUUGUUUGUUUCAUGUUUAACUUCAGUUGCUAUUGUCUUAUGCUCUCUCAUUAUUAAGCUUAAACUGUUGUAUCAUCUUCGAUGAUCUUGACAUGUAUCUCUUACUUGUAUUAGCAAGAGAGUAGAUACCUUCUGCAAUUGCUCCAUUGCUAAUUGACUGUGCCUUGAUUUCUGCAGCUGCCAUGACAGAGCCGGAGUCUUCUCGAUCUAUAUCACUAGGGGCCUAUGAUGUCUUCUUGAGUUUUAGAGGAGAAGACACUCGCAAGACAUUUACAGAUCAUCUCUAUACUGCCUUGGUCCAAGCAGGAAUCCACACUUUUCGAGAUGAUGAUGAACUUCCGAGGGGAGAAGAAAUCUCCGAUCAUCUCCUCAGGGCAGUUCAAGAAUCGAAGAUAUCCAUAGUUGUCUUCUCAAAAGGAUAUGCUUCUUCUAGAUGGUGUCUCAAUGAACUUGUAGAGAUUCUGAAGUGCAAAAAUAGGAAAACCGGUCAGAUUGUUCUUCCUAUAUUCUAUGACAUUGAUCCUUCAGAUGUGAGAAAACAGAAUGGCAGUUUUGCAGAAGCAUUUGUUAAACAUGAAGAGCGUUCUGAAGAGAAGUUGGUGAAGGAGUGGAGAAAAGCUCUUGAGGAGGCUGGAAAUCUAUCUGGACGGAAUCUCAAUGAUAUGGCAAAUGGGUAUGCCUUUUUCCCAAAUUUAUGGAGUCAAUAUACUUUACAUUUUUCAAUGUGAAACAAUAAAAUGCUUAAUUGACUCGCUAUCAAUGACUGCCUUUUGUCUAUGAGCAGGCAUGAAGCAAAAUUUAUCAAAGAGAUUAUCAAGGAUGUGUUGAAUAAAUUAGAUCCCAAGUACUUGUAUGUUCCUGAGCACCUAGUAGGUAUGGAUCGGCUUGCUCACAAUAUUUUUGACUUUCUAAGUACUGCAACCGAUGAUGUACGCAUUGUGGGCAUACAUGGGAUGCCAGGAAUCGGAAAGACAACUAUAGCAAAAGUUGUAUUUAAUCAACUCUGCUAUGGAUUCGAGGGAAGCUGUUUUCUUUCGAAUAUCAAUGAAACACCAAAAAAACUUACAGGUCUUGUUCGUUUACAAACGCAACUUCUUCGUGAUAUUUUAAAACAAGAUGUUGCAAACUUCGAAUGUGUUGAUAGAGGAAAGGUUCUGAUCAACGAACGAAUUCGUCGCAAAAGAGUUCUUUUUGUUGCUGAUGAUGUGGCUCGUCAGGACCAGCUAAAUGCUUUGAUGGGAGAGCGAAGUUGGUUCGGUCCGGGAAGUAGAGUAAUUAUUACAACAAGAGAUUCAAAUCUUCUUCGUAAAGCGGAUCAAACAUAUCAAAUUGAAGAAUUGACACGAGAUCAGUCCCUUCAGCUUUUCAGCUGGCAUGCCUUUAAGCACUCCAAGCCAGCAGAAGAUUAUAUUGAGCUUUCGAAGGAUGUAGUUGAUUACUGUGGAGGACUUCCUUUGGCUCUUGAGGUUAUGGGUGCUUGUCUGUACGGGAAAAACAGAGGUGGUUGGAAAUCUGUAAUUGACAAAUUGAGAAGAAUUCCAAACCACGAUAUUCAAGGAAAGCUUAGAAUAAGUUAUGACUCACUGGACGGUGAAGAACUACGAAAUGCAUUCCUUGAUAUCGCUUGCUUCUUUAUUGAUAGAAAGAAAAGGUACGUCGCAAAAGUGCUAGGAGCCCGUUGCGGUUACAAUCCAGAAGUUGAUUUGGAAACUCUCCGUGGAAGGUCUCUGAUUAAAGUUAAUGCCAUUGGAAAGAUAACCAUGCAUGAUCUAUUACGAGACAUGGGAAGGGAGGUUGUUCGUGAAACGUCUCCAAAAGAACCUGGAAAGAGGACCAGAAUUUGGAACCAAGAGGAUGCAUGGAAUGUACUUGAGCAGCAGAAGGUACGUAAGAGCGCAAUGCAUACAUGAAAGCAUAGUCAUGCGUAUUUUCUAGUCAAACUUAUUACAAAUAAUUGUAUGAAAGUUGGAUUGAUUUUUUUUUAGGGUACGGAUGUUGUAGAGGGUCUUGCACUGGAUGUAAGAGCAUCAGAAGCUAAAUCACUGAGCACAAGAUCAUUUGCAAAAAUGAAACGCUUAAAUUUACUCCAAAUCAAUGGAGCACAUCUCACCGGAUCCUUCAAACUGCUUUCUAAAGAGUUGAUGUGGAUUUGUUGGCUUCAAUGUCCUUUGAAAUAUUUUUCAUCUGAUUUUACCUUGGAUAAUCUGGCUGUUCUUGAUAUGCAAUACAGUAACCUCAAAGAACUAUGGAAGGGACAAAAGGUGUGAAACAUUCUACAAUCCCCAAAAUUUCUCCAGUAUGUAAUUUAUAUUUACAUGUUAUGACUUUCUAUGAUUAAUUUUCAUUAUUUUGCCCUCUAUUAAGACAGAUUCUCAACAGGUUAAAAAUCCUCAAUCUCAAUCAUUCUAAGAACCUUAUUAAAACACCAAACUUGCACAGUUCAAGUCUAGAGAAACUAAAGUUGAAAGGUUGCUCGAGUUUAGUUGAGGUGCAUCAAUCAAUUGAAAAUUUGACAAGCCUUGUUUUCUUGAAUCUGGAGGGAUGUUGGAAUCUGAAGAUUCUUCCUGAAAGCAUUGGCAAUGUAAAGUCUCUUGAAACUUUGAAUAUUUCUGGGUGUUCACAACUUGAGAAAUUGCCAGAAUGCAUGGGUGAUAUGGAAUCCUUAACCGAGCUGCUAGCAGAUGGGAUUGAAAAUGAGCAAUUUCUCACUUCAAUUGGACAAUUAAAGCAUGUCAGAAGGUUAUCGUUGUGUGGAUACAGUUCGGCUCCACCAAGUUCUUCUUUGAAUUCAGCAGGUGUUUUGAAUUGGAAACAGUGGCUGCCAACAUCUUUUGGAUGGAGAUUAGUGAAUCAUCUUGAGCUUUCUAAUGGUGGUUUGUCUGAUCGCACAACUAACUGUGUUGAUUUCAGUGGUUUGUCCGCUCUAGAAGUAUUGGAUCUAACAAGAAACAAAUUCUCUAGCCUGCCUUCUGGGAUCGGCUUCCUUCCCAAGCUAAGGCGGUUGUUUGUUCUGGCAUGCGAAUAUCUUGUAUCAAUCCUAGAUCUUCCCUCAAGUUUAGAUUGUUUGGUUGCAUCUCAUUGCAAAUCAUUGAAAAGAGUAAGAAUACCAAUCGAGCAAAAAAAAGAUCUAUAUAUAGAACUACAUGAAAGUCAUUCGUUAGAAGAGAUUCAGGGCAUCGAAGGUCGAAGUAAUAGUUUCUGGUAUAUUUGUUCUAAUCAGUUCAGUCAUUCACCAAAGAAAUUACAGAAAAGCGUUGUUGAGGUACUAUUUCUUUCAGUCUCUUUUGCACACGAAGAAACACACAAUUGGUACAUACAUUGAUUAAUGUCUAAAAUCUCAGCAUUUCUUGAAAUCAAUAUGUAUACAGGCAAUAAUCAUCAUUAUUAUUAUUUUAUUUUAAAAAAUAAAUAUGUUUAAUAAUAUUUUUUAUUUUUCUUAUUUAAUCUAAAAAAUUAAAUAUUAUCUUUAAUAAUAUGUUUUUAUUAAAUAUUUAAAGUCUGAUUGGUUUUAUUUUUUAAUUAUUUCUUGAUUUUAUGAUAAUAUACAGGUAAUGUGCAACGGUCGUCACCCGUAUCGUAUUUCCCCCAUUCGUGGUGAGAUGCCAAAUUGGAUGAGCUGCAGUGGAGAAGGAUGUUCAUUGUCAUUCCAUAUACCUUCAGUCUUCCAAGGCUUAGUUGUUUGGUUUAUCUGUCCACUUGAACCCGUGACAAUUGAAUUCGAUUCUCGCAUUAUUAUUAUUAUAAGAAAUAAAAGCAAUGGUAUUCAAUUGUUUGAAGAUAAACGAACACCAGGAACUGACAUGUUUUUUAUUGAGGGAUUCAUAAGAUACAUAAGUAUAAGUGAAAUGGGAAUGGAAGAUUACUGUGGAGAUGACGAAUUGGAACUCUGCAUUUAUUCAGAGCCAACAGAGCAUGCGGUGCGCCGUCUUCCAUUCUACCCCGUACACAUUAAAGAAUGUGGGGCCCAUGUGAUCGCAAAGAAGUUAAAUUCAUUUGAAGAGUCGGCAAUGGGAAGAGCUACAGUGAUGCCUUCACCAUCGCUGUAUCAUCUGCUUCCUCAUCCCCAUUGUGGUUCAAUUACAGCAUCUACACCUAAGCAAUGGAGUAAUUAUUUAUUUGCGAAGCUGCAAGAAUAUAACCUCAGUUUAACAUUUCAUGGUAAGAACAAAUAUUUCCUUUAGUUAUUUUUAUUCUAUUAUAUUUAAUUUAUGAGAUUAAAUAUUAUCUUUAAUUAUUUCAUUAUUAUUAUUUAAUCUAAAACAUUAAAUAUCAUCUUUAAUUAAAAAAUAUAUAUAUAUUUAAGGCUUUUUGGUAAGAAUACAUAUUUCCUUUAGUUAUUUCUAUUUAAUUUAAGAGAUUAAAUAUCAUCUUUAAUUGUUACAAUAUUUUUCUUAUUUAAUCUAAAAUUUUAAAUAUUUUCUUUAACAAUAUUUUUUAUUAAAUAUUUAGAGUCUACUUGGUUUUAUUUUUUUUCUUGAUUUUAUGAUAAUAUUUUUCUUAUUUAGUAUAAAAAAUAAAUAUUAUCUUUAAUAAUUAGAUCUAUCGAAUAUCACUUAAAAAAUAAAUUAUAACUUUAAUAAUUAUUUUUUGAAAAACAAAAAGCCAACAAUCACUAACAUAUUUUAUUAAAAUCACUUUAGUUUAUUUAGAAAAUAUUGAAAAUUGAUUAUUUUUUUUACAUUAAAAUAAAAAAAUUAAAAAAUGUUUUUAUAUUUUAUUUCAAAGUCGAUAUUUUAAAACAAAAAUGAAAAAGAUGUGAUAUUAACCUUUUUUAUUAUAAAGUAAGUUUUUUAAUUAAAAGUGAUGAGAAUUUGUUCGUAAUAACAAAAUGCAUGUUUAAUUUUCUUUUCAAACUUGGAAUAUAUUUCUAUUGAAUUUGAUGGUUUUUUUAUCUUAAAACACUUGCCAGCAAUCUUGUUUUUUCAAUGCUGCCAUUUAGCAAGUGGAGUACUGUAGCUUUUCCACAUACAUUGAAUAAUAACAGUUUGAAUAAAUAACAAGAAAAUAGAAAUUAGUUUUAUUAAUUUGAACGGUACAUCAUUCAUCGAAUAAAUUACAAAAAAGUAUUAUUGAGAUACUAUUUUUUUCAGUUUCUAUUGCACCAAAAUAAACACAUAUAUUUGUCACAUAUAUUAAUUAAUAUCAAAAAUCUCUGUAUUCCUUGAAAUCAAUAUGUAUACAAGUAAUAAUCAUUAUUAUUUUAUUUUAUUUUAAAAAAUAAAUAUCAUAUUAAAUAAUAUUUUUUAUUUUUCUUAUUUAAUUUAAAAAAUUAAAUAUUAUCUUUAAUAAUAUUUUUUAUUAAAUAUUUAAAGUCUGAUUGGUUUUAUUCUUUAUUUCUUGAUUUUAUGAUAAUAUAUUUAUACAGGCAAUGUGCAACGGUCGUCACCCGUAACGUAUUGCUUCAUUUCGUGGUGAGAUGCCAAAUUGGAUGAGCUACGGUGGAGAAGGAUGCUCCUUGUCAUUCCAUAUACCUCCAGUCUUCCAAGGCUUAGUUGUUUGGUUUGUCUAUCCACUUGAGAAGGAUUGUCAUAACCUAUUUUUAGGUUAUUUUUCAAUAUAUAUAUUUUUUUUUCUUCAAAAAAAUUACAAAAAAAAUCUAAAAAUAUUAUAAAAAAUAUAACAGUAAAAAGAGGAUGUCAGAACGCUCAGAAAAUAGUUAAAAUUUGGUUGAGGAGGUUUAAAAAUAUAAAAAUUAAAAUUUGGUAGUAUUUUAUUAACUGAUGAUAGCCCUGUUGACAAAGAAAAUUCAAUUUGAGAAAAAAAAAGUCUAAAAUCAGAUGUUGAGGGACUCAAUUAAAUUAUAUUGAAAGUUUAAUUGAAUUUAUGGAGGGUUUGAUUGUAAGAAAAAUUGAUUUUGGAGUUAAUUUGGGCUUUAAUUGGAAGAAAUUAAAGUUCUGGGGUCAGAUUAUAUUUUUUUUUAGAGUUGAUUUGGUCAAAUUGGGGGCUUAAUUGCAUAAAUAUUAAAGUUUGAUGGCCAAUCGGGGACUUAAUUGAAGAAAUCUGAGACCAAGGACCAAAAUGCAAAACGCGCGCAAAUUGAAGGAUUGAAUUGAAAUCUAGCGCUUUGGCUCCAAUUUUCAUUUAAAUGAAACAGUGCGUUUUAAGCAAAACGACGUCGUUUCAUGCACUUUCCAAAAAAAAAAAAGAGGACGAAACGGUGCCGUUUUGAGGCGGCACUGUUUCUUCUUCUUCUUCCCCUGGACAUGCAGCAGGGGAAGAGGCGUUUUUGUUUUCUUCUCUUUGUUUCUUCCUCUCCCUCCCCAUGUGCUCUGUUACAACCAAAACCGGUCGCCACUUGCCUCAUGAUGAGAUGCCAAAGCAGUCGUGCCCCGCAAGCGACGCCUCCAUUGGCCACCUCUGUCGGCGCCGUGACAGAGCAGGAGACGUGCGACGCAUGCAUGGGCAACGAUGGGACGGGGCAGGGUCGACCCCGCUCCCCUUGCCCCUAUAAAUAGUGACCCGAAAGGAGAAAAAAAGGAACACGGGAGAAAACAGGGAGGGAAACCGAGAGAGAGAAAUCGAUAGUGUUGAGAGAGAAAUGACUGAAACAGUAGAAACCAAAAAAACCGGGGAUAUCGAUAGGGAGACCGAGAGAGACAGACGGGGAGAAGGAAGAAAAAGGACAAAAGAGGUAAACCGAUGGGGAAGAAGACACUGACUGGUGUCUCUACACAGCGGAGAAGAAGCGCCGCUGCUGGCAUUGGGCUUCACAGUCACCGCCACCGCAACACCACCGAGAACGUUCACCAGCAUCACCGUCAGCUCAGCCAUCCGAGAUCACCACCUCAGGUAAAUUCUCUUCCCCUCACGCCGAUAAUUAUUCAUCUUCUUGCUUGUAGAACGUGCACUGUGCACGUUCUGCAUGCAAGAAGAAAUAAUUAGUCGGUUACCGUGCAUGCGCACAGUAACCGGCUAAUUAAUUAACUAGUUACUGUGCUCAUGCAUAGUAACUAGUCAUUGGUUUCUUCUUCUGCGAGUUGGAACAUCAGCCCAGCCCACGCGACUGGGCUGAGUCCAACCCCCUUUUUUUUAUGCGGGCUGGAACAUCAGCCCAGCCCACGCGGCUGGGCUGAGUCCAGCCCUGUUAACUGCGGCCUGGAACAUCAACCCAGCCCAUGCAGCUGGGCUGAGUCCAGCCUUGUUGCUGGGCCAAUACAGGCCCAACCCAGUUCAUUUCAUUUUUUCUUUUUUCCUUUUUGUUUUGUGUUUUAUAUAUAUAUAUUGUGAUUUUCCCACGGAUUUUUCUACGUCAUUUUAACUAAUAUUGGUCUAUAUUUUUUACUCGGUUUUCAAAAAAAAAAACUUUUGCUUUCAUGCAUACGGCCAAGUCUCUCAAAGCUAAAAAAUCAUAUUGUAUUUUUAUACAACAAAGAAAACUAAAAAAAUAUAUAUUAUUUUAGCAUGCAUUUUAGCUUUAAUAACCAGUUUAUUAAAGUCAUGAUAACUUGGCCAAUAUUUCAAAAAAUCAAAAAAAAUAUUUUGUUUUGUUUUAAUGUCUGGGAUUACGAAUUUAUACGUAAAACGUAUUCCCGAUAUUAAAAAGGUAGUUCUUUUAUAGACAUUAGGCCGGUUAGAUUUUUACCCCAUAAGAUAAGAACCUCCUUACUGAGGAGGGCUUUUCUUGAACCCUAGACAGACCAACAUGAUAAGACCUUAGAUUUUUUAUUAGACAAUAAAACAAUGCAGCUUACCUUAGGUAGGGUGUAUUUGAGGUGCUAAUACCUUCCCUUUGCGCAACCAGUCUCCGUACCCGAUCUCUAAGACCAGUUAGGGUUCCUAGUGAUCAGAAUACUAGGUGGCGACUCUCAUUCCAUUUUUUCACCGCUAAGAGACAAAGAAUUCCUUGUUUUACCAUAUUUUCCAGAAUAGAUAGACAUACCACAUUUGAUGAUGAGGGUGGUGGAUGAUCGCCGCACACGUGCGAUAGAAUGGUGACUCCACUGGGGACCCAUCAAAUCAAUCAACAGAAAAAAAAAUCACCAAGCCGAUGCCGCGCGGGUGACAUGCGACAAGGAUGAUCAUUAUUACUCACGGUCUGGCACUAUUAUUAUUAUUAUUAUUAUUAUUAUUAUUAUAAGAAAUAAAAGCAAUGGUAUUCAAUUGAUUAAAGAUAAACGAAUAGUAGGACCUUUCCUACCAAAAACUGCGGGAUGGAUAAGAUACAUAAGUAGAAGUGAAAUGGAAAAUGGAAGAUUACUGUGGAGAUGACGAAUUGGAACUAUACGUAUAUUCAGAGCCAAGAGGAGAUACAGUGCGCAUCAUUAAAAAAUGUGGGGUUCAUGUGAUCGCAGGGAAGUUAGAUUCAUUUGAAGAGUCGGAAGUGGAAAGAGAUAUAAUGAUGCCUUCACCACCGUUGUAUCAUCUGCUUCCUCAUCUCCAUUGUGGUUCAAUUACAGCGUCUACACCUAAGCAAUGGAGUGACUAUUUAUUUGCGAAGCUGAGUAAAUAUAACCUCAGUUGAACGCUUCAUGGUAAGAACAAAUAUUUCAUUUAGUUAUUUCUAUUUUAUUCUAUUUAAUUUAAGAGAUUAAAUAUUACCUUUAAUUAUUUCAUUAUUAUUAUUUAAUCUAAGAAAUUAAAUAUCAUCUUUAAUAAAAAAAAUUAUUAAAUAUUUAAGGCUUUUUGCUAAGAAUACAUGUUUCCUUCAGUUAUUUCUAUUUUAUUCUAUUUAAUUUAAGAUAUUAAAUAUAAUCUUUAAUUAUUUUAUUUUUCUUAUUUAAUUAAUCUAAAAAAUUAAAUAUGUUCUUUAAUAAUAUUUUUUAAAAAAUAUUUAGAGUCUGAUUGGUUUUAUUUUUUAUUUCUUGAUUUUAUAAUAAUAUUUUUCUUAUUUAAUUUAAAAAAUAAAUAUUAUCUUUAAUAAUUAGAUCUAUCAAAUAUCACGUAAUUAAUUAUAUCAUUAUUUUAUUGGUAGCAACUUAGGAGUCUUUUAAGCCAAAAGAAUAAUAGCUAGGAAGAGCUAAAAUUAGCAAGGAAUAUUUAGAGUCUGUUUGAUUUUAUUGUUUUUCUUUGAUUUCUUAAUAAAAAAAAUCAAAUUCUUGAAAACAAAAAUUGAAAACUUAUACGUUUUGAUUUUGAUUUUAUUUUUGAAAAUGAAAAGCCACCAAUCAAUAGCAUAAUCUAUUAAAAUCACUUUGUUUUAUUUAGAAAAUAUUGAAAACUGAUUUUUUUUACAUUAAAAUAAAAAAUUGAACAAUAUUUUUAUAUUUUAUUUCAAAUUUGAUAUUUUAAAACAAAAAUGAAAACGAUGUGAUAUUAACCUUUUUUUUAUUAUAAAGUAAGUUUCUUAAUUAAAAGUGAAGGUGAUUUGUUUGUAAUAACAAAAUGCAUAUACAAUCAUGCAAAAGUUGUAUUUAAUCAACUCUGCUAUUGAAUUUAAUGGUUUUUUAGGGAACAAAUGAUAUGGAUGAAUGUGAGAGCACAAGAUCAUUUUACAAAGAGAUUGAUUGGUACUUAAAAAUAUAUUUUUAUUAAGGUUUUAUAUCAUCAUAUUGCAUUUAAAGUAUAAUUAAAUUCUCUAAUUUAAGCAUAUUUUAUAAUAACAAGUCUGAUAACAUAAAAUAUAUUUAAUUUAUGGUAAAUGCUCAUUUUGAAUGCAGGCAUAUCUCACAAUUUAAAGGAUUGAUUGAUGUGUUUAACUAUUAAAAGUGAAAAGACAAAAAGAAGGCUAAGCUUAAAGAAGAAAUGUUGGUUCAAUUCAAACUGGAAUAUCAUUAUGUUAUUGAAUCAUAACUAUAGCUAUAGAACAUGGAUUUAGGUUUGGUUUAUAUGGAUGGAAAGCUAAGACAUAGGCCUAAAACUUUCAUGAAGAGUUCAAGAUUCAAAACGGCCCUUUUCAAGUUCAAAUUAUAGCAACAAAAGAGAAGUCGAAAUAUGACUUGUAACCUAGACACUGUUCAGUGUUCAGCCCAUAUCUCGAGUUCUAGAAGUUCAAAUAAUCUCAUUCUUGUUUUGUUGGAAAACUGAGACAAAUGCCCAGAAGUUUCAUGAAGACUAUCUGUUCAAAUUUUGAUGUUAGCAUGUUGUGUUCAGACAAGAAGAUAAUGGUUGUCACCAAGUCAAUAGGUGGCCACCCACUUAAUAAUUAGUCAUUAAAUCAAUAGUUCUGAAUUUUGGACUCUAAAAGAAGGCAUUUGCCAUACAUUUAGACAUCUUGGUGUUCAGAUCAAGAUCUUGCUCUCACUCUCUCUAUUUGUAUUUUGUAAUGUUCAAGUUUUAUUUUAUGUUAUAUUAAUCUCUUAUUUAUGCUUUUCAUUUCUUUUACUAUACUUAGUUAACUUAUAUCAUGUUUAUGUUAUUAUGUUGUUUAUUUAUGUUUUUCUUCUUCAUGAUGUUUAUCUAAGUUAAUUUUGUCAAGGUGAAAAGGGUACACUAAUGGUGUAAGAAUAAGUAUAAUACAAACUCCACAUAGACUUUAAUGUUUAAUACUAACAUGUUUUGUAUUUGUUAUCUUACUCACUCUUUAUACCUUACUUGUUAAAUGGUUAAUCUAAAUUUAUGUUGUACAACCCUUGGCAUAACAAAUACUUGACACUUUCAUAACCUACUGUAUGGUAUAAUCAACACUUGUGCUAUGAAAGGAACUUGAUUUAUUGUUAACAUAAAUUAUCAUCAUGAAUACCUGACCACAUUUACAAGUAUUGGCAUUACUCAAAUAAGAUAAUUAAUAUAAUCAUGUAUGUGGUUUCUAGUUGAGUAAUAAAAAGAGUUUAUACUAUACUUAUUUGAAAUACCUCUAACUUUAACAAUUGUUUUAUCCUUGUUUAAUCCUUACAUCAAUAUCACAUUUCAAAAGUUCUCUUCAACUCCUUUUUAAUUGUUGUUUAUAAUUUUAUAUAAUUCAUCUCCCUGUGUUUCAACCCCGGUCUUGCCGGGUUAUUUAUUACUUUGACACUCCUGCACUUGAUAUAAGACAUCAAUCUCUUGAUCGUGUUAGAGAUGCUUGAAGUUACUCUUUAUUGGUAUGGUAGUUGUUUCUAACGAGUUGAUAAGUAUUUGUUAGCUUGAAGAUUAUUUUCCAAACUUGGAAGUUAUAUUGAAUGCUUUUUGAAAUCUUUUCCAUCCGAUUUGAAAUUGGACAACCUAAUUGUUAUUAUCCAUUAUGUAAUUUAUAUUUUCAAGUUUCAACUUUUGAUGAAUAUUGUAUUGAAUGCUCUUUGAAAUCUUUUCCAUCCGAUUUGAAAUUGAAAAACCUAGUUGUUAUUAUCCAUGACGUAAUUUAUAUUUUCAAGUUACAACUUUUGAUGAAUAUUGUUUCCUUUUUUUCUCACUUCUUGGAAGUAUUCUCAAAAAGAUGAAAAUCCUCGAUCUUAGUUAUAAAUAAAUUGGUUUUCUAGGAAGAGAUUAUUAGGUGGGAUAUAUUAUUUGAGUUGGUUCUUCAUCAUUUAAUGUUAUGAUUUAAGAUAAUUGAUGAAAACUACCAAUACACAAGAAUGUUUAGAAAGCAUCUUUAAUUGGUCUAAUAAGUAAAGUCUUGUUAGUUUUGGCCAUAAGCUAUGUAUUAUUGCUUGUUUUUUACUAUUUUUUUACCUUUUUUGUUUUUUGUAUAUACAACUUUUGUUUUUCUUGCGAGUUUCUCAUUAGCUUUAUGGCACUAACAUCAAUUAAUAAUAAAUCUUGGACUAUUAUUAAAUAAAAAAAAACAUAAACAUUGUUAAAACACCAAACUUGCAUAGUUCAAACCUAGAGAAACCCUAUGCCAAUAAUCUAAUUUAAAAAAAUAAUUAAUUUAUCCUUGUAGUCUUAGAAAAUAGUAUUUAAUCCUUAUGUUUUUACAUUUAUCUUUGAUUUAACCUUUUACAUCUAUUUCAUCUUAUUAUUUUGGUUUACUAAGUAAAGUCUUAGAAACCUAUUUAUGGUCUUAAACAACUUAAAAAGGCUCAAAAACCUAAAAUGAACUCAAACCUGAAAAUCUUCAUGCUGAGAGGUCUGUUUCAUCAAGCAAGGAAAAAGAAAAAAAAAACAUAGGUGAAACUUCCCUCAUCAAAUAAAAUCCAAUGACACUAGGAUUGACUAUUUUGGUGGCUAGAAUAGAAGUCAACGAUAACAUUUUCUUUCCACGUCGGAAUCUAGCAAGUUUCUCUCUUCUCUCACAAAAAAAAACUAAAAAAUAAGGAAAAUAAAGUUUGGUAUUAAAAUCAAAUUUCCGACAACUAAAGAGACCAAUCACCUAUUAACUAAAAACAAUUGGGGACCGAACUAAGUUUUUCAUAUGAAAUAUGAAGUUGACAUCUAUUUUCUCCAUGUUUUUUACUUUGGUUAUCUAUCUUUCAAUCCAACCCUUUCUUCAUAAAAAUAGAAGUAACUUUGUAUUAAUUUGGACUAAAAAAGGUACAAUAGUGCAAAAACAAAUUGAGGAUCAAAUUGAGAAUUAAAAAAUAAUUGAUUAUUUUAAUCUAUAAUGAUAUGUGAGAGAGUGCACAUUAUAAAGUGAAGAGAAAAAACUCCACAUGACUUUGAAACACCUUUGAUGGUUGAUUGAAAUUGGUAAGUGAGUUUCCUCACAUGUUGUUUUUUCGGUUUUGAGUCCAAAUAUGGAGAUUUUAUGAUUUAAGGUAUUUUUCAUGAAUGCAACCCUUCAUGUAUUCAAUAACUUAUUUUCUAGUAUAAACUACGUUUGAAAUAAAAUUGAUAAAAGACAUGUGGUACACAAUUAAUGAUGGCAUGUAUAUAAAAAUAAUUAAAUUGAAAAUUUUCAAUUAUCUUUAAAGAUAUCAUGGUUUUAGUCGGUUAAAUUAUAAAAAAAAUAUUUAAUUUUUUGAUAUAAAUAAUAAUAACAAAUUAGAUAAUAGUAACAAGAAAAUAGGAAUUAGUUUGAAUAAAUGGUACCAGUUCCUAUUAUGAUAUAUCUAGAGAAGAAGUUUGAAGAAUAAAAUGAAGUGAAAUAUUCUUAAUAAAAAAAGAAAAACACAAAAAGAAAUAAAAAAAUAUUCUUAAUAAAUAUAAAAGAUGGGUGAAAUUAGAGAACAAGAAAGAGAUAUAGAAUCUCUUUGUAAGAUUUCUAAAAACUUAAUUACAAUUAUAUUAUAAUUUCUUCCCUAAAAUUAUUUAAAAUAUAGUAUUAGAAUUACAUAAUGCUAGGUUUUAAUAUAUAAUUAAAGAGUUUCUCCUUAACCAAAUAUAAAAAUAUUUUAUAAUUCUUUUGAAUGAAUUAUUAACGGAGGGACUGUUUUGGGUCCCUAUUUAGCUGAUUUUAUUUGAAUAUAUUAUUUGACUAGUCCAUUUAUAGGUUUACUCUACUAUUCUUGCCUUACUGGAACCGGAAAAUUCACUCGAAAUUUCUAGUAGUUUACACAGAAAUUUCCUGUGCUAAACUUCAAAGAAUUUCUUUUCUUUUCAUUUUGUAUUUUCUCAUUUUCUUGGCAUGCGCGCAGCUGCAUCAAGGAAAAAACGUUUCAGAUGCGUGUAAUAAAUCCAAUCGAUGAAUGAGAAAGGGACGCAAAAUAAAGAUAAAAGUGGAAUAUUCUCAUUAAUUGGUCAUCAUUUAAACGUUGGACACAGCCAUCUAUAUGUUGUUUAAAGAAUUUAAAUGGUUAGUCAGAAAGGAUUGCUUUUUAAUUAAAAAUAUAUUAAAAUAAUAUUUUUAAUGCCAAGUAUUUGUUCAACCUCAUUAAUGCUAACGAGUGGACCCAGUUGUUGUGGAAACUUUGCUAGGGAUCUGGAGUGUCAUAAUCCAAAAUUAUUCCUUAAAAUUUAUAUUUUUUCAAAAUAAAAAUCAAAAAAAUAAAAUAAAGGCUGGCAACGUGGAGAAAGCAGGCCGGAAAAUCAAGCUGUAAUUUUUGGAGGAAAUUCAAGGCGUAAUUGUACCCCACUAUGCCCCAAAAUAGAGAGAAAAUAUAAAUUCAAGGUCAAAUUAAAUGAUUAUUUGACAAAUUUGCAUAAACAUUAAGUCCGAUGACAUAAUUAAAUUUUUAAUAGGCCAAUUUGAUUUAAUCACGGGCCAAAUUAAAUUUUAAUUAUGUUUAAGAAUUAAUUUGCGUCCAAUUGAAGGAUUUAAUUAAGUGCAAGGACUUAAUUAUACUUUAAAUGGGUCAAAUUAAUUUUAUUUUGGGCUUAAUUGGUGAAAACUUAAGUUUGGGAGCUUAAUUGAGAAGAUUGGAAUUUUAAGAGACCAAAUUUAAUUCUUACCAAGUUAAUUGAUUGAAAUUAGGGGCCCAAUUGCAAGAACAUUGAAGUUUUGGGGUCAAUUGGGGGUUAAAUUGAAGAAAUUGACAGCUAAGGACCACUCUGCAAAAGGCGAAAACAUUUGGGGACUUAAUUGACAACCACCGGGGCAAAAUUGAAGAAAUUGAAAGUAUAAUGGUCAAUUAGAGGUUAAUUUGACAAAAUUCGAGACCAAGGACCAUAUUGCAAUAGGCGCGUAACUUUGGGGUUUCAAUUGAAGUUUAUCAGGGGCUUAAUUGCAUUAAAUCCAAAGUUAAGGGUUAAUUAGGGGUUCAAUUGAAACCAAUUGAAAGAUGGAGGACUAAGAUGAAAAUAUGUUAAAAUCCCUAAUUCAACUCAAAAUGGCGCCGUUUUAUAUUAAAAAAGAGAGAGAGAGAGGGGACCAGACGACGCGUUGUCGGGUCACUGUUCAUUGUCUUCUUCUUUUACCCGAAAGAAACUGCUUGGGAGCCUUAUUUGCAGGUGCAUUUAAUGCUUGAUUUCUCCAUAAAAUUGAACAAAACUUGCACGAAAAGGAUCCCCUGCAAUUCCUCUACAAACCCAUGUGAACUUUUCAGGAUUAAUGACAGCACAGCUACGCCGGAGAUGGCGUGAAGAGGUCAACUCAGGCAGCCUUUUCCUGCAGAUUUGACAACUCAGGGAGGCUACUUUGAGCCAACAGUUGGGAUCCUUCCCAACAGAAUCAAGAGCUAAAAUUUUACCCCAGUGCAAAAGAGAUUACCCUCUUCGACCGCCUAUAAAUAGAGGCUGAUUUGAUGGCCUGAGGGAGGAAAAAAAAUCGGGUCCAAAAUUUGAAAAAAACAAGCUCCCACUGCCCCCGUUUCUGCAAUUUCUCUCUCUCUCUCCGUCGCUUCAACCACCACCAACCUCAUCACCAGCUUCUCCACCACCAGCUCCAUCACAGUAAGCCACCAACCGACCACCGAGAGCCACCGUGAACCUUUCUCUCUCCUCUGCAAACCGGUUUCUUCUUUCUCCCACAGCGACUCCACCGGCCAAAACUCUCCACCAACGCCGCCAUCAGCCUCUUUUCUUCCACGACCAGACCACCGCCAACUUCACGCCAGGCCAGAGACAGCAGCUUCUUCUCCUCCGCAAGGUCGCCUCCCACUUCACUCCGCCGUCUGCGCAAAGUUGCAUGCAGAACAUGAACUUACUGUUCACGUUCUACAAUUAAUUCAUCCCUCACUUGGGCCGGGCCAUAAAUGUUUGGCUGGGUCUGGCCCGGCCUCAAAAGAAAAGGAGAAAGAAAAUAUGUUGGGCCGAUAUCGGCCCAACCUUUUUGGACCGAGAUCGGCCCAACUGUUUCUGGGUUUCUGCUUGGUCCAGUUACUUGGGCCAUCCCGGCCCACCUGUUUUAAUAAUAUUUAAUUAAUAUAUUAUAUUAUAUUAUAUAUUUCCUUUUAAAAAAAACAAAAAAAUCCAAAAAAAAUUUCAAAAAUCAUUUUUAAAAAAUUACGAUUUUCUCAAAUAUUUUUCUACCACUUUUGUAUAAUAUCGGGUUGUAUAUUUACACUGUAAAAUACAAACCUGGUAUUAAAAUACCCGGUUUUCUCCUAAAUAUUUCAAAAACAAAAUUCAAAACAUUUUCAAAGAGAAAAAAAAUAUUUUGUUGCAUACGGCCAAAUCUUAAAAUUUUUCCAAGCAUAUUUUUCAAUAAAAAAACAAAAAUUGCAUCUUUCUCCAGUUUUGAAAAUAAAAAAAAUGGAUAUCAUAACCAGUUUGUGAAUAUCCAUUAGAAUUUGGCCAACAUGUCAAAACCUUUUUCCAAUCUUUUUAGGGUUCAGAUGCAGACUUUAGUAUUUGUGGAGUGUAAAAUUACACGAUAAAGUACACCCUCAGGUAUUAAAGAUACAAGGUGUAAAUAAAUGCGAUGCUAAAAUUCAGACUUUAGAAUGGUUAGGAUUUAACCUGAUAAAGUAAAGACUUUCUCAUGAAGAGAGAUCUGCCUUAAACCUUAAAAAAGACCAACGAAUAGAAACCCGAUUUAGAAAAAAACAAUCAAACAACAAUGUAGCUUACCUUAGGUAGGGUGCACUGGGGGUGAUGCGUCUUCCCCUUGCACAACCAGUCUCUUACCCAGACUCUCGCAGACCAUAGGUUUCUAGUGAUCAUAAUACUAGGUGGCGACUCCUAAACAUUAAUCAUAAUUUUAUAAUUAAAUCCAAAAAACCUUCCCAACACACAACACCUCACACAGGAGGCACGACAAGAAGCCUUUGCCGUCGCCAGACGACGUCGCGCCCCUUGCGACAUGGAGGAAGAAAAAUGAUUGCAUUGCUAAUAAUUUGCAAGAGAGAAUUCUUUUUCUGAAUAGAAAAAACUAUUAUUUUUAAAAUAAAAACAACUAAAUAGAAAAAUUAUUAUUUUUUAAAUAGAAAAACUAGAAAAGCCUUGUAAUAUUGAAUAAAAAAUAAAAUAGAAAAAUUAUUCUUUUAAAGUAGAAAAAAUUAUGACAAUUUAAUAAUACUGAAUAGAAAUAAAUCAAAUUUUUAAACUAAAUAAAAAUAAUAGAGAAAAAUAUUUAUUAUCCUAAACUUUUUUAUAUUAAAAUCUUAAUUUAUAACAUGAACUGAGUCUACAUGCUAAAAUUAGAAGAACAAAAAAAAAAUGUAACAAAAAAAUUCCAUACAACACAAUUAAUGAUGGGAUCAUAUAUUUUGAGACUAAAAUGAGGUUUUCGAAUUACCUUUAAACAUAACAUAACAUGAUUUUAAUAGAUGUACUGUACAUCAUUUGAAUUUAUUAGAAAAAACAUAUAAUGUAAAGUAUGAACCACUUACCAUUAACUAGAUUUUUCAAUUGGAUUUUUUAUUUAAAUGAAAAGGAAAAUUUAUUUUAUUAUGAAAAAUAUUUUUUAUAUAUAUCUAGUAAUAAUAAAUUAAAGGAUAAUAACAAGAAAAUAACAAUUAGAUCGAAUAAAUGGUACCAAUUUCUAUUCUGAUAUAUCUAGCCAAAGAAUAGAAUGAAUCAAAAUAUUCUUAAUAAAAAAAAUAGAAAACACAGAAAGAAAUAAAAAAAUGUUCUUAAUUAAUAUAAAACUAUUAAUUUACAAAAGAAAUUUUCUGGUACUUUAUACUGUAUAUAAUUUGAAAAAUUGUGACUGACCGACUUACUUGCAAAGUAUUUGCAAGAAAGUUAAAGAAUUAGAGUUUUUUAAUAUUCAAAAUUAUAAUUUUAAAUUCUACGAAAAAAAUCAAUUAUUUUUAAAACUGUUUUCAAAAAUAAAACAUCAACUAUUUAUAUAAUAGCUAAAUAAAACAAUUAAAAUAAAUAAAAAAAUAACUAGUAAAAUCAAGUGAAUAAUCCAAAAAUAACAAGAAAAUAGAGAUAUUUCCUAAAUAUGAUUUCAGUUUGUUGUAUUGAUCAAUUUGCUAACAUAAAUAGCAUAAACGAACUUUAUUCUAAUAGUAUGUUUGAUAUUUAAAAAAAAAAAAAACUUAUAGAUAUUAUAUGGGUUGGCAACCCAUUUUUUAUUAAAUUUUAAAUUUUAUUUGUUUAAAAAUAUUUGUUUAUGUUUUUUAAUUAUUUUAAUAUGAUAAUAUCAAAAAUAAAUAAAUAAAAUUUUUCUAAGUUUUACUACUUCUGACUUGCUUUGACUCGAAAUUAGUGGUGCUUUCUCCUGCGAAUGAAUAGAAAGCAUAUCAUAAAGGUGUGUUUGACAUUGUGUUUUGGAAGUAUUUUUUAAAAAAAUAAAUUUUUUUAUUUUUUUUCUUCAAAUUAUUUUUUUUGUUGAUGUUUUCAUAUUAUUUUGAUAUGCUGAUGUCACAAAUAAUUUUUAAAAAAUAAAAAAAUAUAUUAUUUUGAUGUGUUUUGAAAUGAAAAAACUUUAAAAAGCAACCGCUACCACACUCUCAAACUCCUUUGUUUAUUGAGUCUUACUGUGAAACCUCGUUUUGGGAUGAAUUGAUUGUAAGAAUAAGAAAUUAUGUGCAAAUUAUACAAAAUUUAUUAUUCAUCAUCAAGAUUUAUUAUUUAUUAUCACUAUUGAAUAAUGAUUUAUUUUAUAAUAUAAAUUAUGUUUAAAAUAAAAUUGAUAAAAUUAAAAUACAUGAAACGAGGUCGUAUAUUUUGAAACUAAAUUAAAAUUAUUUUCUUUUUCAAUGAUAUCAUUUGUUAGUUUGCAAGUCCACAUGUCACGAGUCUCCACUGCAUGAAAUUUGCAAAAUCAUAUGGCCCAUUGAUAGAAGGUGUGUUGAAGCAAAAUCUGUUUUAUUGAUUAUCAAUAUUGAAUAAUAGCUUAUUUUCUAGUAGAAACUAUGUUUGAAAUAAAAUUGAUAAAAGACAUGAUAUACAAUUAAUAAUAGGAUCGUAUAUAAAAAUAGGAAAUUUCCUGGUAAUAAAGUCCCAACUUUCGUAGGCGAGCACUAAAGUCCCAAACUUCAAGAAUUUCUCUUCUUUUCCUUUUGUAUCUUCUCAUUUUCUUGGCAUGCGCGCAGCUGCCUCGAGGAAAAAACGUUUCAGAUUCGGAAAAUAAAGAUAAAUGUGGAAAAAAAAAAUCCCAAAUAAAGAUAUCUUUUCGUCCCUUGGUGUCGUGUGAAUACCAUGUGGAUAUCAUUUCAGAAAAUCAAUUCAACCGUUCUCCAAAGAACACUCAUACUCCAAUAUCAGCAACUACCACGAAAGUUACCACUCUAAAUUCCAGCUCAAUAAUUAAGGUUCCAAGAUAAGCCUAAAAAAUAUUUAUUAGGCUUAUCUUAAAGCCUAAUAAAUAUCUAAAAAAAAACAAAAAAACAAAAUUCCACCCUAGGCUGUGAUUAACAGAUUAUCUGAUGGAAACAUGAUGAGCUUUUUUUUAGUGAAUUAAGUUCAAUUAAAAAAAAAUUAAGGUUAAAUUGAUGAUUAAUAAUGAAUUUUGUAUACUUUGCACAGGAUUUUCUUAUUCUCGUCAAUUAAUCUUAAAGCGAGGUUCCAAGAUAAGCCUAAAAAAUAUUUAUUAUUGAUCAACAAUAUUGAAUAAUGGCUUAUUUUCUAGUAUAAAUUAUGUUUGAAAUAAAAUUGAUCAUAAGAGUAGAUGAUAUACAAUUAAUGAUGAAAUCGUAUAUUUUGAGACUAAAUUAAGAUUUUUCAAUUAUCUUUAAAUAUUAUGGUUUUAAUAGGUGGACAAUGCAUUCUUUGAAUUUAUUACAAGUAAUGUGUAAUUUAAAUUAUAAAAAAAUAUUUAUUUUUCUGAUAUACAUGAUAAUAAUAAAUUUGAUGAUAGCAACAAGAAAAUAGAAAUUAGUUUGAAUUAGUACGUUUCUCAUUAACAUUAAUGAUGGAAUCAAAAUCUUUGUUAGCGGUCACCUGUUCGACCUCAGUAAUGUUAACGCGUGGACCCAGCUGUUGUAGAAACUUUGCAAAGGAUCUCGAGGAAGAAAAAUGAUUGCAGUGUAAGACUUAAUUACCGAUUCUAUGAUGGGGAAUAAAUAUGUUUAUAACAGAAUUGUAAGUUAUAAUAUGUAAAAUUUAAUUAACGAUUCUAUUAUACGAAAUAAAUAUGUUUAUAACGUAAUCGUAAGCCUUAAUAAUAAGAAAUCAAUAUCUCCAUCUAUUAAUGUUCCUCAUGUAUUUAUUAUUCUUUUUUAUAUAUAUUUGAUACUUUCAAACUCUACUCACUUUAUAUAGAUUGUGUAAAACUUAAGAGAACUCAGUAAGUGAGUAUAGAGAUCAAAUAACAUUAUUUAUAGCCAAAGCUUCCCUCAAGCUUUAAUGGCUAUAUGUCCCACAUAUUUAUUAUAUCAUGGGUAGUUACAAGUGAAUCACUUUAAGAGCUUAUAAAUGUAAAUGUUACAACUUUAAAAUGAACGAUUUUAAGAGUUUAUAAAUAUAAAUAUUAUAAUUUUUAGAGUGGAUCACUUUUAGUGUGAAGGAGAGUUAGAGAAUCGAUUAUAAUGACUCUGUAAAAAACAGUCAACAUGCAUUGCUAAUAAUUUGCAACGGAGAAUUCUUUAUUGAGAUUUAUUGUUAAACCUCGCUUUGGAAUGAAUUGAUCACGAGAAUAAAAAAUAAUCACUACAUACACCCUUUAACUAUUUUACUUGAAAGUUUCGAUUAUUUCCUAAGCUCCUUUGUUCAUUUUCUUUUUUAUUACCCCUUCAUGCACGACACUUUAUGCCACUUCAUGAUACCCUUGUUUUCAACGUUUUACACUACUUUAAAAGCGUGUUUGGUAGUGUGGUUGCGGGUGCUUUUCAAAUAACUUUUCGUGUCAAAAUACAUGCCAAUGAUAUUUUUUUUAUUUUUUAAAAAUUAUUUUUGACAUCAGCACAUCAAAACGAUCCAAAACAUAUAAACCUUAUUAAAUUUUAAUUUAAAAAAUAUUCAAUUUUUUUGGGAACGCAGCCGCAUCCGCGUUCACAAACGAGUCCUCAAGUCAAUUGUUAGAUACUAAAAACAGCAAGAACUGUACUCAAUCAGCAACCACUGUGAAAUUACCACUCAAAAUCCCAUGAAUAUAUAUAAAAAAGAAUUUUGUCUAGAAAAAUUCUAUCAAAUUCUCUACUUUAUUACUCUUCAAUGUUUUACACUGCUUUAGUUCUAAAAAAACUCCUAGAUGUUAUAAAGCAAGAUAUAUACAACUAUAUAUAUAUAUAUAUAUAUAUAUAUAUAUAUGAAAGUGUAAUAAAUAUUAUAUUUUAAAGUAUUUUUUAAAUAUAUUAAAAUAAUAUUUUUUUAAAAAUAAUUUUGAUAUUAGUAUAUUAGAAUAAUAAAAAAAUAAUUUAAAACAAUAAAAAAUAUUGAAAUUUUUAAAAAAUAUGAUUUGACUGAACUCCAAAACACACGCAUGCUCCCUCAGCAGCCACCACGAAAUUACCACUCUAAAUUCCAGCUCAAUAAUUUAUUCUUUAGCAAUUAUUGCUUGCUCUUUGACAAGUACUGCUUUGCUAAUAAUUUGCAAGAAACUUUCUCAAUUUCCUUCUAUUUUCUUUUUAUCAUGGAAACUUUAAGUCACAUACCACUAAAUUACCGAUAAUUAAAUUUCAAUGUGUAAUUGUGUAGGUUUCAAUUAAAAAUGUUUUAAUUUGAGAAAAUUUGUUAAAAAAAUAGUAUAAAUUAUAUUUUAGAGUUUAUUUUAAUAGUUUAAAUUUUUAGAUGAAUAGUUUUCUAACAAAUAAAGACAUAGUUUUACGAUAAAAUGCAUUUUUUAAAAUGAAAUUAUAUUAAAUUAAGCAUGGUCGAGAUUAUUCAAAUUAUUAAUUAAUUAUAAUUAACUUUAUGUCUUUAGAGGAAACAAAAGGAAAGGACAAAAUGAUUAAUUAAAUUUUUAGAUGAAUUAAUAAAUCUUUACAAAUAAAAGAUAUAGUUUUUCAUUUUUUGAAAUGAAAUUAUAUUAAAUUAAGCAUGCUCGACAUUGUUCAAAUUAUUAAUUAAUUAUAAUUAACUUUAUGUCUUCAGAGUAAACAAAAGGGAAGGACAAAAUUAUCUUCCCCACAACGAUAAACCUAGCCCCCUUUCCAAACCAAUCCUCUAGUAAAUAGAAUGAUGGUCCCAUAAAUUGCUUUAUUCUUUCCAGCCCGCCAAGUAGUUUGGUCUCCCUCACAGGACCUCCUUAGCAUGGGAAUCAUAUGAAUUUCCUUGCUUUUCUUCCUCUACGCGUUACCUUUCACCUUUUAUAAUUAUUAUUAUUGCAUUGCUAAUAAUUUGCAAGAAAGAUUAUGAACAUUUUUUUUAGUGAAAUAAGCUCAUUUCAAAUUAACAAAAUAUAGUUUGUUGAGGCUUGUCUUGAAACCUCACUUUGGAUUAAUUGACAGGAAUAAUAAAAUUUUAUUCAAAUUAUAUAAAAUAUUAGGUGUGGAUGUGCCCUUGCCCAACAAGCUACCAUGACCUUAUCUAGAGUUGGGUGUUAACGAGACAAGCCCUUGUCCAACUCAGAGUUCGGCAUAGAUAUAUCAUGACCCAACAUAAAGUUUGGAUGCGGAAAAAAUAUAAUUUCAUUUUGAAUUAUGAUUUUUGUUGGAUAGUCUUUAAAUAAAUUUUUUUUUUAGAAAAUCAUGACCCAUAUCUGGUUAUCGGAAAAACAAUUAUGGUUGAUUUAGCCUCAUCUUCUCUGCUUGUAAAAUUGGGGCAGAUUAUGGACUUAACCGAGCAAUUACCGCUCAAAAUUCCUAGCAAUUUACAAAGGAAUUUUCCUUGCUUUUUCUCAGUAUAUUAUUAGAAAAACCGUCAUUGACUGAUUUAAUUGUAAAGUCUUUGCAAGAAAGUAAAAAAAUUAGUUUUUUAAAAUAAAAAAUAUAGAGAGAGAAAUAAAAAAUAAAAAAUAAAAAAAGGAGCGAAAGGAAACAACCGCCAUCUUUCUUGUUCCUUUUCCCUUCUUUACACGGCGUCCUCGAUGAAAAUAGCAAACACCCCAUUUGAAUAUAUAAUUAAAGAAAGAAAGAAAGAGAGGAAAAUUCCUUCCUCAAUACUUACCGCUACACGCUUCAGAAAUUCCUUGCUUUUUUUUUUUUUUUUUUCAUCUCUACUUACGUGUUACCUUUUACCUUUUAUAAUUAUGAUUAUUGCAUUGCUAAUAAUUUCCUUGCAUUUCUUUAAUAUAUAAUUAAAGAAAGAAAGAUGUUGAACACUUUUUUAGUGAAUUCAAAAUAACAAAAUAAGGUUGUUGAGGCUUUUCUUGGAACCUAGCUCAGGGAUUAAAUUAUAAAAAAAUAUAUUUAUUUUUCUGAUUAUAUAGCAAUAACAAAUUAAAUAAUAGCAACAAGUAAAUAGGAAUUAGUUUGAAUAAAUGGUACCAGUUCCUAUUAUAAUAUAUCUAGAGAAGAAGUUCGAAGAAUAGAAUGAAGUCAAAUAUCCUUACAUAAUGCUAGGUUUUAAUAUAUAAUUAAAAAGUUUUCCAUGAACCAAAUAAUAAAAAUAUUGUACAACUUUUUUGAAUGAAUUAUUAACAUAGAGGCUUAUUUGAUUUGAAUAUAUUAUUUGAUUAGUCCAUUUAUAGGUUGUCUCUAUUAUUCCUGCCUUGCAUUGCCAGGAAAUUUCACUAGAAAUUUCUAGUAAUUUAAACAGGAAAUUUGCUGGUGAUAAACCUGGAAUAUGAUUUUCAACUUUCGUAGGCGAGCACUGAAGUCCCAAACUUCAAGAAUUUCUUUUCUUUUCCUUUUGUAUCUUCUCAUUUUCUUUCUAGGAAUGUUAUGAGAAGCAGCAGAGUCAAGAGGCCAUUUUUGAUCCUGUGGACCGGAAGUAGUUGCAUAGUUAGUCGUAACCUCUGAUCAAUGGAGUCGUGGGUAAGACUUGGCUAAAUGGCCUAUCUGAUCAGGAAAUUGGCAUUUCGGUUGAUAAUGCAUUUGAGUGGUACCGAUUGGUUGAAGACUUGCAGUUGUCUUUGAAUGGACCGACCUUGAGGGAUUUUAUUGUGGCCUGGAGACCGAGAAGAUCCAUUAGUCUUAUUUGAACCCUUCGGGUGAGACCCACCAUAUGAACUAUUUAAGUUCUGUUUGUGAAGAUAAGAAUAAUUGGCAGAGGCCACAAGCUGCUGAGUUGAAGAUUCCAAACGCCGCAGGUAACUGUCAUGCCCCUCAAGAAUAUCUUGAAGCUCUUCAAAUUAUCCCAAUAGUUCUUAUAUUAAAAUCUCAUUUAUCAUAUGUUACAUCUAUCAAAAAAAAAAAAAUAAUUUGUGACGUGAACUAAAGCUAUAUGUGAAAACUAGAAAUAACAAAUGUAUGAAAAAAAAAUCAGCUGUGAUUAACAGAUUAACGAUGGAAAUUAAGAUGAUGAAUAUUUUUUUGUAAAUUAAUUUCAAUUUAAAAUAACUACAAAGAAGUUAAUUAGGAUUCCUUCCUUGAAAUUAUUAAAAAUAUAGUAUUAGAAUUAUAGAAUGCUAGGUUUUAAUAUAUAAUUUUUAAUAUUAAUUGUUAAAGAGUCUCUCUCGAACCAAAUAAUAAAGAUAUUAUAUAACUCUUUUGUAUGAAUUGUAAAUCUAGGGAUAGUUUUGGGUUUUCCAAUCACAACUUUGGACUAAAAUUAAUAACAAAAUAAAGACCAAAGAUAACGGUAUGUAAAUCUAGGGACCAAAAAUAAUACAACUGCAUUUACUGUAGAUUUCACUUAGAAUUUCUAGUAAAUUACAAAGGAAAUUUCUUGUGCUUUUUAACGUACAUGAAUUGAAAAACUACCAUUGACUGACUUGCAUUGACUGACUUGCUAAGCAUUUGCUGCUCGAAAUUUUCUCCCUAAAAAUUUUCAAGCAAUUUACGGAGCAAAUUUCCUUAUGCUCUCUCUUGUAUAUUAUUAGAAAAAUUGUUUUUAAAAAUCAAUUUUUUUUUAUUUUCCUGAGAUUCUAUUUUUUAGUCGAGUCAAUUUCAAGUUGGGUUCAAUAAUUAUGAUUAAAUUUACUGAAAAAAAAAUAAUUUUAUGUCACUUCAUGAUACCCAUGUUUUCAACGCUUUACACUGCUUUAAUAAAUUGUUACAGUAAUAGCACAGAGAGGAGCGGUUCCAGAAAAAACAAUAAUGGAGAUGAAGCAAAAUCUGUGUUUGAUUUUUUCUUUUUUGUGUUUUCGGUACAUUGGUCAACAAUAGCUUGGAAGAGUUUGGAAUCAGUAACACGUGGACCCAGUUGUUGUGGAAACUUUGCAGAGGAUCUUCACUCUGCAGGAAGAAAAAUGAUUUUAAUAGAUGUACUGUACAUCAUUUGAAUUUAUUAAAAGUAACGUGUAAUGUAAAGUAUGAUUCACUUACCAUUAACUAGUUGGACAAAAAAACUAAACUUUCUCAAUUUCCUUCUAUUUUCUUUUUAUCAUGGAAACUUUAAGUCACAUCUGCGCCUACCACGAAAUUACCGAUAAGUAAAUUUCAAUGCGUAAUUGUGUAGGUUUCAAUUAAAAAUGCUUUAAUUUGAAAAAUUAUGUUAACAAUAAUAUAAAUUAAUUUUUCUUCAAAAUAAAAAGUAAUUGGGUAUUAAUUUAGGCUAUAAAGAUAAAAUAAUAAUAAUAAAAAAGAGUUCGAGGGUAUUCAUUUUAUUAUUUGUUAUGUAACUAUAUAAUCUAAUUUGUUGAUGUGGAAAAUAGCACAAAGUUUUUGACAUGGAUAUUGGUGAGAAGCAAAAGCAGUAUCCACUAUGAGAGCUUUUGUAAACGCGUGGACCCAGUUGUUGUGGAAACUUUGCAAAGGAUCUGCAGGAAGAAAAAUGAAAUUUGCAAAGUAUUUGUGUGUAUUAUAUAAUUGUGUUAAUUUAAGGAUUAUUUUUUAGUUGUAUUAAUUUAGAAAAUAUUUUGUCUCACCGGAAAACUCUAAUUACGUUCGUAUAUUUGUUUUUGGUAACAGAUGCAAUAUGCUUUUUAAUUCAAGAUAUAUUAAAAUAAUAAUUUUUAAAAAAAAAUUAUUUUUUUUAUUUUAGUAUAUUAAAAAUAAAAAAUUUAAAAAUAGUAAUUUAAUAUUUUCUUAAAAAUAUAUUUAAAAAACACUUUUAAUUUUGUUUUUCAACUGUACUAUUCCUUGAAAAAACUCAAACUCUAAAUAAUAUCUUCUACUACAUACUUUCUAAGACUAAAAAUUAAUCUAAAUGUUUUUGAAAAGUAGUUCAACCAAAGUACCAAAUAUGUUUAUAUACUCCAUCUUCAACCACUGUAAAAUUACCACUCUAAAUUACAACUCGGUAUCGAUUACCUUUUAUCUUUGACAAUUAUUGCAUUGCUAAUAAUUUGCAAGAAAAAAUACAUUCUCAAUUUCCUUCUAUUUUUUUUUUAACAUGAAAAACUUUAAGUCACUCAAUCUGCAACCACCAUGAAAUUACCGGUCCGAAUUCCAGCUCAAUAUUUACCGGUACGACACGCUUGAGGAAUUUCCUUGCUUUUCUUCCUCUACGCGUUACCUUUCACCUUUUAUAAUUAUUAUUAUUGCAUUGCUAAUAAUUUGCAAGAAAGAUUAUGAACAUUUUUUUAGUGAAAUAAGCUCAUUUCAAAUUAACAAAAUAUAGUUUGUUGAGGCUCGUCUUGGAACCUCGCUUUGGAUUAAUUGACAGGAAUAGUAAAAUUUUAUUCAAAUUAUAUAAAAUAUUGGGUGCUGAUGUGCCUUUAUCCAACUUAGAAUUGCGACAAGCUACCAUGACCUUAUCUAGAGUUGGGUGUUAAUGAGACGAGUCCUUGCCCAACUCAGAGUUUGGCAUGGAUAUAUCAUGACCCAACAUAAAGUUUGGAUGCAGAAAAAAUAUGACUUUAUUUUGAAUUAUGAUUUUUGUUGGAUGGUCUCUAAAUAAAUUUUUUUUAUAGAAAAUCAUGACCCAUAUCUGGGUAUCGGAAAAACAAUUAUGGUUGAUUUAGCCUCAUCUUCUCUGCUUGUAAAAUUGGGGCAGAUUAUGGACUUAACCGAGCAAUUACCGCUCGAAAUUCCUAGCAAUUUACAAAGGAAUUUUCCUUGUUUUUUCUCAGUUCAUUAUUAGAAAAACUGUCAUUGACUGAUUUAAUUGUAAAGUCUUUGCAAGAAAGCUAAAAAAAUUAGAGUUUUUUAAAAUAAGAAAUAUAGAGAGAAAAAUAAAAAAUAAAAAUAAAAAAAGGAGCAAAAGGAAACAACCCCCAUCUUUCUUGUUCCUUUUCCCUUCUUUACAUGGCGUCCUCGAUGAAAAUAGCAAACACCCCAUUUGAAUAUAUAAUUAAAGAAAGAAAGAAAGAGAGGAAAAUUCCUUCCUCAAUACUUACCAGUACUACACGCUUGAGAAAUUCCUUUCUUGUUACCUUUUACCUUUUAUAAUUAUGAUUAUUGCAUUGCUAAUAAUUUCCUUGCAUUUCUUUAAUAUAUAAUUAAAGAAAGAAAGAUGUUGAACACUUUUUUAGUGAAUUCAAAAUAACAAAAUAAGGUUGUUGAGGCUUUUCUUGGAACCUCGCUCAGGGAUUAAUUAACAAGAAUAAAAAAAUCCCCUGCAAAUUAAACAAAAUUUAUUAUUAAUCAUUGAUAUUUAUUAUUGAUCAUCAAUAUUGAAUAAUGGCUUAUUUUCUAGCAUAAAUAAAAUUGUUAAAAAACAUGAUUACACAAUUAAUGAUGAGAUCGGUUAUAAAAAUGACUAAAUUGAGGUUUUUCAAUUACCUUUAAACGUAUCAUGGUUUUAAUAGGUGGACAGUACAUCCUAUUAUGUAAAUUAUAAAAAAUUAUAUUUAUUUUUCUGAUAUAUAUAGCAAUAACAAAUUAAAUAAUAGCAACAAGUAAAUAGGAAUUAGUUUGAAUAAAUGAUACCAGUUCCUAUUAUUAUAUAUCUGGAGAAGAAGUUCGAACAAUAGAAUGAAGUCAAAUAUCUUUACAUAAUGCAAGGUUUUAAUAUAUAAUUAAAAAGUUUUCCAUGAACCAAAUAAUAAAAAUAUUGUAUAACUUUUUUGAAUGAAUUAUUAACGUAGAGGCUUAUUUGAUUUGAAUAUAUUAUUUGAUUAGUCUAUUUAUAGGUUGACUCUACUAUUCCUGCCUUGCAUUGCCAGGAAAUUUCACUAGAAAUUUCUAGUAAACGAAAUUUGCUGGUGAUAAACCUGGAAUAUGAUUUUCAACUUUCGUAGGCGAGCACUAAAGUCCCAAACUUCAAGAAUUUCUUUUCUUUUCCUUUUGUAUCUUCUCAUUUUCUUGGCAUGCGCGCAGCUGCCUCGAGGAAAAAACGUUUCAGAUGCGGAAAAUAAAGAUGAAAGUGGAAAAUAGAAGCGGGGAAAAAAAUCCCAAAUAUCGACAAACAUCACAAGAGAAGCUUGAUAUCUCUUCGUCCCUUGGUAUCGUGUGAAUGUGGAUAUUAUUUCAGAAUAUCAAUUCAACCGUACUCCAAAGAACACUCAUACUCCAAUAUCAGCAACCACCACGAAAGUUACCACUCUAAAUUCCAGCUCAAUAAUUUAUUCUUUGACAAUUUUACUUCUAAAAAAAAUGAAUUUUUUUUUAUAAUUAUACGCCAUCAGCAACUACCAUUACGACUCCAAAUUCCAGCUCAAUAUCGAUCAACACGUGGCUAAAGAAUUUGUUUCCUUUUUUUUCCUGCACGUGUUACCUUUUUAUCUUUUAUAAUUAUAAGUAUUGCGUUGCUAAUAAUUUGCAAGAAAUAAUAUUCUUUCUCUAAAAAGGGCUUGAGAAAACCCUAAGCAUAGUAUAUAGUCUCUUAUAGGAAUCUCUUUAUUAAAUCAUCAAAAUAUCAAAGUCUGUUUCCAAAGACUAUGACUACAGUUUAUAUAUAGAAACAACCAAAUAUAAAAAUUAUUUUUUAAAAAUAGAAAAAACAGAAGAGCUUGAUAAUAUUUAAUUAAAAAAUAAAAUAGAAAAAUUAUUCCUUUUUAAGUAGGAAAAAAAAAUAUAAAGAUUUAAUAAUACUGAAUAAGAAAAAUUAAAAUAUUCUUUCUCUGAAAAGGGCUUAAGAAAACCCUAAGCAUUGUAGAUAAUCUCUUAUAUGAAUCUCAUCAAAAUAUCAUAGUAUAUUUCCAAAUACUAUUACGUACUACAUUUAUAUAUAUAUAUAUAUAUAUAUAUAUAGAGAGAGAGAGAAAGAGAGAGAGAGAUAGAGAGAGAAACAACUAAGUAGGUAAAGCUUAUGUUUCUUUGUUCUUGUUCCUUUAUAUAUAUACAUUCUCAAUUUCAUAAAAAAAAUUAAUUAGUCCUUGAAAUCUUAAAAAAUAGUAUUUAAUCCUUAUGUUAUUAUAUUCAUCUCUAAUUUAAUUUUUUUCAUCCAUUCAUCUUUUUAUUUAUUUAAUAGCUUAAGUUUUUAGUUAAAAGAUAAAUAGUUUUACUAUUAAAAGCAUUUUUUCGAAAUAAAAAUAAUAUUAAAUUAGGCAUCCUCAACAUUGUUCAAAUUAUUAAUUAAUUAUAAUUAACUUGAGGUUUAGAAGAAACAAAAGGGAAGGACAAAAUUAUCUUCCCCACAACCAUAGACCUAACCCCUUUCCAGACCAGUCCCCUGGUAAAUGGAAUAAUGGUCCCAUAAACAGCUUUUUUUCUUUCCAGCCCGCCAAGCAGACUAAGGCCUGUUUGUUUCUGUGUUUUAAAAGUGUUUUUGAUAAAAUUUAAAAUUUUUUUGUUUUUUUUAUUAACUUCAAAUUAAUAUGUUUUUAGUGUUUUUAAAUCAUUUUGAUGUGCUGAUGUCAAAAAUAAUUUUUAAAAAAUAAAAAAACAUCAUUAGCAUGUAUUUUGACACGAAAAACUAUUUGAAAAGCAACCGCAACCACACUACCAAACACACUCUAAGCAGUUCGGUCUUCCUCGCUGGACCACCUUAGCAUGAGAAUCACACUAGUUGGAAGUAUCUUUAAACCUCAUAAAAAUGAAUAACUGAUAAUAAUAUAAUUGGGAUUUAAAAAAAAUUCAUAAAAAAAUUUCUUAAAAAAAUCCAAAAAAUUAAACCGGACAAAAAUAAACAACCAAUAAUAAUAUAGUUAAAAUGAUAAAAAAGUGUUUAAAAAGCAAUUUGAAACCAAUUAAUCUUAAAAAAAAAAAACCAAAAAGAAACAUGCGAUGAAAACCAAUUCAUGAAAAAGUAAUUGGAUAUUAAUUUAGACUAAAAGGAUGAAAUAAUAAAAACAAAAGGAGAGUUUGAGGGUAUUCAUUGUUCAAAGGAACGCAAAAAUGCAUUCCAAGUAUGAAGUGUUUUAUUGUUAUAAAGUUUUUCAAACUUACAAUAUGGAGAGAGAAAUAAAUAAAAAGAAAAAAUAGCAAAAGGAAACAGCCCCCAUCUUUCUUGUUCCCUUUCCCACGGCCUACUCAAUGAAAAAGCAAACACCCCAUUGGAUUUCCCACGGCCGCCCACGAAAUCCCUUUAUCCUCUGCUGUUAAUUUUUUAAUGACGCAUAUCAGGUGUUUGAUAAAAUUCCUUAGCUGGGAAAGGAAAAAAAACCAUGUUAAGAAUGCUUUAGUCCUUUUCGAGUGGAAAGUGGUGUGAAAGUGAGAAGUACUGUGAGAGCUUUAUACCACUUUCUAUCUUAGACGUAAUGGCUUUGGCAAAAAGAAACCAAUAAAAGUUAGUGUUCGCACUGCUUUAGUCCAAGAGUCUUUCAUGGUUGCAUUGAUUGACUGGAAAAAAUCUCAAAGUUUUUAGAAAGAAACAGCCUUCAUUGCUUUUCGAAACCAAUCUCAGUAAUGUUAACGCGUGGACCCAGUUAUUGUGGAAACUUUGCAAAGGACCUCGAGGAAGAAAAAUGAUUGCAUUGCUAAUAAUUUGCAAGAGAGAAUUCUUUCACUGAAUAGAAAAAAGUAUUAUUUUUAAAAUAACAACAAGUAAAUUUAAAAAUUAGUAUUUUUUAAAUAAAAAACUAAAAAUUCCUGAUAAUAUUGAAUAAAAAAUAAAAUAUAAAAAUUAUUCUUUUUAAGUAUAAAAAAAUAUAAAAGUUUAAUAAUACGGAAUAGAAAUAAAUAAAAAUUCUAAACUAAAUAAAAAUAUUUUCUAUCCCAAAAAUUCUUAUAUCAAAAUCUCAUUUAUCAUAUUUUAUAUCUAUAAAAAACUAAUUUGUCAUGUGGAAUAAGUCUAUAUGCUAAAAUCAGAAAAAAAAUGUUACAAAAACAAAUUCCACAAAAGGCUGUGAUUAAAAAGAUGAUAGAUAUUUUUUAGUAAAUUAAUUUCAAUUCAAAAUAACAAAAUAAGGUUUAUUGAGGCUUACCGUUAAACCUUGCUUUGGGAUGAAUUGAUCACGAGAAUAAGAAAUCAUGUGCAAAUUAUACAAGAUUUAUUAUUAAUCAUCAAGAUUUAUUAUUUAUUAUCAAUAUUGAAUAAUGAUUUAUUUUAUAAUAUAAAUUAUGUUUAAAAUAAAAUUGAUAAAAUUAAAAUACAUGAAACGAGGUUGUAUAUUUUGAAACUAAAUUAAAAUCAUUUUCUUUUUCUAUUAUAUCCUUCAAAAUUAUUUAUUUUAUAAAAAACAAAACUUGUUAGUUUGCAAGUACACAUGUCAUGAGUCUCCACUGCAUCACUUUUGCAAAAUCAUAUGGCCCACUGUAUAUUUUGAAACUUGUUGAAGCAAAAUCUGUUUUAUUGAUCAUCAUCAAUAUUGAAGAAUGAUUUAUUUUCUAGUAUAAACUAUGUUUGAAAUAAAAUUGAUAAAAGACAUGACAUAUACAAUUAAUGAUGGGAUGGUAUCUAAAAAUGAUUAAAUUGGCAUUUUUCAAUUACCUUUAAACAUGCAUAUCAUGAUUUUAAUUGGUGGACAAUACUGUUAAAUAAUAUAUUUAUUUUGUUUUAUUUAUUAAGAUUAAAAUAAUAUUUUUAGCUUAAUCUAUAUAUAAACUCUUUAUAUUUAGAUUAAGCAAAAAUAAUAAUAUAUAUCAGAAUUCUAGUCUCAUUCCUUUUCGUAUUUAUUUUUAUGUUAAUUAAAUUGUUUUAACAAUACAUCAUGUAAAUUAUAUAAAAAUAUAUUUAUUUUUCUGAUAUAUAAAUACCUCUCUGUCCCAUUGCUGCCAUUUCAUAGCUAACUCUUUGUUAUAUUUAACUUCCUCUUCUUUGCUUCUUGCUCAUAACGAUAACUUGAAAGCCUUACGUUCAGAUAGAUAAUCAUUGACUAGCUCAUCCUAUAUCAUUCUAUUCAAUUUAUAUAUGCAGAAAGAAAAACGCAAGCAAUCCAAAGAUGAAGAAAACGCUUCAUCCUCGCGAAAGAGAAGAAAAGCUGACCUCAGUAAGCCUAUAUAAAGAAUACAAUUAACCUCAUUUCAACAUCAUAGUUAACCUCAUUUCAAUAUCAUAGCUUUGGAAUUUCAUAGCUAACUCUUUGUUAUAUUGCUCCAUUGGUAAUUGAUUGUGCCUUGAUUUCUGCAGCUGCCAUGACAGAGCCAGAGUCUUCUCGAUCUAUACCAGAAGGGGCCUAUGAUGUCUUCUUGAGUUUUAGAGGAGAAGAUACUCGCAAGACGUUUACUGAUCAUCUAUAUGCUGCCUUAGAUCAAGCAGGAAUCCACACUUUUCGAGAUGAUGAUGAACUUCCUAGAGGAGAAGAAAUCUCCGAGCAUCUUCUCAAGGCAAUUCGAGAAUCAAAGAUAUCCAUAGUUGUCUUCUCAAAAGGAUAUGCUUCUUCUAGAUGGUGUCUCAAUGAACUUGUAGAGAUUCUUAAGUGCAAAAGGAAGAAAACCGGUCAGAUUGUUCUUCCUAUAUUCUAUGACAUUGAUCCUUCAGAUGUGAGAAAACAGACUGGCAGUUUUGCAGAGGCAUUUGAUAAGCAUGAAGAGCGUUUUGAAGAGAAGUUGGUGAAGGAGUGGAGAAAAGCUCUUGAGGAUGCCGGAAACCUAUCUGGAUGGAGUCUCAAUGAUAUGGCAAAUGGGUAUGCCUUUUUUCCAAAUUUAUGGAGUCAAUAUACUUUACAUUUUUUAAUGUGAAACAAUAAAAUACUUAAUUGACUCGCUAUCAAUGACUUGCUUUUGUCUAUGAGCAGGCAUGAAGCAAAAUUUAUCAAAGAGAUUAUCAAGGAUGUGUUGAAUAAAUUAGAUUCCAAGUACUUCUAUGUUCCUGAGCACCUAGUAGGUAUGGAUCGGCUUUCUCGCAAUAUUUUUGACUUUGUAAGUACUGCAACAGAUGAUGUACGCAUNNNNNNNNNNNNNNNNNNNNNNNNNNNNNNNNNNNNNNNNNNNNNNNNNNNNNNNNNNNNNNNNNNNNNNNNNNNNNNNNNNNNNNNNNNNNNNNNNNNNNNNNNNNNNNNNNNNNNNNNNNNNNNNNNNNNNNNNNNNNNNNNNNNNNNNNNNNNNNNNNNNNNNNNNNNNNNNNNNNNNNNNNNNNNNNNNNNNNNNGAUGAUAGAGGAAAAGUUCUGAUCAAAGAACGACUUCGUCGCAAAAGAGUUCUUGUUGUUGCUGAUGAUGUGGCUUAUCUGGACCAGCUAAAUGCUUUGAUGGGAGAGCGAAGUUGGUUUGGUCCCGGAAGUAGAGUAAUUAUUACAACAAGAGAUUCAAAUCUUCUUCGUGAAGCAGAUCAAACAUAUCGGAUCAAAGAGCGACUUUGUCGCAAAAGAAUCUUGUUGUUGCUGAUGAUGUGGCUCAUCAGGAGCAGCUAAAUGCAUUGAUGGGAGAUCGAAGAUGGUUUGGUCCCGGAAGUAGAGUAAUUAUUACAACAAGAGACUCAGAUCUUCUUCGUGACGCAGAUAAAACAUGUCAGAUCGAAGAAUUGAAACUAGAUGAGUCCCUUCAGCUUUUCAGCAGGCAUGCCUUUAAGGACACCAAGCCAGCAGAAGAUUACAUUGAGCUUUCGAAGAAAGCCGUUGGUUACUGUGGAGGACUUCCUUUAGCUCUCAAGGUUAUAGGAGCUCUUCUGUACGGGAAAGAAAAAGAUAGAUGGGAAAGUGAAAUUGACGACUUGAGCAGAAUUCCAAACCAAGAUAUUCAAAGAAAGCUUCUAAUAAGUUAUGACGCACUUGAUGGUGAACUACAAAGAGCAUUCCUUGAUAUUGCAUGCUUCUUUGUUGGUAUAGAGAAAGAAUACGUCGCACAAGUGCUAGGAGCCCGUUGCCGUCGCAAUCCAGAAGUUGUUUUGGAAACUCUCCGUGAAAGGUCUCUGAUUCAAUUUCAUGAGUGUAUAAUUGAAGAUGAAAGGCAGUUAUCUGGAAGGACGGUAGCCAUGCAUGAUCUAUUACGAGACAUGGGAAGGGAGGUCGUUUGUAAAGAGUCUCCCUUGCAUCCUGAAGCAAGGACCAGAAUUUGGAAUAAAGACGAUGCAUGGAAUGUACUUGAGCAGCACAAGGUAAGUAAGAGCUCAAUGCAUACACGAAAGCAUAGUCAUGCGUAUUUUCUAGUCAAGCUUAUUACAAAUAAUUGAAUGAAAGUUGUAUUGAUUUUUUUUUUAGGGUACGGAUAAAGUUGAGGGUCUUGCACUGGAUGUCAGAGCAUCAGAAACUAAAUCACUUAGCGCAGGAUCAUUUGCAGAAAUGAAAUGUUUAAAUUUACUCAAAAUCAACGGAGCACAUCUCACCGGAUCCUUCAAAUUGCUUUCUAAAGAGUUGAUGUGGAUUUGUUGGCAUGAAUUUCCUUUGAAAUAUUUUCCAUCUUAUUUUACUUUGGACAAUCUAGCUGUUCUUGAUAUGCCGUACAGUAACCUCAAAGAACUAUGGAAGGGAAAAAAGGUGCGAAACAUGCUACAAUCCCUAAAAUUUCUCCAGUAUGUAAUUUAUAUUUACAUGUUAUGACUUUCUAUGAUUAAUUUUCAUUAUUUUUCUCUCUAUUAUAACAGAUUCUCGACAAGCUUAAAAUUCUUAAUCUCAGUCAUUCUCAGCACCUUAUUAAAACACCAGACUUGCACAGUUCAAGUCUAGAGAAACUAAUUCUGGAAGGUUGCUCGAGUUUAGUUGAGGUGCAUCAAUCAAUUGAAAAUUUGACGAGCCUUGUUUUCUUAAAUCUGAAGGGAUGUUGGAGUCUGAAGACUCUCCCUGAAAGCAUUGACAAUGUAAAAUCUCUUGAAACUCUGAAUAUUUCUGGGUGUUCACAAGUUGAGAAAUUGCCGGAACGCAUGGGUGAUAUGGAAUUCUUAACCGAGCUGCUAGCUGAUGGGAUUGAAAAUGAGCAAUUUCUCUCUUCAAUUGGACAAUUAAAGCAUUGCAGAAGGUUAUCAUUGUGUGGAGACAGUUCGACGCCACCAAGUUCUUCUUUGAUUUCAACAGGUGUUUUGAAUUGGAAACGUUGGCUGCCAGCAUCUUUCAUUGAAUGGAUAUCAGUGAAACAUCUUGAGCUUUCUAAUAGUGGUUUGUCUGAUCGCGCAACUAACUGUGUUGAUUUCAGUGGUUUGUCCGCUCUAGAAAAAUUGACUCUAGAUGGAAACAAAUUCUCUAGCCUGCCUUCUGGGAUCGGCUUCCUUUCCGAGCUAAGGGAGUUGUCUGUUAAGGGAUGCAAAUAUCUUGUAUCAAUCCCAGAUCUUCCCUCAAGUUUAAAGAGUGUGUUUGCAUGUGAUUGCAAAUCAUUGAAAAGAGUAAGAAUACCAAGCGAGCCAAAAAAAAGACUAUUUAUAAAGCUAGAUGAAAGUCAUUCGUUAGAAGAGUUUCAGGGCAUUGAAGAUCUAAGUAAUUGUUUCUGGUAUAUUCGUGUUGAUGACCGCAGGCAUUCAACAAGUAAAUUACUGGAGCGUUGUUGAGGUACUAUUUCUUUCCGUCUCUCUUUCGCACAAAAAGAAACACACACAAUUGACACAUACAUUGAUUAAUGUCUAAAAUCUCAGCAUUCCUUGAAAUCAAUAUGUAUAUAGGCAAUAAUCAUUAUUAUUAUUAUUAUAUUUAAAAAAACAAAUAUCAUCUUUAAUAAUAUUUUUUUAUUAAAUAUUUAAAGUCUGAUUGGUUUUAUUUUUUAUUUCUUGAUUUUAUGAUAAUAUAUUUAUACAGGCAAUGUGCAACGGUCGUCACGGGUAUUUUAUUCGCCACACUCCUGGUCAGAUGCCAAAUUGGAUGAGCUACAGGGGAGAAGGACGCUCAUUGUCAUUCCAUAUACCUCCAGUCUUCCAAGGCUUAGUUGUUUGGGUUGAUAAGGAUGAUAAGGAUGCUCACAUUAUUAUUAUUAUAAGAAAUAAUAGAAAUGGUAAUCUCUUGUUUCAAUGUACGAAAUGGUAUUAUCAUCCAAAAACUGGAAGUAUAAGAUACAUAAGAAGAAGUGAAAUGGCAAUGGAAGAUUACUGUGCAGAUGACGAAUUGGAACUAUACAUUUAUUCAAAGCCAUCACCGUUGGCAAUGGCAAUGGCAAUGAAGGAUGCUGUGAUGCCUUCAUUUGAACCGUCUACACCUAAGCAAUGUGGGGUCCAUGUGAUCGUAGGAAAGUCAGAUUCAUUUGAAGAGUUGGCAGUGGGAAGAGAUGCAGUGAUGCUUCCUCAUCCUCGUUGUGGUUCGAUUACAGCGUCUACACCUAAGCAAUGGAUUGACUUUUUAUUUGCGAAGCUGCAAAACCAUAACCUCAAUUUAAGGCUUUUUGGUAAGAAUACAUAUUUCCUUUAGUUAUUUCUAUUUUAAUAUUCUAUUUAAUUUAAGAGAUUAAAUAUCAUCUUUAAUUAUUACAUUUUUCUUAUUUAAUCUAAAAAAAUAAAUAUUAUCUUUAACAAUAUUUUUUAUUAAAUAUUUAGAGUCUGCUUGGUUUUAAUUAUUUCUUUUCUUGAUUUUAUGAUAAUAUUUUUCUUAUUUAAUAUAAAAAAUAAAUAUUAUCUUUAAUAAUUAGAUCUAUCGAAUAUCACUUAAAAAAUAAAUUAUAGCUUUAAUAAUUAUUUUUUGAAAAACAAAAGCCAACAAUCACUAACAUAUUUUAUUAAAAUCACUUUAGUUUAUUUAGAAAAUAUUGAAAAUUGAUUUUUGUUUUUUUACUUCAAAAUAAAAAAAAUUGAAUAAUGUUUUUAUAUUUUAUUUCGAACUCGAUAUUUUAAAACAAAAAUGAAAAAGAUGUGAUAUUAACCUUUUUUAUUAUAAAGUAAGUUUCUUAAUUAAAAGUGAUGGGAAUUUGUUUGUAAAAACAAUCUUGCACAUCUAACUUUCUUUUCAAAUUUGAAAAUUUUAUUAACUUUGAUGGUUUUAUAUGUAUGAAGGAUCUGGAUGGACGUAAUAGCACAAGAUCAUUUGACAUAGAGAUGCUUGAAGUUACUCCAAAUUAGUACGGUACUUUUAUCUAAUGUAUUGAUAUGUAUUUGUUGGCUUGAAGAUCAUUUUCCAAGCUUGGAAUUUUUAUUGAAUGCUCUUUGAAAUCUUUUCCAUUUGCUUUUAUAGUGGACAACCUAGUUGUUAAUUAUUAUCCAUGAUCUAAUUUAUAUUUUCAAGUUAAAAAUUUUGAUGAAUAUUAUUUCAUUUUUUUCCUCACUUCAAAAGAUGAAAAUCCUUGAUGUUAGUUAGUAAUAAAUUGGAGAGAAUAAUAAUAAUUUGUGUGUAUAAGCUGAUUGAAAUGAAGAUUAAAAUAAAGAAGUAAAAAAAAAGAGACUCGUAAAGAUUUUAUGUUAGUACUCAACAUGUCCUUUCUUGUUUUUUUUUUAAUUGGAUUACCUUUGUCUUUGGUUAAACUGCACUUCUUAAAAUAUUUUUGGAUUGUUCUGAUAUCAAAAAUAAUUUUUUUUAAAUAUUAUUUUAAUACAUUUUCAAUUAAAAAAUAUUUUGAAAAACAAUAUCUAACACACUCUCAAACAAGUUAAAACGUUAGUAAUAAAAUAACUUUUACAUAUUUUUCAAGUUUAGUAGAAUAGUAGUGGAAUAAUAUUUUUAAUAUUUAAAAAUUAAAAUUUUUUGUGUAACUGUUUUGUUAAAUUAUAAAGUUAAGGACUCUUUUGUAGUUUACCUUACACUAAAGUUAAUAAAUAAUAACACAAGAAAGGACCAAAGUUAACUACAAUACGAGGAAGUUUCAUACUAAAGUUAAAAUACCUCACACUUUUCAAUGAAACAUUACCUCUCCUGUACAUGAAUAUAAAUAAUUUCGUUGACCGACUCUUAUUUCAUUAAUUAUUGAUUAUUUGGAAGAAGAAAGCGUAUCCCUUCUCACUUUUAGAGCGUAUUUAGGGUAUUUAAGAGCGCAUUAUAAAUCCAGGGACAAUUUUGGGUUUUCUAAUCAGAACUUUGGACUAAAAUUAAUAGCAAAUUAAAUAAGGACCAAAUAUAACAGUGUGUAAAUCUAGAAACCAAAGAUAAUACAGCUGCAUUGACCGGAGAUUUCACUCGAAUUUUGACUAAAAAUUAAAAUUUUAUCAAAUUCUCUACUUUAUUAGUGUUCAUUUUCUUCUUUUUUUUUACCUAUCUUUUCCAACUGUUUAGAAAAUUUUUAUGGAUAAAAUUAGAGGAUAAGAAAGAGAUAUAGAAUCACUUUGUAAGAUUUCUAAAAACUUAAUUAUAUUAUAAUUUCUUCCUUAAAAUUAUUCAAAAUAUAGUAUUAGAAUUACAUAAUGCUAGGUUUUAAUAUAUAAUUAAAGAGUCUCUUCUAAAAGAAAUAAUGAAAAUAUUGUAUAACUCUUUUAGAAUGAAUUGUAAAUCCAGGGACAGUCUUCCUGGUGGUUUUUACUGUAUAUGAAUUGAAGAACUAUCAUUUGCUGAUUUACUUGUAAAGUAUUUGUAAGAAAGCUAAAAAUUAGAGUUUUAAAAUUUCUAAAAUAAAUAAUCUUCUCUAAAAUAAGUUUUUUUUAAUUAUACUUAUAAAAUUAAUUAAAUCUCAGGAUAAUAAGAUAUGUCCGGAUAUUUGGCGACUGANNNNNNNNNNNNNNNNNNNNNNNNNNNNNNNNNNNNNNNNNNNNNNNNNNNNNNNNNNNNNNNNNNNNNNNNNNNNNNNNNNNNNNNNNNNNNNNNNNNNGUAUGUUACAAAUUAAAUAUUAGUAUAUUUUUUUCAAGGUGAUAUCUCUUAUUAAAUCAGAGAUUCUCUCUAUUUUUUACAUGCAAUAUAAUCACGGAAUAAUUAAAUAAUUUGAAAAAUAAAUAAAUUUUUAUUGUGGAAUAAGUAAAUACUAAUAUCUAUAACUAGAAGUAACUAUAAUUAUAAUAUUAAAAAAAAGCAUAAUAAAAUGAAUUUAUUUAUAAAUUAGAUAAGAUUCAAACCAAGGGAAUUAAAGUGUAAAAUAAGGAAAACACCCUUGCCAGUCUAAAAUAAUUGAAGUAAUGAGUAAAUGCAUGAAGCAAGAUAAUUAGUUGAUAUUGUGACUAUUCAAGAUAAUUAUAAUCUAUAGGUAAUUGUAUACUAUAAAUUAAUAUCAACAAAAUAAUUGUAUUUAAUUGUUUGAAGUUAAACAAAAAAACAUACAUUCUCCCUUUCCCUUCUUUACAUGGCUUACUCAAUGAAAAAGCAAGCACUAACGCACCUUCUCCACAAACUACCAUAAAUAUAUAAAUAUAUUAUGAAAACAAGAUAAAAAGAAAUCUUUUGGUACAUAUAUAAAUAUAUUAUGGCUAUGAAAAUAGGUUUGUGGAAAUUUACAUCAUUUGAUCUUGACAGUGUCAGAUUAGACAAUUGAUUGCAUGGAAAUGGUCUUCUUAGUUUGCCGUGUGGAAAAUCAUCUCAUUUACGGGACUGCUGGAGAGAGUGUCUAUUGAUAAUUUUACCUUCUUUUCAAAUCUUUGACACUGCUUGGAUUGACCGGUAAUUUCACUCGAAAAUUUCUAGUAAUUUAUAAAGGAAAUUUCUACUGACUAUUAUUGACUGACUUCUUGCAAAGUAUUUGUAAGAAAGCUAAAGAAUUAAAGUUUUUUAAUUUUUAAAAUUGUAAGAAAAAAAUCAAUUAUUUUUAAAAUUGUUUUCAAAAAUAAAACAUCAACUAUUUAUAUAAUUGCUAAAUCUAUUAAGAUAAAUCCAAAAUAACUAGUAAAAUCAGUGACUUGCAUUGACGAGUGUAAUGAUCUUGACAGCAUCAGAUUAGACAAUUGCAUGGAAAUGGUCUUCUUAGUUUGCCGUGUGGAAAAUCAUGUGAUUUACGGGACUGCUGGAGAGAGUGUCUAUUGAUAAUUUUACCUUCUUUUCAAAUCUUUGACACUGCUUGGAUUGACCGGUAAUUUCGCUCGAAAAUUUCUAGUAAUUUAUAAAGGAAAUUUCUACUGACUAUUAUUGACUGACUUCUUGCAAAGUAUUUGUAAGAAAGCUAAAGAAUUAAAGUUUUUUAAUUUUUAAAAUUGUAAGAAAAAAAUCAAUUAUUUUUAAAAUUGUUUUCAAAAAUAAAACACCAACUAUUUAUAUAAUAGCUAAAUCUAUUAAGAUAAAUCCAAAAUAACUAGUAAAAUCAGUGACUUGCAUUGACGAGUGUAAUGAUCCGGAACCACUCGCAAUAAAUAAAGCCAAAAAAGGCAGACGAGUGUGUCUAUAUAUACAUAUAGGAACCGCUGAUUCGAUUUGAAUAUGUUAUUUGAUUAGUCUAAUUCAUGACUUGCAUUGACUCAAGAUUACCACUCAAGAUUUCGUGGUGCUUUCUCGGCCUGCAAAUGAAUAGAAAGCAUGUCCUUUUAACCUCAUUUCAAUAUCGUUGCUUUACUCUCCAGCUAGCCUGAUACAUAUGAGUCUCGAGACAUACGGCCAUUGAUAGAAAGGUGUGCUGAAGCAAAAUAUUUUUUUAUCUGUAGCGACCUCAAUAAUGUUAAAGCGUGGACCACCAUGAAAUUACCGCUCCAAAUUCCUUGUUCUUUCUAUAUUAUUAGAAAAAUUAUCAUUGACUAAUUUAAUUGGAAAUUAUUUGCGAGAAAGCUAAAAAGAAUUAAAGUUUUUUAAUUUAUAAAAUUAUAAUUUUAAAUUGUAAAAAAAUUCAAUUAUUUUAAAAAAUAAAACAUCAACUAUUUAUAUAAUAGCUAAAUAAAUCUAUUAAAAUAAAUUGAAAAUAACUAGUAAAAUCAAGCAAAUAAUCCAAAAAUAACAAGAAAAUAAAUAUAUUUCCUAGAUCUAAUUUGAUUAUAUUUUUUAUCUUGAUUGACUUACUUGCUAAGUCUUUGAACUUUAAUCUAAGAAUUUGUUUUAUAUUUCUUCAUUUAUUAAUGAAAUAUUACUUCUAUUGUAUAGUUUUUGGUUUCGAGUCGAUCCACCAGAUUAAUAGGUGAACAAUACAUUUUUUGAAUUUAUUAGAAGAAACGUGUAAUGUAAAUUAUAAAAUAAUAUUUAUUUUUCUGAUAUAUAUAAUAAUAAUAAAUUAGAUGACAGUUACAAGAAAAUAAAAAUUAAUUUGAAUAGAUGGUACGAGUUUCUAUUCUGAUAUAUCCAGGGAAGAAGUUCGAAGAAUAGAAUGAAGUUAAAUAUUCUUAAUAAAAAAAGAAAAAAAAAAGAAAAAAAAUAUAUUUUUAAUAAAUAUAAAAGAUGGAUAAAAUUAGAGAACAAGAAAGAGAUAUAUAAUCUCUUUGUAAGAACUUCUAAAAAUUUAAUUACAAUUGAGAAUUUCUUCCUUAAAAAAAUCCAAAAAAAUCCUAUUAUAUAUGAAUCAAGACAACAGUUGAAUAACUAUUACAUAUUUUUCAAGUUUACUUAGAAUAAUUAUUUUAAUAUUUAAAAAUUAAAAAAAUACUGUGUAGUUGUUUUGUAUAAAUUCUAAAGUUGAGAACUCUUUUGUGCUUGGUAAAAUGAAUAACUUUUACAUAUUCUUCAAUGUUUCACACUGCUUUAAUAGAUUGGUACAGUAAAUACCUCACACUACAGUUAAUAAAUAAUAACACAAGAAAGGACCAAAGUAUAUAAAUAAUAGCAUGUUUCACACUGCUUUAAUAGAUUGUUACAGUAAAAGCACAAAGAAGAACGGUUCAAGAUGUGGUAGAAUCACCUUCGAAGUGACUAAAUCUGCUUUAAUAUAUUUGAGAUUCACGCAAUGCCACUCUCAUCGGUAUUCUAAAAGCGAAGAGAAGAGUAGAAGCAAUGUGAUAGCUAUACAGGUGAGACUUAAUAAUUUACAGGUGAUAAUUGUUUUUUAAAAUAUUUUUUUUAUUUGAAAAUGUAUUAAUUUAAUGUAAAAUAAUAAAUAAAAUUUAAUUUUUUUUAAUUGUUUUUUAAAAUAUAAAAACAAAGAGGAUAUAAUCAACCUCUUGAUGUCACUAUUAAUUAUUGAUGUCGAUUGAUGCACAUGCUAACACCAGCGAAGAAUUAAGAGGCCAAUAUGCCAUUUGAUGCGAUAUUGCAAUUCAACAGCCAAGACACCACGGCUGAUAGAUGUAGACAGCGGUAAUGAACAGGAAAAGUUAAAAAAAUUAAAAUAUUUCAUGUCUUCACAGUCGUUUAGAAAAGAAACAAGAUCAAACCUUGGUUUCAUUUUGUCAGUUGACUCCAAGUCAAUGUCUAAAUCUCCUCUAAAUUCCAAACUGGGUCACCCAGCGAAUUAAGGUAUAGAUUUUAUUGGACGACAAUCAUAUUAAUAAAUAUGGGACGACAAAUCACAAACAUAAUCAAUUCAACCGUACUCCAAAGAACACUCAUACUCCAAUAUCAGCAACCACCACGAAGGUUGAAUUACACUACUUGUUAAAUUAAUAAAGUUACUAGUUGCUAUAAAGUAAGAGAUAAGAAAAUAUUGUGUUUUAAAAUAUUUUUGUUUUAAAAUAAUAUUUUUUUAUUUUUAAAAUUUAUUUUUAAUAUUAUUACAUCAAAACUAUAUAAAAAAAAUAUUUCAGAUUAUCAAUUCAACCGUUCUCCAAAGAACACUCAUACUCCAAUACCAGCAACCACUACGAAAGUUACCACUCUAAAUUCCAGCUCAAUAAUUUAUUCUUUGACAAUUAUUGCAUUGCUAAUAAUUUGCAAGGAAACAUACUUUUAACUAUAUUCAAUUCCAGAAUAUUUUUUUUUGAUAAAUAUUUGAGAAAUAUUGAUAAUCUUUUAUCAAGUUUUAUUUUUAUCAUUUUUAUUUGGAAUUAAUUCUAUUAUGUAUUUAAAUGUGUUUAGUUACCUUGUAAACUGUAUGUUAGAGUCCCUCAAAUAUUCUGGCCACAUCAACCACUAUAUUUUAUGCCAAGCAGUAUUUUGUCCUUGAACCCUUUGGCCCUCUAAAUUACCCAAAAAGGACAAUAAUUGAGCACAAGUGGUACAGGUCAGGGUUAAACUCAGCUUGCUAGAGCCAGUUCUCAAUUUUAGGCGCCAGUUCUCAAUUUUAGGCACCAGUUCUCAAUCGAAUUUUAGCAAAAUCUGGGCUAGGAUUUGAAACAAAUGUAGCUAUUUUUUCUCCUUUUAUUAUUAAAAAAUAAUAUUCAUGGAUUAAUUUUCGUAUAAUUUAAGAAAGUAAGUCCUUUAAUCAAAUUUUAGAGUGUUGCAAUUACUACGAAAGGAACGCAAAAAGACAUAAAGUUUUUCGAAGAGAGAAAUAAAAAGGAAAAGGAAAAGGAAACAACCCCCACUCCAUCUUUCCCUUCUUUCCAUGAAAAUCAAUUUUAGGAUUUUGAUUUUCAAUCAGUAUGAGUGAGAAAGAAAGAGAGGACAAGCCGACACUUCAAAGGUCCUCUUUCUCUUUCCUUGCUUUUUUUAACGCGUGGAGCCAGCAGUUGUUGCCACCAAAUUCCUUGCUCAGUAUUUGAAAAUUUUCCUAAUUUUUUUUCCUCUACGUGCUGUUACCUUUUACCUCUUUUAUAAUUAUUAUGAUUAUUGCAUUGCUAAUAAUUUGCAAUAAAGAUGAUGAACAUUUUUUAGUCAAUUCAAAAUAACAAGAUAAGGUUUGUUCAGGCUUUUCUUGGAACCUCGCUCAGGGAUUAGUUAGCGAGAAUAAGAAAAUGCUGUCCAAAUUAUACAAAAUUUAUUAUUAAUCAUCAAUAUUUAUUCUUGAUCAUCAAUAUUGAAUAAAGGCUUAUUUUCUAGUAUAAACUUUGAUGAGAUUGUUUAUAAAAAUAACCAAAUUGAGGUUUUUCAAUUACCUUUAAAUAUAUCAUAGUUUUAAUAGGCACACAGUAUAUUUUUUAAUUUAUUAGAAAAAACAUGUAAUGUAAAUUAUAAAAAAUAUUUAUUUUUCUGAUAUACAUAGUAAUAAUAAAUUAGAUGAUAGUAACUAGAAAAUAGAAAUUAGUUUAAAUAAGUGGUACCAAUUUCUAUUCUAUAUAUCUACGGAAGAAGUUCAAAGAAUAGAAUGAAAUCAAAUAUUCUUAAUAAAAGAGGAAAAAAAACACAAAAAGAAAUAAAAUAUGUUUUUAAUAAAUAUAAAAUAUGGAUAAAAUUAUAGAACAAGAAAGAGAAGUUAGAUACCUCAAAUUUUAGUAAGGAUCCAAUUGGAUUGUUUAAAAGAGGAGAAACUGUCAUUGACUGAUUUAAUUGGAAAGUAUUUACAAGAAAGCUAAAAGAAUUAAAGUUUUUUAAUUUUAAAAUUAUAAUUUAAAAUGGCAAGAAAAAAAUCAAUUAUUUUUAAAAUUGUUUUAAAAAAUAAAACAUCAACAAUUUUAUAAUAGCUAAAUAAAUCUAUUAAAAUAAAUUGAGAAUAACUAGUAAAAUCAAGCAAAUAAUUCAAAACCAACAAGAAAAUAAAUAUAUUUUCUAAAUCGGGUUUGAGUAUGUUUUCUAUCUUGAUUGACUGGCUAACUUGAUAAGUCUUUAUUAAGUGUAAAUCAACUUUAUUCUAAAAGUCUGUUUGAUAUUUUUUUAUUUAUUAAUGAAAUAUUAUUUUUACUAUACAGUUAUUAGAUCCCAGGCUAAUCUACUGGGUCGGUUUAAAUUUAAUAACUAUGGUUCAUAGUCAUAUAGCUAGUAGUUGCACUAAAGCUAAUAAUUUAAAAAAAAUUAAAUAUCAAUAAUUUUUGUUGGCAUCAAAUAAUUAAAAAUGAGAAUUUCAGAGCAGAGGGUUUAAGAAAUAUUAAAAUAGAAGGUUUUGUGUAAUUAUUAGAUAAUUGAAAUCAUCACUAAUCUCCUUUGUUCAUUUUCCUUUUUUAUUACCCUUACCAUGCACAAAACUUCAUGUCACUUAAUGAUACACUUGCUUUCAACGUUUAAACUGUUAAAGAAUAAUAUAAAUUAUAUUAUGAGAUCUUACCUAACAGCUUAAGUUAUUGGGUUGAGAUGGUUCUUUGAUAUGGUAUCAGAGCCUUGAUGAUCAAGCGGUCACGAGUUCGAAUCUCACCAUCUCUAUUUAUUUGAUAAAAAUUAAGCACAAAGUAAUGUGGAUUUGUGCAAGUUUUAAGCCCAAAUGGCUUUCACUUGAGGGAGUGUGUUAAAGAAUAAUAUAAAUCAUAUCCUGGGACCUUACCUAACAGCUUAAGUUAUUGGGUUGGGAUGGUUCUUUGAUAUAAUAGCAACCAUCAUGAAAUUACAACACUAAAUUUAUUCUUUAGCAAUUAUAUAAUGCUCGCUCUUUCACAGUUAUUGCAUUUCUAAUAAUUUGCAAGAAAAUUAACAUUCUUUGUCUCUCAAUCUGCACCUACCAUGAAAUUAACAUCCUUUCUCGACAUUUCCUAGCAAUUUAUGGAGGAAAUUUCCUUGUGCCCUCUCUUAUACAUUAUUACAAAAACUGUCAUUGAUUGAUUGACUUGCAAAAGUAUUUGCAAGAAACCUAAUGAAUUAGAGUUUUUAAAAUUUUUAAAUUAUUAAAAACAUCCAAUUGUUUUUUUUUUAAAUCAAGAAUAAAACAUCAACUAUUUAUAUAAUUACUAAAUAAAUCUAAUAAAAUAAAUUGGAAAUAACUAGUAAAUAAUUCAAAAAUAACUAGAAAAUAAAUAUAUUUUCUAUGAUUUGAGUAUGUUUUUGAUUCACUAAUUUGCUAAGUAUUUGCUAAGCAUAACCGAAAGAAAUUAUUUGCUAAUCACUCACUAAUUCAUCCAUGAUAUGUUCAAAAAAAUGGGUUAAAAAUUGGGUAACAACACCAUAUCUAUUUUAUUGAAAACCCGGGCCUGUAAUUGACCGGAAGAAAACCGAUCAACCCACUAAGUAGAUCUGGAACCUUGAUGACCCAACAAAACCUGGUAGAAAUUCAUUUUUUUUUCAAAUGUAUUUUUUCUUCUAGCUAGAGACCUCUAUUUUUUAUAUAUUUUUCAGUUGGUUACUAACCCAUUUCAAAGUUUACUAUAUAAAUAUUAGAAGAAUGUUUUAUUUUUUUAAUGUGGGAUUUGAAACCUUUUAGUAUAUAUACUCUUUGUUUACUAAAAAAAAAAUUAUGUUUUUUUAAUAUGAAAUAAAAAACCUUUUUGAUUUAAAUACUUCAACUCAAAAAAAUAAGAUAGUAUCUUUUUAAUGUGGAAUAAAAAAAACCAUUUGAAAUAAUCUUUUAAACUUCAUUAUUUAUAACAUGUAUAACUUAUAUCUUUCUUAAUUUUUUCAUAUGAAAUAUUAAAACCUUUAAUAUUUUUUUUUUCUUGGUUGACUUGGAUCAAUCCUUGUAACUCGAGACUCAGCUCCUUGAUUGAGUCGAUCUCGAGUCGGGUUUGAUAAUUAUGAAAAUAUUUAAUGAAAAAAUAUAUUUUUUUUGUAUAAAAAUGAAGGGUAAAAUAUUAAAUUAUGACAUAUAUCAUUAAUUAUUGACAUACUCUUGUAACAAGCAUGAAACUUUAUGUUAUUUCAUGAUACCCAUGUUUUUAACGCUUUACACCGCUUUAAUAAAUUGUUACAGUAAUAGCACAGAGAGAAGAACGGAUCAAGAGAAAAUAAUAAUGUAACCAUCUAGAAAGUGAUGCAAUGAUAAGAAUUUGGAACUAAAGAGUUUGUUUUUUUUUUUUUUUUCAGGUUCGAGUUUUGUGGUUGCUAAUAUAAUAGUUACUGGAGAUUUACAUGAUCGUUAACUUUAGGACUCGUAAGAUUAGUUUCGAGUUUUGUGGUUGCUAAUAUAAUAGUUACUGGAGAUUUACAUGAUCGUUAACUUUAGGACUCGUAAGAUUAGUCAAGAUGCAUGCAAACUGGACUGGAUACCUACAGGAAUCUAAAAAAAAAUAAUAAUGGAGAUGAAGCAAAAUCUCUGUUUGAUUUUUUCUUUUUUGUGUUUUUGGUACAUUGGUCAACAAUAGCUUGGAAGACUUUGGUAGCAGUAAGUAACCUGUUCUUCCUCAAUAAUGUUAACGCGUGGACCCUGUUGUUGUGGAAACUUUGCAGAGGAUCUUAAUAAAAACAAGUAAAUAGAAAAAUAUUAAUUUUUAAAUAUAAAAACUAGAAAACCUGAUAAUAUUGAAUAAAAAAUAAAAUAAAAAUUUAUUCUUUUCAAGUAGAAAAAAAAUAUAAAAGUUUAACAAUAUUGAAUAGAAAUAAAUAAAAUUUUUAAACUAAAUAAAAAUGAUAGAAAAAAAUAUUUAUUAUCUUAAAAAUUCUUAUAUUAAAAUCUUAAUUUAUCACAUGAACUGAGUCUAUAUGCUAAAAUCAGAAGAAAAAAAAAAACAAAUGUAACAAAAAAAAUUCUACACAACACAAUUAAUUAUAGGAUCGUAUAUUUCGAGACUAAAUUGAGGUUUUUGAAUUAUCUUUAAACAGAACAUGAUUUUAAUAGGUGCACUGUAUAUCCUUUGAAUUUAUUAGAAGUAACGUGUAAUGUAAAGUAUGAACCGCGUACCAUUAACUAGCCUUUUCAAUUGGAUUUUUUAUUUAAAUGAAAAGGAAAUUUUGUUUUAUUAUGAAAAUAAUAUUUAUUUUUUGAUAUAUCUAAUAAUAAUAAAAUAGAAAGUAGAUUGAAUAAAUGAUAUCAGUUCCUAUUAUGAUAUAUCUAGUAAAAGAAUAGAAUGAAUUAAAAUAUUCUUAAUAAAUAUAAAAGAUGGGGAAAUUACAUCACACGAAACUACCAAUAAGCAAAUUUUAAUCUGUAAUUAUGUAGGUCUUAAUUACAAGGGUUUUAAUUUAGGAAGUAUAUUAAAAAAUAAUAUAAAUUAUAUUCUAGAAUUUAUUUUAAUAGUUUAAAUUUUGAGAUGAAUUAAUAAGUCUUUACAAAUAAAAGAUAUAGUUUUACAAUAAAAUGCAUUUUUAGAAAUGAAAUUAUAUUAAAUUAAGCGUGCUCGAGAUUGUUCAAAUUAUUAAUUAAUUAUAAUUAACUUUAUGUCUUUAGAGGAAACAAAAGGGAAGGACAAAAUUAUUUUCCCCUCAACGAUAGACCUAGCCCACUUUCCAAACAAAAGGUAAAUAGAAUGAUGGUCUCAUAAAUUGCUUUUUUUCUUUCUAGCUCGUCAAGCAGUUUGGUCUCCCUCACUGGAAAAUCUCCUUUUUCCCUGCCUCUGUGCACGUAGGGGAAGAAGGAGAAUAGUAUCGUUCAAAAUAUCACUGUUUUGAAAUUUUUUUUGAAAAAAAUAAAAUGAAUUUAGGAAUAAUUUAAAAAUAGAUUAUGAUAUUUUCCAUCACUUUUUCUUAUCAUCAACUUCAAUAUGUUGCUUCUUUUUUAAAGGUUUAACACUAGAAAGCCUUUUUUUUGUUUCAUUCUUCAAAUCUUAAUAACAAACGUAUGUAAUAGACAAUUGAUAGUGAAAUGAAAAGGUUAAGGAAGAUGAAAUUGUAAGAAAAGAAAAUAAAUUUAAAAUAUUAUUAUGAAAAAAACAAAAAACAAUAAAAAAUAUGGACCAAAACUUAAAGAUAAAAAAAUUAAAGGUAAAAUUGAAAAAUAAUUCUAGUUUUAUAAAUUAUUAAAAAAAGAUUUCAAAUAUUUAAUGAUGAAAUCGAAAAAUAUUAACUUUAAAAAUUAGCCAGAAAAAUUCAAUAAAUAAUAAAAAAACAAACUCAAGAAAAUCUAAAUCAUUUAUAAAAUUAGUAAAAACUUCCACACUAAGUAAACAAAUAAAAACAAAACAAAUAGAAACAAGGAAGUAAAGUCUGUAAUUAAAUAUAUACGCGGAGACAAAAACAUGGGCAUGUGACAGGAGACAAAAGGGCAAAGGAAGGUCUCUAUCCAACUUCCUUUUCCUUUUUCUUAGAAAAAAAGUGACAAAAUCUGAUAGAACACAGAUUCCAUCUCUUUUUCAUUGGUUUUUUUGUUUUUUUAAUGUUUAUGCAUGUGGCUCAACCUUUCUCAGUAAUUGCAACAUGUUUCUUUGUUGAAUAAACUGCAAUACUGGUCUCCCUCACUGGACCCCUUUAUAAUGAGAAUCACACUAGGAAAUUUAAAAGUAAUUUGAAGUAUUAUUAAAGCCUAUAAAAAUAAAACUGAUAAUAAUAUAGUUGGGAUUUUAAAAAAAAAAUUGAUAAAAAACCAUAUAAAAAGAAAUUUGAAACAAAGUAAUCUUAAAAAACCAAAACAAACAUGCCAUGAAAACAAAUUUAAAAUAAACAAAAUACUUUAAAAAAAAAUAAUUCAACCAUUUCUUCAUAAAAAAAACAGUAAUUGGGUGUUACUUUAUGGUCAAAAAGUACAAUAAUGCAAAAAAAAAAAAAAAAAGAGUUUUAGGAUAUUGAUUUUAUUAUUUGUUAGGUAACUAUGUAAUCUAUACGUUGAUGUGGAAAAUAGGACUAAGUUUUUUUGUCAAAAGAGUAACUGUGUAAUCUAAUAUUCAUCUCUCAAAUCCCUAAUCCAAUUGAUCAUAUAAUUAAAUAAUUGUUUUAAUUAAUAACUAUAAGAAACAAACUCCCUUGUUAGUUCAUUACUUAAAUAAAAACUCAUGAUUGUCUAGCAAAGUAAAUAAAUUACUUAACCGGAUCACCAGAGGAGUUAUUUGCCAAAAUAAAAACUCAUGAUUGAGUUAUAUAACAGUUUAUAAAUCAUGCUAUCAUCUCCAUCACCAUAUAUAAAGCUAGACAAAAUAGGAUAAGACGGGAUUAAAUUUAAUUUUAGGAUAUAUUUGAGAAUAUGAUUGAAUCAUGCUUUUUAAAAUGUUUUUGAAUUAUUUUAAUAUGUUGAUGUCAAAAAUAAAUUUUAAAAAAUAUUAUUUUAAUAUAUUUAUAAUAAAAAAAUAUAUUUUAUAAAGCAAUUUUCACCAUAUUUUCAAAUAAAUUAAAAUUUUUCAAAUAAAUGGAUUGAUAUAUCGAUGACACUCUCUAGUCAGUUUUGAGAAUUUUGAAUCCAAACAAGUGAAUUUAUAUGCAUGCUUGUACAACUUGAUUUUCUCUUUAAUUUAAUCAACAAUAAUUUCUCAUACUCAAUAGAAAUUUGGGUUUAUCAUUAGGGUAAGACAACCUGUAUUUUAAAAUACUAUUGCCAAAAGAUCAUAUUAUUUAUUACCACAAGAAAGGACCAAAGUUAAUAAAUAAUAGCAUGCACGAAACUUCGUGAUACCCAUGUUUUCCACGUUUAAUAGAGUGUUACAGUAAAAGCACAGAGAGAAGAACGGUUCAAGACAGAACAAUAAUGUUAACGCGUGGACCCCAUUUGCUGUUUUUUCCUCUACGUGUUACCUUUUACCUCUUUUACCUCUUUUAUAAUUAUGAUUAUUGCAUUGCUAAUAAUUUCCAAGAAAGAUGAUGAACUUUUUUUAGUGAAUUCAAAAUAAACAAAAUAAGGUUUGUUGAGGCUUUUCUUGGAACCUCGCUCUGGGAUUAAUUAGCGAGAAUAAGAAAAUCCUGUGUAAAUUAUACAAAUUUCCUUGCUUUUUUUUUCCUGCAUGUGUUACAUUUUUAUCUUUUAUAAUUAUAAUUAUUGCAUUGCUAAUAAUUUGCAAGAAAGAAUAUUGUUUCUCUGAAAAGAAGUCUGAAUGUUUUUAGAAAGAAGCAGUCUUCAUUGCUUUUCAAAACCAAUCUCUGGAUCUAUUAACAAAAACUCUAAAUCGCGAGUAAUAGACACAAUUAAUUAUGCAUUGCUGUAAUAAAAUCACGUAUUUAUUUUCAAGUGGGAAAAAAUUAAGCCAUGAGGCCAGGGGUUCUUUGGUCUUUACCUAUUUUCGUUUUGGCCACCGAAUUUUAUUUUUUUUUCAAUAAAAGAGAAGGUUUUGUGUAAUUAUCAGAUAAUUGAAAUCAUCACUAACUCCUUUGUUCAUUUUCAUCUUUUUUUAUUACCCUUAGCAUGAUACACAGAAAAGAAGAACGGUCAAGAGAGAAGAAUAAUGGAGAUUACUGUGGAGAUGACGAAUCAAAAUCUUUGCUUGAUUUUCUGUUGUGUUUUUGGCACAUUGAUCAACAAUAGCUUGGAAGAGUUCGAUAGCAGAGGAAGAAAAAUAAUAGCAGUAACCUUUUCCACCUCAAUAAUGUUAACGCGUGGACCCAGUUGUCGUGGAAACUUUGCAGAGGAAGAAAAAUAAUAGCAGUGACCUUUUCUACCUAAUAAUUUGCAAGAGAGAAUUCUUUCUCUGAAUAUAUAGAAAAAAACUAUUAUUUUUUAAUAAAAACAACUAUAUAGAAAAAUUAUUACUUUUUAGGUAGAAAAACCUCAUGAUAUUGAAUAAAAAAAUGAAAUAGAAAAAUUAUUCUUUUCAAGUAGAAAAAAAUAUAAAAGUUUAGUAAUAUUGAAUAGAAAUAAAUAUUAAAAUUUCUAAACUAAAUAAAAAUAACAGAGAAAAAUAUAUAUUAUCCUAAAAGUUCUUAUAUUAAAAUAUUAAAAAGAACUGAGUUUACAUGCUUUAAACAGAAAAACAAUAAAAAAAACAAAUGUAACAAGAAAAAUUCCACGCAACAUAAUAUAUAUGAUAUAAAUUGAGGUUUUUAAAUUACCUAUAAACAUAUCAUAAUAUAUAUGGUACAUCCUUUGAAUUUAUUAGAAAGAAGCCAUUAACUAGCCUUUUCAAUUGGAUCUUUUAUUUAAAAGAAAAGGAAUAUUUAUUUUAAUAUGAAAAAAAUAUGUAUUUUUUAUAUAUAUCUAGUGAUAAUAAAUUAGAGGAUAGUAACAAGAAAAUAGAAAUUAGAUCAAAUAAAUGAUACCAAUUUUUAUUCUGAUAUAUCUAGCUAAAGAAUAGAAUGAAUUAAAACAUUCUUAAUAAAAAAAAAACAGAAAGAAAUAAAAAAAUAUUCUUAAUAAAUAUAAAAGAUAGGUGAAAUCAGAGAACAAGAAAGAAAUAUAGAAUCUCUUUCUAAGAUUUCUUGUUCCCUUUCCCUUCUUUACACGGCCUCCUCAAUGAAAAAGCAAACACCCCAUUUGAUUUUCAUUCAGUAUGAGAGUGAGAAUGAGAAUGAGAAUGAGAGAGAGGUAAUUUCGACUAUACAUAGAACUCGACAGGACAGAAGACUUAAAGAUAAAAUAGCUUUGAUUUACAACCAUGGCUUCAAGGGCCUGGAAUAGGACCAGGUACAAGUUUGUUUCUAUCUAAGAAAGCAAGAAGCUCCCACUAAUGCAUGCUCUCAACAAACUACCCCCAAUUUCGCCACUACAGCUCAAGUAGCUUUGAGUCAUUCCAACAAGUAGGAAUUGAAUUCAAAGGAAUAAAUCAUUAAAUGCGGAGUUGGUGUUCUCCUGUUUGUGGUUCUGAUAAAUGUAAGAACGGACAGAGAGAAGAAAUAGGAAAAAUCCAUGUAUCUAUUAGUUGGCAGCAGUUAUCAUUCGGCCCUUGCCGCCCACGAAAUCCCUUUAUCCUGCUGUUAAUUUUUUUAAAGACGCGUAUCAGGUGUUUGAUAAAAUUCCUCAACUGGAAAAAAAAACCAUGUUUAGAAUGCUUGAGUCCUUUACAAGUGGAAAGUGGGAACUAUCCACUUUCCCAUUUGAAAUCAUCACUAACUCCUUUGUUCAUUUUCUUCUUUUUUUAUUACCCUUAGCAUGAUACACAGAAAAGAAGAACGCGUGGUUCAAGAGAGAACAAUAAUGGAGGGGAAUCAAAAUCUUUGUUUGAUUUUAUGUUGUGUUUUUGGUACAUUGAUCAACAAUAGCUUGGAAGAGCUUGAUAGCAAUAACCUUUUCGACCUCAAUAAUUAAUGUUAAUGCGUGGAUCCAGUUGUUAUGGAAACUUUGCAAAGGAUCUGCAGGAAGAAAAAUGAAAAGCUUUUCGAACCUACAAUAUAGAGAGAGAAAUAAAUAAAUAAAAAGCUUUUCAAAACCAAUCUCAUGCCAAAUUGGUUUGUCUGUCCAGUACUUGAGCUUGCACACUUCGUUUAUAUUCAAACAAUAUUCUUCCGUUGCUUUUAUUCUUUACAAUAAUGUGAUAGGAAUAACAUUAAUAUUAUUAUAAAGAAAAAACUCCACCCACUUUGAAACACCUUUGAUGUGUUGAUUGAAAUUGACAAGUGAGUUUACUCACAUGUUGUUAUAUUGGUUUUGAGUUCAAAUAUGGAGAUUUUAUGAUUUAUUCACAUGAAUGCAUUCAUUUAUUCACCUAUUAACUAAAUCAUGUAUUCAAUAUGAAUGAUGGGAGAUUUUUAAUGUCUUCUGAAUACAUUCAUUUAUAUAUGAAAAUAAUUUAUGUGUGUGUAUAAGGUUAUUGAAAUGAAGAUUAUUAUCCUCCAGCUCAUCAUCAGAUCACACGAAAGGAACGCAGAAAGACAUUCCCUUUCUUGUCAUAAAGUUUUGAAUAGAAUGCCCAUCAAAAAGUACUUUCGUGCAUUAUUGUCAUAAAGUUUUUCAAACUUCCAAUAUAGAGAGAGAAAUUAAAAAAAAAAAAAAAGCAAAAGGAAACAACCCCCACCUCAUCUUUCUUGUUCCCUUUUCCUUCUUUACAUGGCUUACUCAAUGAAAAAGCAAGCACUAAGGCACCUUCUCCACAAACUACCCCCCAAUUUCGCCACUAUAUAAAUAUUAUGGAAAACAAGAUAAAAAGAAAUCUUUUGGUACAUAUAUAAAUAUAUUAUGGAAAUUAACAUGGUAUCAGAGUAUCUGUGAACUAUUGCUGGGAUUGGGAAGUCAUAAUUUUUGACACGCCUAAUCACAGUCUUUUUUGGAAAAAGAAGAAGAAGCCAGGCUAUGAAAAUAGGUUUCUGGAAAUUUACAUCAUUUGAUUUUGACAAUUGCAUGGAAAUGGUCUUCUUAGUUUGCCGUGUGGAAAAUCAUGUCAUUUACGGGACUGCUGGACAGAGUGUCUAUUGAUAAUUUUACCUUCUUUUAAAAUCUUUGACACUACUUGCAUUGACUGGUAAUUUCGCUCGAAAAUUUCUAGUAAUUUAUAAAGGAAAUUUUUACUGUAUAUGAAUUGAAAAACUAUUAUUGACUGACUUCUUGCAAAGUAUUUGUAAAAAAGCUAAAGAAUUUAAGUCUUUUAAUUUUUAAAAUUAUAAUUUGUUGAGGCUUAUCUUGGAACCUCGCUUUGGGAUUAAUUAGCGAGAAUAAGAAAAUCCUAUGCAAAUUAUACAAAAUUUAUUAUUAAUCAUCUAUAUUUAUUAUUGAUCAUCAAUAUUGAAUAAUGGCUUAUUUUCUAGUAUAAACAAUGUUUGAAAUAAAAUUGAUAAAAGAUAGUAUACAUAAUUAUUAAUGAUGGGAUUGUUUAUAAAAAUGACUAAAUUAAGGUUUUUUAAUUAUCUUUUAACAUUUUAUGAUUUUAAUAGAUGGGCUGUACAUCAUGUAAAUUAUAAAAGAAUAUUUAUUUUUCUGAUAUAAUAAUAAUAAUAAUUAUAAUAACAAUAAUAAUAAUAAAUUAGAUGAUACUAACGAGAAAAUAGGAAUUAGUUUGAAUAAAUGAUACCAGUUCCCAUGAUGAUAUAUCUAAAGUCCUAAACUUCAAGAAUUUCUCUUCUUUAUCUUUUGUAUUUUCUCAUUUUCUUGGCAUGCGCGCAGCUGCUUCAUGGAAAAAACGUUUCAGAUGCGGAAAAUAAAAGCGGAAAAAAAAAUCCCAAAUAUCAGCAAACAUCACAAGAGAAGCUUGAUCUCAACAAGAUGUUGCAGUCCACAGUCUUUCCAUUACAUUAUAAUUACUUCUAAAAAAAAUUAAUUUAAUUUUUAAUUAUAAGCCAUCAGCAACUACCUCAAAAUUACCACUCUGAAUUCCAGCUCAAUAUCGAUUAACAUGUGGCUACAGAAUUUGAAUUAAGUUCAAUUAUACAAAAUCCUGUGCAAAUUAUACAAAAUCCUGUGCAAAUUAUACAAAAUCCUGCUUUAAGUUCUUGGAACCUAGCUCUGAGAUUAAUUAGCGAGGAUAAGAAAAUUCAGUGCAAAUUAUAUAAAAUUUAUUAUUAAUUAUCGAUGUUCAAGAUUUUCUUAAAUGUUAUUUUAUUUUCAUUAUUAUUUAUAAAAAUCCAAAAAAAUUAAGAAAAAGUUUAAAAAUUCAAAAAUAUAUUUUUCUCGAGUCAAUCACAUUUUUCCAUCAAAACCAAGUCCACCGGGUCAAACCAUGUCGACUAGGGUAAAAAAUGAGUUUCGGGUCAAAACCGUCAUUUCCGACCAAAACCGAGCUCACCGGGUCAAUACGGGUCAAACCAUGUCGACCAGGGUAAAAAAUAAGUUUCGGGUCAAAACCGUCAUUUCCGACCAAAACCGAGCUCACCGGGUCAGGACGGGUCAAACCAUGUCGACCAGGGUAAAAAAUGAGUUUCGGGUUGUUUCGGGUCAAAACCGUCAUUUCCGACCAAAACCGAGUCAUUAGGUCAGUACGGGUCAAACCAUGUCGACCAGGGUAAAAAAUGAGUUUCGGGUUGUUUCGGGUCAAAAACUGUUAUUUUCGACCACAACCCGGUUCACCGGGUUGAUACCCAUCAAAUGUUUUUUUUGAUAUUCUAUUUCUUUUUUUGCGGUUGAAACCGGCUUUUUCUAAUACUAAUUUGAAUUUUUAAUUUUACCUAUAUAAAUAUUUAUUAUUAUAUAUAAUAAAACAAAAUCAAUAAUUCAACAAUUUGUCAGCGGAGCAGUUGAUUUUUUUAUUUAAGGUAGAUGGCAGAAGGGAAAGGAAAACAGAAAGAAAGAAAGAAAGAAAGAGAGAAGAGUGUACUAUUCAUAUCUUUUUUAGUUUUUCUUCAUGAGAGUAGGAUAUUGUUUUUUUUUAAAAACAAUAUGGAAAAUAUCAAACAUAUCCCAACCACUGGAUUCAAUAGUGUUAGUUCUGGGCCUUUAAUUUAAUAGGAUACAAUAGGACUUACCACACUAGAUUAAAACCCAAACACAUCUCAGCCCUUGAAAUAAUCUAAGCUUUGAUCCCGUUGCCCCACGUCACCCGGUGUACUGAGAUUUCGGUGCACCGCGUCACACCAGGUCAAACAUCUGCUCAUCCAGACCGUCCGAUCAACCUGCAGAUCGAGCCAAUCACAACCACACGAUCUUUUCAUCAGAGAUCCAACAGAUCACAGGCUUAAGUUGCACCGGUGUAUAGUGCUAGCGCUCACACCGUAGUAUAACCCAAAGCCUCUCUCUCCUAUCGCCGGCGACUCUCUCUCUCCUCCGAUCUCCCAUCUCCGGCUGUAUAAAGCCUCCAAACUACCACAGAAAGGUCGCCAACCUCCUACAAAGCAAAACACCGGCCUUUUUCAGCGUUUUCUCCGCCUUAUCUGGCCGCAAAAAGGCCGCGAUCGUCGCUGGCCAGCGACGCUUCAAGUCGUCGAUUCUCACUCAUCAGCCAUCAACGACCGUCAAGACCACCACCAUCAGAAUCCUCGACAUCAGAUCUACCAGGAUCGACCAUCGGUUGGACAGAAAUCUCACCGGAAAAUCUCGCCGCCGCCAACAGUAACCGCACGUGAGACACGCGCCACCAGUGGCAUUUUCGUAAUUUUUCAAGAAAUCCGAGGGUAUUUAAGUCUUUUACCUGGCACUCAUGUAUUUUUUUUAUCUAACAUUUUUUUAUUUUGUAUAAAAAUUUUCUUGCAUGUAGAAAAAAAAUAAAAAAAAAAUAAAUAUAAAAAACGACGUGGGUCCAACACCCAUCUUAUCAUAUUAUUGGUCGUGGGUGCAAAGCCCAACCUCUCAAGAAUAGUUAUACCUAUUUUUAAUGACAUCAAAAUAUUUGUUUUUAUAAAUAAAUAUUAUUUGUUGACACGUCUCUUUUUAUAGAAAAGGACCGAUGUCAAAAAAAGUUUAAAUACCAAACAAAUAUGGAUUAUGUUUAUAAUUUUGUUUUUUUUGUAAAUCAGACGUAAAUCUCCUUUUUAGGAUUAGACAUCGAUAUUUUAGACGAGUCUUCUAUUUUUAAGGACUGAUGUCAUUUUUAAUGUGUCUCUUAUUUUUAAGGACCGACGUUAACCAUUUUAAAAAAAUAAUAAAAUUACAAAUAAGCUCAAAAUACAAUAUCAUUUGAAACAAAAAAAAAACACAAGUAAAGAUAACUUUUCUUUUGAAAUGAUAAUUUAAGGGUGAUGUCUACCUUCCCUUAAUCAUAACUAACCCAGUACCUAAAUCUCUGGGACCAGUGUCUAAUUUGGGAUUUUUAGUUCCCUCAUAUUACUAGAUGGCGACUCCAAUAAAAUCUUAAUUUCCCCAAUAAAAAAUCUCUUUUUAUUAAAUAAACAAAAAAAGCGGAGCCAACAAAAAAAAUAGAGCCGUCGCCCGACAUUGUGUAUAAGUUUAUAUAAGCUUAUUUGAACUCGUACACGUUAAAGAAUAGUAUUGACCUUGAUAUUAGUUAUAAAUAAAUUGGUUUUUCAGGAAGAUAUUGUUUUAGGUUUAUUUCUUUAUUUAAGCUUGUUGAAUUCUAGGCCUUAUAUGAUAUUAGUUGAUGUGAUUUGGAUUUAUUUUUAAGUUAAUUUGUGUGUGGGUAGUAAUAAGUGUAUAUGAAUAUGAAUUGAAGUAAGUACCUUAACAAAUGUGAUGGGUUGGUGUGAAGCUUUGAUUAAUUGCUAUAUUUUGAUGUCAUGAGCAAAUACCUUAACAAAUUUGAAUAUUUGAAAGAUAAUAAAUAAAUAUUGAAGAAUUGUAUAGAAAGAAUCGUAUCGAAAUUAUGGAAAAUAUGAUUUUGUCCUGAAAUUCUAAAAAACAAUUAUAGUUUGGUCACUGGUUGUAAAUAAUAAAUUUUAAAAUAUUUUUUGAUAAAUAUUGAUGAUUUAUUAUCAAUUUUUAUUGUUAUCAUUUAAAUUUAAAAUUAAAUAUAUUCUGUAUUUAAAUGUGUUUCGUUUCUUUGGAAACUGCAUGUGUUGGGAAAACUAGGGACAACUAACCGGAUCAAUUCAGCGGAAUACAAUUCACAAUUCACAAGUCCCAAUCAUUUUUCCCUCUUUGUGCAGUAAAAACAGAAUCAAACAAUGAACAAAUAUAAUGCAACAAUCACACAAAUCAACGCCAAGAUUUUUACGUGGAAAACCCGAUGCGAGAAAAACCACGGGACCGGAGUCCACCUAAAAACUUCCACUAUCACAAAUAAUGGGUUCACAAUUGUUCUUCCUCAGAUUCAACUAAGGGCUACAACAUAUAUAUAUCAUCAAGAACAACUUAUUCUCGGAUUACAACAAGAUUAAAGAGAGUAAUGUUAGAGAAAAGCUCACAACACUGACAGCCCUGUUUUCUGUCAAAACGACCAGCUUCCACACCACCAAUCUUCAAUCCAACCGUUCAGAAUGAAGAGGAACGUGUCUAGAAGUUUCUGUCAAAAUCUCAGCCCGAUCCAACGGUGAAACAACUGGAAAAUGAAGAAAGAAGACAGACUGCUCUGCUGCCUCCUCUUCUUUCUUUCUCUCGGUUUUCUUCUCCUCUCUUCUCAAAUUUUCUACUACUAUCUACAGUAACCGUUUCAUUUAAUUUAAACCAAAGAGGCAGCCAGCUGCCUCCUUAAUUAAUGUGGUGGUCCCCCAUCACAUGGUGCGGGACCACACAACAGUAUGCUAGAGUCUCUCAAUAUAUUAAAAGGGCUAACUAUAAGGUAAAAUAAUGAUCAGUUUUAGUUAGCUCCUGCGGGACUUUGCAUUCUAUAAUUUAUGCUAUGCAUUCUAUAACCCUUGGCCCUCUAAAUUACCCAAAAAGGACAAUAAUUGAGCUUGGUGAUCUAAGAGCACAAGUGGUACAGUUCUCAAUCGAAUUUUAGCAAAAUCAAGGAUCCAAGAAAUGGCCUCUGUAACAUGGUAGCUAUGAUUUGAAACAAAUGUAGCUAUGUUUUCUCCUUUUAUUAUAAAAAAUUAAUAUUCAUGGAUUAAUUUUCAUAUAAUUUAAGAAAGCAAGUACUUUAAUCAAAUUUUACAUUGACCAUCCUCAAUGUGUUUAAAGUAAAUGUUAAUUACCAAGCUGUUGCAAUUAAACCUGACCGGCCCGGUAGGUUUACUGUUACCUUUUACCUUUUAUAAUUAUGAUUAUUGCCUUGAAUAUAUUAUUUGAUUAGUCCAUUUAUAGGUUGACUCUACUAUUCCUGCCUUGCAUUGACAGUAAAUUUCACUAGAAAUUUCAAGUAAUUUACACAGGAAAUUUCCUGGUGAUAAACCUGGAAUCUGAUUUUCAACUUUCGUAGGCACUAAAGUCCCAAACUUCAAGAAUUUCAGAAUAUCAAUUCAACCGUACUCCAAAGAACACUCAUACUCCAAUAUCAGCAACGACCACGAAAGUUACCACUCUAAAUUCCAGCUCAAUAAUUUGUUCUUUGACAAUUAUUGCAUUGCUAAUAAUUUGCAAGGAAACAUACUUUUAACUACAAGAGUCUGUUUGAUAUUUUUCCAACUUUUACUGUUUCACUUCAAAGUUUCAAUAAUUGUUUUUUCAUUACAUAUUCUUUCCAACGUGUAAUAAUUCGGAACCACUCGCAAUAAAUAAAGCCAGCAAAGGCAGAUGUGUUUGUCUAUAUAUACAUGAACCUGCUGAUUCGAUUUGAACACCCCAUUUCUCCGAUUCAAUAACUUCAGUUGCAAAACUUCUCUCUCCGAUUGCUGCAAUUUCAUAGCUAACUCUUUGUUAUACACAGGUAUAUAUGGCUAACUCUUCUUAGCUUCUUUCUUGUUUUAAUUUCAUGUCUCUACCAUUAACAAUAAUGUGAAAGCUUUGCUUGUUUCAUGUUUAACUUCAGUUGCUAUUGUCCUAUGCUUUCUCAUUAUUAAGCUUAAAUUGCUAAUUGAUUGUUCCUUAAAUUCUGCAGCUGAAAUGAGAGAGUCAGAGUCUUCUCGUUCUAUACCAGAAGGGGCCUAUGAUGUCUUCUUGAGUUUUAGAGGAGAAGAAACUCGCAAGACGUUUACUGGUCAUCUAUAUGCUGCCUUAGAUGAAGCAGGAAUCCACACUUUUCUAGAUGAUGUUGAACUUCCUAGAGGAGAAGAAAUCUCCGAGCAUCUUCUCAAGGCAAUUCGAGAAUCAAAGAUAUCCAUAGUUGUCUUCUCAAAAGGAUAUGCUUCUUCUAGAUGGUGUCUCAAUGAACUUGUAGAGAUUCUAAAGUGCAAAAGGAAGAAAACCGGUCAGAUUGUUCUUCCUAUAUUCUAUGACAUUGAUCCUUCAGAUGUGAGAAAACAGACUGGCAGUUUUGCAGAGGCAUUUGAUAAGCAUGAAGAGCGUUUUGAAGAGGAGUUGGUGAAGGAGUGGAGAAAAGCUCUUGAGGAUGCCGGAAACCUAUCUGGAUGGAGUCUCAAUGAUAUGGCAUAUGGGUAUUCCUUUUCUCUCUAAGAUUCACUUGCAGACGUUUAUGGAGUAAUUUUACAUUACAUUUUUCAAUGUGAAGUUAUAAAAUAUUUCUUUUUAGCAUACUUAAUUGACUUGCUAUCGAUGACUUGCCUUUUUUUCUGUGAGCAGGCAUGAAGCAAAAUUUAUCAGAGGUUCCUGAGCACCUCGUAGGUAUGGAUCGGUGUACUCACAAUAUUUAUGACUUUCUAAGUAAUGCAACAGAUGAUGUACGCAUUGUGGGCAUACAUGGGAUGCCAGGAAUAGGAAAGACAACUAUAGCAAAAGUUGUAUUUAAUCAACUCUGCAAUGGAUUCGAUGGAAGCUGUUUUCUUUCGGAUAUCAAUGAAAGGUCAAAACAAGUUAAUGGUCUGGCUCUUCUACAAAAGCGACUUCUUCACGAUAUUUUAAAACAAGAUGCUGCAAACUUCGAUUGUGUUGAUAGAGGAAAGGUUCUAAUCAAAGAGCGACUUUGUCGCAAAAGAGUUCUUGUUGUUGCUGAUGAUGUUGCUCAUCAGGACCAGCUAAAAGCUCUGAUGGGAGAUCGAAGUUGGUUUGGUCCCGGAAGUAGAGUAAUUAUUACAACAAGAAAUUCAAAUCUUCUUCGUAAAGCGGAUCGAACAUAUCAAAUUGAAGAAUUGACAAGAGAUCAGUCCCUUCAGCUUUUCAGCUGGCAUGCCUUUGAGGACACCAAGCCAGCAGAAGAUUAUAUUGAGCUUUCAAAGAAAGCAGUUGAUUACUGUGGAGGACUUCCUUUAGCUCUUGAUGUUAUGGGUGCUUGUCUGUCCGGGAAAAACAGAGAUGGUUGGAAAUCUGUAAUUGACAAAUUGAAAAGAAUUCCAAACCACGAUAUUCAAAGAAAGCUUAGAAUAAGUUAUGACUUACUGGACGGUGAAGAACUAAAAAAUGCAUUCCUUGAUAUCGCAUGCUUCUUUAUUGAUAGAAAGAAAGAGUACAUCGCAAAACUGCUAGGAGCCCGUUGCGGUUACAAUCCAGAAGUUGAUUUGCAAACUCUCCAUGAAAGGUCUCUGAUUAAAGUAUUGGGAGAGACGGUAACCAUGCAUGAUCUAUUACGAGACAUGGGAAGGGAGGUCGUUCGUGAAUCGCCUCCAAAAGAACCUGGAAAGAGGACCAGAAUUUGGAAUCAAGAGGAUGCAUGGAAUGUCCUUCAGCAGCAGAAGGUAAGAGCUCAAUGCAUACAUGAAAGCAUAGUCAAACUUAUUACAUAUAAUUGAAUGAAAGUUGUAUUGAUUUUAUUUUUUUAGGGUACGGAAGUUGUAGAGGGUCUUAAACUGGAUGUCAGAGCAUCAGAAACUAAAUCACUGAGCACAGGAUCAUUUGCAAAAAUGAAAGGCUUAAAUUUACUCCAAAUCAACGGAGCACAUCUCACCGGAUCCUUCAAAUUGCUUUCUAAAGAGUUGAUGUGGAUUUGUUGGCAUGAAUUUCCUUUGAAAUAUUUUCCAUCUGAUUUUACUUUGGACAAUCUAGCUGUUCUUGAUAUGCAGUACAGUAACCUCAAAGAAUUAUGGAAGGGAAAAAAGGUGAGAAACAUGCUGCAAUCCCCAAAAUUUGUCCAGUAUGUAAUUUAUAUUUACAUGUUAUGACUUUCUAUGAUUAAUUUUCAUUAUUUUUCUCUCUAUUAUAACAGAUUCUCGACAAGCUUAAAAUUCUUAAUCUCAGUCAUUCUCAGCACCUUCUUAAAACACCAAACUUACACAGUUCAAGUCUAGAGAAACUAAUUCUGAAAGGUUGCUCGAGUUUAGUUGAGGUGCAUCAAUCAAUUGAAAAUUUGACGAGCCUUGUUUUCUUGAAUCUGAAGGGAUGUUGGAGUCUGAAGACUCUCCCUGAAAGCAUUGACAAUGUAAAAUAUCUUGAAACUCUGAAUAUAUCUGGGUGUUCACAACUUGAGAAAUUGCCGGAACGCAUGGGUGAUAUGGAAUCCUUAACCGAGCUGCUAGCUGAUGGGAUUGAAAAUGAGAAAUGUCUCUCUUCAAUUGGACAAUUUAAGCAUGUCAGAAGGUUAUCAUUGCGUCGAAAUAGUUCGGCUCCACCAAGUUCUUCUUUGAUUUCAAUAGGUGUUUUGAAUUGGAAACGUUGGCCGCCAGCAUCUUUCAUUGAAUGGAUAUUAGUGAAACAUCUUGAGCUUUCUAAUAGUGGUUUGUCUGAUCGCGCAACUAACUGUGUUGAUUUCAGUGGUUUGUCUGCUCUAGAAAAAUUGGAUCUAGAUGGAAACAAAUUCUCUAGGCUGCCUUCUGGGAUCGGCUUCCUUCUCAAGCUAAGGGAUUUGUCUGUUGAGGGAUGCAAAUAUCUUGUAUCAAUCCCAGAUCUUCCCUCAAGUUUAACGCGUUUGGGUGCAUCUUAUUGCAAAUCAUUGAAAAGAGUAAGAAUACCAAGCGAGCCAAAAAAAGAACUAUAUAUAUUCCUAGAUGAAAGUCAUUCGUUAGAAGAGUUUCAGGACAUUGAAGGUCUAAGUAAUAGUUUCUGGUAUAUUCGUGUUGAUGACCGCAGUCAUUCACCAAGUAAAUUACAGAAGAGCGUUGUUGAGGUACUAUUUCUUUCUGUCUCUCUUUCGCACAAAAAGAAACACACAUAAUUGGCACAUACAUUGAUUAAUGUCUAAGAUCCUAGCAUUUCUUGAAAUCAAUAUGUAUACAGGCAAUAAUCAUUAUUAUUAUUAUUUUAUUUUAAAAAAUAAGUAUCAUCUUUAAUAAUAUUUUUUAUUUUUCUUAUUUAAUCUAAAAAAUUAAAUAUUAUCUUUAAUAAUAUGUUUUUAUUAAAUAUUUAAAGUCUGAUUGGUUUUAUUUUUUAUUUCUUGAUUUUAUGAUAAUAUAUUUAUACAGGCAAUGUGCAACGGUCGUCACGGGUAUUUUAUUCGCCACACUCCUGGUCAGAUGCCAAAUUGGAUGAGCUACAGGGGAGAAGGACGCUCAUUGUCAUUCCAUAUACCUCCAGUCUUCCAAGGCUUAGUUGUUUGGGUUGAUAAGGAUGAUAAGGAUGCUCACAUUAUUAUUAUUAUAAGAAAUAAUAGAAAUGGUAAUCUCUUGUUUCAAUGUACGAAAUGGUAUUAUCAUCCAAAAACUGGAAGUAUAAGAUACAUAAGAAGAAGUGAAAUGGCAAUGGAAGAUUACUGUGCAGAUGACGAAUUGGAACUAUACAUUUAUUCAAAGCCAUCACCGUUGGCAAUGGCAAUGGCAAUGAAGGAUGCUGUGAUGCCUUCAUUUGAACCGUCUACACCUAAGCAAUGUGGGGUCCAUGUGAUCGUAGGAAAGUCAGAUUCAUUUGAAGAGUUGGCAGUGGGAAGAGAUGCAGUGAUGCUUCCUCAUCCUCGUUGUGGUUCGAUUACAGCGUCUACACCUAAGCAAUGGAUUGACUUUUUAUUUGCGAAGCUGCAAAACCAUAACCUCAAUUUAAGGCUUUUUGGUAAGAAUACAUAUUUCCUUUAGUUAUUUCUAUUUUAAUAUUCUAUUUAAUUUAAGAGAUUAAAUAUCAUCUUUAAUUAUUACAUUUUUCUUAUUUAAUCUAAAAAAAUAAAUAUUAUCUUUAACAAUAUUUUUUAUUAAAUAUUUAGAGUCUGCUUGGUUUUAAUUAUUUCUUUUCUUGAUUUUAUGAUAAUAUUUUUCUUAUUUAAUAUAAAAAAUAAAUAUUAUCUUUAAUACUUAGAUCUAUCGAAUAUCACUUAAAAAAUAAAUUGUAACUUUAAUAAUUAUUUUUUGAAAA